UCAAUAAAAAGUGCAGACAUAUCGACAAACAAAAUAAAAAAAAAAAUCUAAAUUUUAUAAUACCAAGAGUUGAACCUGGACAAGGGGUUAUACGGGUCCUUUAUGUUUACGAACUCAACUAGAGAAACAUUUUUUUUUUCGAAAAAAGCAAGACGAUAUUCAUCCAAUCAAAUUGAUAGAAUACAUCAAAGACAAUAACAUGAUCAAUAUCGCUAAAAAAGUAAAUGGUGAAUCUGCAAACAAACUCACAGCACCCAAGUUAAUAGCAUACAACGGCAAAAUGCCUACAAAUAAUAUGAUAAAAACUAAAUCACCAGAAUACUCAUGCUUCUAGAUCUGCAACGUUGACGUCUAAAUCAUUGAUUGAAUUUGUGAUUGUCUGAAGUUAAUCUUCAAUAGGAACCAAACGAAUACCGCACAGUUAGAUAUGAAAUCAAAAAAUGCCACACAAGACGGGGAACAACACAACGCGGCACUUAGACGAUGAAAUUACGAAAAAAACACAAAAGGACACUUGAUAUAUGUGGAUAUCACUUAUUUAGAUUGAAAGAAAAAGGGGAAAAAAAGAUGUGUAGGGUGUUUCUUGGUAAAAAAUCUCAACUAGAGAAACAUAUAAAACUAUGUUGCCAUGUAUGAUAUUUUUAAUGAAUCAAGUGAUUAAACUAAAGUGGUUAAUGUGAACAAAAAAAAAAAAAAAAAAACUAUAGUGGUUAAUGGCUUCACCGAAAGAUAAAUUAUUCCGGGAGAAACCUGAAUUCGAUUUAUUAUUACCAAUUUUUUUGUUUGACUCAAAUUUUUUAAGCCCAAAGCUCUAUUUUGGACCUUCGUUGUACACAUUUCAUAAUCUAUUGAACUAUGCUCUUCUCCUAACAAAUUUUUCUCCCACCCAACUAAAAUACCCCUACUUGAGAUAACUAAUGCACGUGUUAAUCCUGCUUUAGUUAACUCUCAUAACAUGCCUUAAGUCACGCAAGAGUACAUAUAUGCAUUAGUUAACUCACGCAACAAUUAGCACAUGUGUAUGUUAAACUGGUUUGAUUAAUACACAACUUUAUUCGAAUUUGUUUAAUACGUAAUUUUUAUUCGAAUUCACGCUGAGUUUAAUUAGUCUUUAUUCGAAUUUAUUUAUUCAAUACGCAAUGAUAAAAUAAAUGCAAAAAUUAACAAAAAUAAAGGAACAAAAAUGAUAGAUAUAAAAUCUCAUUUUAUUAAUAUAAUUCUUAUUACAUUUAUAAUGGGGUAAAACUAAAUUUACGGGAGAAAAAAAAAAACCACAAUAAAACCUACCUUUAUGUAGUAAAACUAAAAGAAAUUCACAAAAAAAUCAGCCUUCAUAUGGUAAAACAAAACAAAAACCCGCAGAAAACCAACCUUCUUGGGGGUAAAACUAAAUCUGCUUCUUUUUACCCCAAGAAAGCUGCUCACGAAUCAUCUUUUUACCCCAAGAUUGGCCUCUUUUUACACCAAAAUAAAGACUAAAAAAAGAAGGAAAAGAAGAAGAUUCAUAGGGGGGGAGAGUGAGGAGGAGAGUGAGAAUGUUAGAUGGUGUGAAGAAAUGGGGAAGUUUGCAAAGGUAUUUAUAGGUGAGAAUGGUAACAUAUGUUUUAACUACAAUAAAUGUAGUAAAAAAAACGUGUAAAACUUGUAAAAAAUCGUGUAGAAUCAAGGUUGAAAACCUAACCACCGUCCAAAAAACGUGUGUUCUUGAGCUCAGGCUACCGACCAACCUACAUGAAUUAACUCGCGCACAGACCGGUGGUGCGUGACUUAAGUCACGCUGAGCUCUAUUAGGUGUGUGAGUUAAGUCCUGCUGCGUGACUUAACUCACGCAAGAUAUAUUUGGAAAUUCAGUUGGACACGAGUGUUUUGUGUUGGGUAAAUAGCAAAAUUCUAAUCUCCACCAUACCUCACAAAAUUUGAAAAUUCAUCUUCUCCAUGAUGGGAUAAAACCGCAAGUGUACGGUUCUAUCGAAGUAGUAAAAAGAGAGUAUCGUUCCGACAGAGAGUUGUUUAAUUCAAUUAACUUUAAUUGAUGAUUAAAAGAGAAUUAAGUUGCAAAGUUGGGGUUUUCAAACGGUUGAAAGAUAAUAUAAUAAAAAAGUCUUGGGAUCAUUGGUCCAUCAUAGUGACAAAUCCUUCGCAAAUCAAACUAUUAAACCUAGAACCUUAUGUUAGACCUAACUUCUAAAGACAGUUUCUCUUGUGUUCCUCUAGCAAUCAAACCUAUUUCGCUAACUUGAUUACUAUUAGAUUUUGGUUUCUUUAGCAACCAAGCCUAUUUUGCUGACUUGAUUACUAUUAGAAUCCUUGAAGUUCGAAACUUAUAUGUCUCAAAGAUUGCAAAGACUAUUUCACUCCCUUUACAAUCCUUGUCUAAAUUCACUUGUUCGAAUAUCAAAGAUACACUUUCGUUUUAUUAAUUGAUAUUUGAGAUGAUGGAUUAACAAUUAUCAAACCCUUCACUUUCGUUUCCACAGUUUGAUAAUGGUUAAUUCAUGUUAAAACGGUGAAUUUAGAUUAGAAAUUGGAGUUAAAGCUUGGUUUGAUUAGGAUUAUGUCAUUAGACUUAUCCAACAAUCCCAAGACAAAAGAAGUCUACUCACUCAUGUUCAUCGUAGACAUGGAGAAGAAGAAGAAAAUCAUAAAAGUAAAUAACAAGAAAGUAAAGGAAAAGAAAAGAACUUUUAUUAAGAAAGACAAUUGUCACUUAUUGAAUUCCAAUAAUAAAAGAUGAAUAUUUGUGAUGGCUAACUACUCUAUUUAUAGUUUACAUUCGACUUAGAAUCUAAGCAAUUGCAUCACUAGAAUGUUCCACAAGAAAUUGCGGGCUUUUUUGUAAAACUAAAAAUAGAGUAGCUUAAAAUCUAAGCAAAAGCAGCAAAAGGUGGUCCUAGGAGGUGGCACGGCCGUGCCAAGCUUCUGACUUGGGGUAGACAUAUUUUUGUCUCCGAAUCAGCUCCAAACCCCUUUCUUUUGCUCUAAGACUCAAUCCAUCAAAUAUUCAUUCCUGAAAUAUAAUAAUAUACAAUUGAAGUAAAAUAGCUCUAAAAGAAAAUAAUAUUUAAAUAAAAUAAACUUAAAUCUAAAUAAAACGAAACUAAACAUUAUAUUAAAACAAUUAAUUAUAUUGACUCGUCACUCCACUAGAACUCCAAAUACUCUGAUUCUGUUAUUUACACGUUAGAAAAAUCAGAUUAGAUUUCUAAAAAAUUGACAGUGGAAUUGCAUGAAUCUUUAUACUUAUUUCCAAAAUACUUCCUCUAGACUUCGGUCCUAUAUAUGAAGAAAAAAAGAAUUAUUCUAAUUAUAAGAAAAUAUUACAAUUUUUAAGGUGUAAUUAGUACGUAAAAGAUUUUUCUGCCCCAUUUUUUAUGUUUUUGUUUUUUAUAUUAAUAGAUGUAUUUAAUGCUUCAUAACUUUUUAUGGGAAUAUAUGUUGGAUUAUAAUUAAGAAUUAAUUAUGGUUUUUACGUAAAUUUGAGUCUGGCCUUUUAUUUUCUUUAUUUUUUUUUUGACAAAUUUUAUUUUCUUUAUGUUAAGUUAUUGUGGUCAUAAGUCUAUAAAUAAACAUGUGUCUAAAAUCCAAUAUAUUGAAUAAAAAAAUUAUUAUGCAAUAUCAUAUAAAUUUUUAAAAAAAAAAAGUAUUUAGAGAUAAAAAAUAUAGUUGCAUAUAUGUAUAAAGAUCGUGGCCAUUGUUCAUUGCUGAUCCUCCUCUGGCUCCAUAUCUGUCUAUAAGAAUCAAAAGGUUGACCUAAAAAAAUGAUAUUAAAAAAUGAAAAUGAUGUUCUUUUCUAUGAUGAUGGCUGGAAUUUAAACUAUAAAUUUUACAUAUAUUAUAUAUUGUUGUUACCUACUGAGCUAAGUUCACUAGCAUUAUAAAAAAUAUGAUUCUCAUAUUAGAGCUCUCCUUCAUUGGUAAGGAACUAAAUUAAAUAUUCAUAUAAAUUUAUUAUUUUGAUAGAAAAUUCUUUUCAUGAAUAUAAACAACCAAGUAAAUAUAUGUUUUGACAGAGAAAUUUUGAAUCUGGAAUCAACGACUUCACCAUAUGUCUCUUUCUUUAAUCAUUUUUUAAAAUAUGUCUAGAUUCACAUUCACAUAUUAAAACACAAUUUUUCAGAACAAAAAAUAAUUAUCGAACAAGUCAGGGGCCUAUUCAACAAAUUUUCAUAAUUCUAAAAUUUUCACAUCUACCCUCCUACGUCAUCAUAUGUUCUUCCUAAAACAUUCCGGCGACGGCGUCACAAAAUUUCACCGUGCCGGACAGUUCUACAUAGCCUGUAACGUCUCCGACCGCCACAAAAGAUCACCGGGGUCAGCAUAAUCAAACAGUCCGUCAAUCGUUACAUAACCGCCACCGUUAUCAUCGGCGACGGCGUCAUAACCCAUGAACCCAAACGCUUCAUUGUUACGAAUAUCUUCUUCAAACCAAAAGAACCCGCUUAAAUCAACUCCAUCUGGACCAACCCGACCCGAAUCGUUGAUUUGAGGCAACUCUUUUUCUCGUUUGGCGUCACCGUCGGUGGUAAACCAAGUUCAUCAUCAGAAGCUUCCAGUAGAUAUCCUAGGUUCGGGUUUAAAUUGUCAGAGACGGGUACAUGGGUCGGGUUCAAAUCUUGACCCGGAGCAAGUAUUUCUUCUUCAAAGCUCUUGAUGACAGAGUCAAGACCCUGCACGGUUGUGACAUUUUCUGUCUCGUCGAGAAUGUUCAAAAUAUCGUCUUUUAUCUCGUUAACCUCAUACGAAUCGGGUUCAACUUGAACGGGUUCGGACCCGUCUGAGUCAACACACGAGCCGGACGAGUUAUCAUCUAAACCUGAGUGAACUCGCUUUGAUUCGUAAGAGUCGGCAUCCGAGUCGUCGUCACGAACUCGUUUCCUGGUAUCAUUUUUGAAGUCUUCCAUUCGUAUUAUUAUUUGGAAAGAGGAGAAGGAAGAGAGUGAGAGUGUAGAGAGAGAAAAUGAAAGUGUAAUUGUGGAGGGAGAAAGAAAGAAUGGAGGGUAUAAAUAAUGGUUGGAAAAAGGUAGGUUAGAUAUAAAAUAGGGUUACGUUACGUUAGUUAGUUAGUUUAAUUGAAUAAACGGCAGAAAGAGACAGGCGCGUGUGUAGCAGAAAAAAUCGCAUCCUGUAUCUUCAAUUCAGCAUAUAAUAAGAUAAUCCAAUAAUAAUAUUUUGACCGGAAGUUAGCUACUUCAAUUCAUGCCUGCUUUCUUUGCUAUUAAGAAUGAGAAAGAUAGAUUUGUUAUGCACCGUUUUACAUUGACCGUACGUACAACAAAUUGUUAUUUGAUGUGUAAAUGCAUAAUUAUUACUAUUUUUAUUUGUCAAAUUUUACCAACUAAAAAAAACUGUUUAUUGUCUUAAACUAGUAGUAUAUUUAUACAUGUUAAGAGGAAAAAUUAUUAAUUUUAAUAAAGUACUAUCUUUUCCAUGUGAGCUGUCAUCAUGUCUCUGUGGACCUGGAUUUCAAUUUAUGAGUGUCUCAAAUAUUUGUACAAUAGGGUUCUAAUUGUUGGGGUGAAGGAUAAAACAAGAUAAAUUUUUUCACUAAAUGUCAUUUUUCUAUAAUUAAAUGUAUGGAAGAUAACAAUUUUACCAUCAAUUAUUCAUUCUUUAUAGGUAAGUGUUUCUUUGUUUGUAUGUAAAAGCGUAAAAGUUAUGUUUGAACCAAUUUAUGGUGUUGAAUUAUUAUUAAAAUAAAAAUUGUCAAGAUUACAACCGAACCUCUAAAUUGUCGAAGACGGCCCUGAUCGUCAUUUACGUACUUAGUUUCUUUUAUUUCGCCUACUAAAAAGAGGUGAUUCAAAUCAACUUUUGACUCAAAAUAUCCAUCUAAAUUGUUUUAUACUUCUCAUUUAUUUGAAUAAGUGAUUUUCAUAUAUAUUUGGUUUUUUCUUUUAUGAUUGUGUCAUUUUAGUGUGACACAUUUUUUUCGUCAUUUUAAUGCAACAUUGUUUGUAUUUCAUGUCUUACUACAAUGUUUAUUAGAUUGAGACUCUCAUGUCAGUUUUAAUCCACUAAAGACCCAAUCAAUGACUUUGAUGUUGUCGACGUUGUAGAUCAAUAACAUGGUUAUUCUAGACACUUAAAUAUAAUCAUAUUUGUAAACUUAUAUUAGUGGUUGAUAAAAUAUAUGCUAAUAAAAUAAAGUAAUGGUUAAUAAAAUAUAUGUUAAACAAGUGAUUAGUAUCAUACAUUUUAGUGGUUGAUAAAGUAUUGUAAGUGUCUUCGUGAGUUUAACUUAAUUGAUAAUAGACAAUACAAUAAGCAGUGGCUAGAGUUUAAACUCAAGAUUUUCGCUUAUUCGCUUUAAGAGAUAGAGUUUUGAUCACUAAACUGAAAAGUAUUCCAAGUGUUUCAUAACACAAAUCAUAUUUGUGUUACGAUGAAAGUAUCAUUCAUCGUAUAACACAUUCAAUAUCUACGAGUAACACUGGUGUAUUUUUACGAUUAAAUUCAAAGUUGAUGUGAAAUGACAAUAAAAAAUUCUUUUAAGAACCCAACUCUAAAUAAAUAUUAUUUAAGUAUGUUCGCAUAAAACUAUCAAAAUGAAAUAAAAAAUGUCCAACCACAAUAAUUGAUAUAUUAUAAUUUUAUUUUACUAUAAAUUUUUCUUAAUUUUAUUAUAUAAUCAAAUAUUUUUAUUUAAAUUUAUACCCAACCAAGUGUGCCUCCUGAAAUAGAUCUAUUAUAAGUCAUAAUAAUUAUGAUUAAGACAGCAGAAUAAAUAAUUGACAAUAUUAAAAUAAUUCGGUUAAUUUUGUCUGUGGGAUCCGCUGUCAUUAUUGCGGGGCAAUGAGGCAAGAUUUUUAUGAUGUCGAUAAUAGCAAUUAAACUAAAUUUGAAUGGAGUUUGAAGUCCGUGGGUGUGUGCCCCACCUUCGUUGCAGGAAUCAUGUGGUUGGUUUUCCUAAAAAAAUCAUUAUUUAAUGGUUUUUCGUUUUCUUUUUCUUUUGGGGGUUUGGAAUUUUUGGUGUGGUCCCACCGACGGAGGAGCGCUGUUGUUGGAUUCUUUGUUUUACUUUCUUGUCUUUUUUUAUUCUUUUUUAUUUUUAGACAUGAGAUAUUUUUUUGGUUUUGACAAUUUCUACCUAAUUUCUUUUUUUUAUCUUUUCUUUUUCAAACGGACGUUACUGUUAUGGGUUGUCGUAAUCUCAGAUCCACGUAUUUGUGGCCGUAAAUCACUUAUUCUAAUUUUAUUUUUGUCUCUUUUGACUACUACUUGUAUUGCGUAUUCCAUAUUUGUUUUUGGGUGAACCAUAUCCAUUCUCCACAACCUUUCACCCAUUCUCCGCAACAAUUAUCACAAAAUUAAAAAACAAUCAUUUUAGUUUUUGAGUGUCUUUGACGUUGUCGAUAAUAAUGUUUCAAAGUCUUUUUAACGAGUGUAUGUAAAAUACUCUUUAAAAAUUGUAAAUUAAGUAAUUAUUCUUUAAAAAUAUUAAAUUUUUCAAUUUUUAAUAUAUUGAUUACACAAAUUUUUACAAAAAAUUACUGUAUCAUUUAAAAUCCUUGACUAAUGCAUCGAAGACACUUGUUAACAUUUUCGUACUUUAUUAAAUAAAGUUUUAUAAAAUGUCACUCUCUUCGGUUGAUUAAUUAAUUGAUCCAGUAACAUUUAUGAGUUAGAUACAUUAAUUAUUAAAUGUAUUUAAAAUAUUAUUUUUUGCUUAUAAAGAUCAUAGGAGGGAGUAUCAUUUAAGAUUCUUAACUAGUAUCCUGGAAGGUACAAGUUAACAUUCUUUAAAUAUAAUUUCUCAACUUAUAAAUCAGACUAAAAAUGCUUGAAAAUCAAGAGAAAUGUAAAUAGGAUGGUGUCGGUUAAGUAAUAAGAAAUAUAUUUUGAGAAGAAGAAUAAAAAAUUCUUAUUCGAUGCGUGCAUGGCAUCGUCUGUUUGAAAGGCAACCGAAAUUGUCGCCUAUAGUAAUAAAGCUGGAUCUUUGAGAUUUUUUUUCUUCUUUUCUUUUUGGGUACAAUUUGAGAAUUUUUUAUUAUGAGAUGUACUUUUGAAAUUAGGUUGGAGCUGGACUCCGUUAACUUUGAAUUUAUCAAAUUUAAUUAUAAACAAAUUCAAACCGUGGAUCUCAUAUGUUAACUGUCGUAUAUUUAAUAUUUAAUUUUAAAGCGCAUUUUCUCUAAAAAUUGAAGAGUUAAUACUAAAAUAGAAAUGUAAAAUAAAUUUUUUAAACAAACAUACAACAAUAAUAUUAUUAGGAAACUUCUACGGUACACUCAUAAAAUAAGGUGUAUUGGUACUCUUUCUUCAUAAUUUUAUAAAUUAACGAUCAUUUUUUAUAAAAUAAAUAAUUAUUUAUCAAUAUUUAUAUUUUAUAGAAUAUCAUUUCAUAAGAAAAAACAUCAGUUUAUUGUUUUAAGAAUCAUAGUAAUUUUUUUAUAUAUUAUCGUAAAAUAUAAUCAAUAAUCUCAAUUAUGAGUGCUAAAAAUUCAAAAAAAAUUAAUUUUAUUUCGUUAACACUUUUAAUGAAUAAGAUUUAGUUAUUAUAAAUAUAAAUGAUAGAAAAUAAUAUUUUUCUUAAAAAAAUACAAUUCAUUUAAUAAUUAAUUUAAAGAAUGAGUGUAACGGUACACUCAAAUAUAUUAGAUGUACCAUAUAAUUUGCCAUAUUAUUAACGUACAACAGUAAAACACUUAUAUAUUUCUUCUCAUUAGUGUUAUGAUAAAAUUUUAUCUUUUAAAUUCAUAUGAGUUGGUUUGGUUAUAUUAACUUGAAAUCUGAGAGUAUGUUGCUUCUCGAAGUCUUAUGUUUGAUUUUCUUCAGAAUCAAUUUAAAUGAGUUAAUUAAAUUUUUUCAAAAUGUCUUUAAAUUUAUAUCAAAGUGAUCAAAAUAUACAUUUCUUUAAAUUUAGAGUUAUGUUAACUUGUAUCCUAAGACACAUGUUAGGAUUUUCAACGAAAAAAAAAUAUUUAUUGAAAAAAAAUCAAUCUUUUAAAAAAUAAAUUGGUGCAAUUUCUAAUAUAAAAUUUCUUUCUUUGAUAUCUUGACAUGCACUCUUAUGACACAAGUUAACAUUUCUUUUAAAUUUAUAUCAAAAAUAAUUUCUUCAUAAAUUUUUUAUAAAAUAAAUUAGUUUUCGUCGUACGGUUUUCACUAAAGAAAUAUCUUUGGCUGACAAGAUGUUGCAUCCUCACCAAACAUGACAGCUUUUAUUGAAGGAGAACAAUAAGGUUACUGACCUCACUAGAAUCCAUAAUAGCUGUUUACGAGGCUGCCACUUGUUUAUUACCGACGAGCCUGUUUCGUGUUUCAUUGUUUUGUCAACCUCAGUUUCUGACCUCCCCAGCCCACGAGUUCAACUCCAAAAAUUACAAUAAAAUAAAAUUUAAAAGGUCAUGCUAGUAAAGACACUAAGACCAUCCACAUAAGUAGAAUCUUUACCAUUUAAAAUACUUCAUCCGUCCUUAUAUGAAAGUAUCAUUUGCCUAUAAUAAAAUUAUGUUUAGAUAUUGGAACGGAGGCAGGGGUGGAGCCACCCUCCAUCUAGCCUGGCACUAGCCCGGGCUCAACUUCUACUUUCUUUGUAGCAAGGUCAGCCAUUACUAGAAACUAGGACUUUUCUUGCAGAUUUUGUCAAGAAUUUUGGUCCUGUAAAUGUAAUACCUUCGUGGGUAAUAAACAAGUGGCAGCCUCGUAAAUAGGAAUGUGCAAUUUUUACCCAGGAUUUUGGUCCUUAGGAUUUUAGGAUCCGCAGGAAAUGUGCAAUUAUUCGCAGAAAUGAAUUAACGUUAUAUGAGAAAUCUAUAAAAUUAUCAACAAAAAAUGUGCAAUUUUUAUCCAAACUCUAUAAAAUUUCUGGCUUCGCUACCGGACGGAGGGAAUAUAUCAUAUUCAAGUUGAAGUUUCAAAAGGAUUUUCGAUAAGUUCAUGAUUGUUGAUCGUUACACAUCAUCAAGUUGUGUGAUACGUCAUAUCUUUUUCAAGUUAUUUCUUUUUAGAAAUAGACCAAAUCUAGGUGAUUUUAAAAUGGAGUAACCAAUUUCCCCAAGUGGGCAAAAAUAAGGGAAAAUAAAUAGUUACUGUGCUUAUAUUUAAGCUAGCGUUUUUGUUUCUGUCUUUAUUUAUUGCGGUAAAACGUGUAAAUUAUAAAAAAAAUCUAAUGUAAAUUCAUACUUUUCUUUAAGUAACAAAAAACGUGUAUACUUUAAAAUAGUUAGUUAAUUAUAUUUAAGUCAUUUUUAAAUUUCACUUCAAUCUAUUAAGUUAUGGACAUUAUAUACUUUAAUCAUUUAAGUUUUUUUUUUAUCCCUUAAAUUAUAGAUAUUAGAUAUUUUGAUCCCUUAAAUUAUAAGUACUAGAUUAGAUACUUCAAUCUCUCUAUUUUUUUUAUUCAAAAUACUUCGAUCUCUUAAAUUAUGAAUGUCUAAUAUUUACAAAUUAAAACUUUGAAAUGACCAAUAUUUAUAACUUAACAUUUUUUUUAACUGAGUAUUCGACUCAAGGACAAAUCAAUUUGAUGGAGUUAAUUUUACCAUUCAUUUUUAGAGGGUCUCUUUGAAGCUAAAUCAUAGCUCUCUACGAAUUUAACCUAUUAAAAUUGACACUAAAAAAAAUCAAACCCAAAAUUAUAAAAAAAAAUACACUUUACGGUAUCAAUUCAACAACAUUAAAUUUUUUUUUUUUUUUGAAUAAAAACAUUAAAAAUUGAAAUGGGUUUAUAACUUAAUGGUAAUAGUUAUAGUUUAUUAAGAGAUCAAAUUCAAGUAAAAAAAGAAAUUAAAAGUAUGUGUUUAAUGUUUACAAUUAAAAGACCAAUAACGUUAUUUGGGUGAAGAAGAAAACGACCAUGUUUUUCCCUACAAAAGAGAAAAUGACGGGUAACAUUUGGAUGACAUAGAGUUGGGUGAUAUUGAUGAUAUUGGUUAAUCAUAAUGUCAGGAUGCUUGUGAGAGAGAGAAACACAAGCAUUGUGACAUUGUGAUUGAUCAAUAUCACCAAUGUCAUCCAACUCUAUGUCACCCAAUUGCUAUCCGAAAAGGACCAUGUUUCAUGUUUUGUCAUCAUCUUUGUAUUUAUGGCAAAAACAAUACUCCCUCCGUCCCAUUUUAAUUGAGUUUUUUGAUCAUUUCACACAUACUCCCUCCGUUUUUAAAUAUAAGCAAAAUUGGUUUUUUAGAUUCAUUCAACUAAUGACGUAUAUGGUUCAUUAAUUGAGUGAACCUGAAAAGUAAAUUUUGCUUAUAUUUAGAAACGGAUGGAGUAUUAAGAAAAAAAUGUAUAAGUAAAAGAGAGAGAAAAAUGGUUUUGAGACCUUUGUCAAGUAUUGGUAUACUCUUCUUUAUCAUAAAUGUAAAGUAAAAUAUAAUUAAUUGGAGUUGUUAAAGUAGAAUUAAUUAGAGUUAUAAUUGGAAAAAAAAGUAAUUAAUAUUGUAUUGAAAAGUGAUAUGAGUCAAUUUUUAUGGGACAAUAUUUUCUUAUAAAUGACUCAAUUAUUAUGGAACAGAUGGAGUAGUUAAUACAGUACAAUUCUUUUGGCAUCGUUCAUGACAUUUGAAAAAUGCUCACAAAUAUCCCGUGUUGCAACACUUGUUAAGAAAAUUAAUAAAAGUAUUAAAUUUUUUGAAAUUGACAUUGCUUUUUUAAUACAUUUGAUCUAUAAAAAUAUAAUAAGUAUUCGCCUCUCUUUGGCCGCUGGUGAGUGCUUGGAUUGGUUUUGAUGGUGUCGACACACAUGUUUUUUUUUUUUUUUGGAGAAGCGUCGACAUGCAUGUUAUUCAUGAUCAUUUCUGCCAAUUUAUUUAUGACAUAGGUGGUCUAAAAGCGCGACAGAAUUUUCUUCAGCUCAUAUGACUUUUGUGCUCUUGAAUCUUGUGGAAUGAAAGAAAUAAUAGAUUGUUUAAUAAUCAGGAAUGCACUAGUUAUCAGUUACUUGAAAAAGUAAAAUAUCAUUUUUUGUGGUGGCUGAAAGCUAGGCAUGUUUCUUUUGUUUUUGGUACUCAUGUGUGGUGGUUGAAUCCCCUUACGUGUUUGGGUAUCGGCUAACACCGUUUUGUUGUUACUCACUUGAUUGUUGUACAUUUAGUAGUCCUUUUGGGACGCCUAGUGCUGAAGAGAUUGAUUUGGUUUGUUAAUAUAAUUCAUUUUAACUUGUAAAAAAAAAUAUAAUAAGUAAUUUCUAAAUUAUUUUUAAUAAAUUUACAUAGUCCAUGAAUUAUCGUCACUUGUUAUAUUUACGUAGUUCAAUAACUAAAUUGGAGAUAAAGUUUUCUAAAGAUUAAAUUGACGGUCUAUUGUUAUAUUUUAUUUUCAUGCGUAUUUGUUUGGAAGGAACAUGUGAUGCACACAAUGUAUGUUUGAAUAAAAGACUUAAUCAAAUGCUUACAACAUAAUCUAUCCUUAGAAGUUUAUGAAAAUUACAACAUAAUCUAUCCUUAGAAGUUUAUGAAAAUAAACCAAAAUUAGUUUAUGAACAUAUCAUAAGCUUAAUUCAUAAACUCUUCAAAAUAAACUCACAAGUUCUUAAUCUUGUAGAUAAGUUUAAAUAAUUCAAUUCAAAUGGAUCCAAUAUGGCGGUAAAUUUAUAAUAAUGUUUUAUAUGCUUGUUUGAGAAUGAGAAUUGGGGUGAGAAUUACAAUUGUACCAUUUGAAAUGCGAUUAUUAUAGAAAUGAUGCACUUCUUCCAUCUGUUUUUGUUCACUCCCGUUAAAAUAGUCGAGCGUGAGUUAACUCACGCAUGUAUAUUCUCAGCAAGAGUUAACUCACGCAGGUGUAUUUUUCAAAUGGGAGAAGACCAAUUCUCGAUUAUUAUUAGCACAUGUAACCCAACUACCUGUGCUUCAAGAACGGCCGACACAUUUCUCAGCCGUGUACCUCUUUGAUUUCUUCUAUGACCACCUUUGCUUUGCUUCUAGAGAUAAUGUCCAAACUAACUUGUACAUAUGCCUUCAAUGCUUUUGAUGUAUUGCUGCAGCUGUGAGUAAACUAUCUGAGCUACUGCAUCACAACAUAAUAAUAUGAAUUUGGAUUCCUUCAAAUGAAAAUCUUAGCGAGAUCUCAACUACUCUGUCCAUUUCAAGUACUAUUUUAUUAAUUUCAAAGUUUAAUUUCAAUUUUUAGAUGAUGUUGAAGGUGAUUUUGAAAUGAGAGAAUGAAGAUUGAGCCUCUAUUAAACUAAUUUAGUGUUUGCGAGUUUUGUUUUUCUUUUUCCCCUAAAAUACGUCAUUCAUUCACUGAAAUUGGUAGACUACAUCAAUAGACUAAAACAAAACGGAAGAAAGUUGAUCAAGUAAAAAAUGUAAUGGACGUUUAUUUUCUUAAAAAUAUGGAUGUAAAGAACAUGACCAAUCGUCCCUGUGAGCUUGGCUCAGUUGACAGGAACAUUGCAUAAUUUAUGCAGGGGUCGAUGUUCGAACCCUGGACACCCCACUUCUCCACAUUUAAUUGUGUGAGCUCUAGCCACUAGGCUACUAGACAAAAAAACAAAAAGAACAUGACCAAUCAAUGAAGUGUUAACCAAAAUUAGUUGAUUUUGGUUUGCAACUAAUCAACCUUGGAGAAAUAUGAGUUGACUAUGGACACCAUCUCCACACUUUAGUAUUUUGGAAAUUUUGAGUUUGCACUCGAUUACCCUAAGUUUGAAAUUUUAUUACACAAAUAUUGUCCAUUGUCACCCCUUAAACCAAACUCAAACCAUGCAUCCCAUUAUGUAUUAGAGUUUUAUCGGUUUAGACAAUAGGUUCAGUCGCAAACACCCCUUAUAAUAAUCAUUCUUCUUCCCUCAAAAAAAAAAAAAAAUCAUUCUUCUUUCUCUUCUUAUCCCCUCCAACGAAAGACACUUAAAAUUAGAAUAAAAAUCUUUUGUACUUGACAUAUAACUGCACAAUAAUAUAUCAAAUAAGUAAUAAGACAUAUGACUGAUAUACUCAAAUAAGCUAAUGAACAAAUAGUUCUAUUAAAGUUAUAUUUUUAGAUUUUACAUAAUAUUUAGAGUAUGAGUUACGAAUUAUGACAAUUAAGUAAAUAUGUACAGAGAAUAAUGCUCAAAUACAAUUUUUUUUUUUUUUUUUUAGGGGAGAUAGACUAGAGAAUCAUAUAUAAAAGAGGGUUAUGUUGUCUCGUGAGCAUAGCUCAGUUGGUAGGACAAUGCAUUAUUAUAUGCAGGGGCCGGGGUUCGAACCCCGAACACCCCACUUAUAAGAUGAAUUUUAGUCACUAUGCUACCUGACAAAAAAAAAAAAAAAAAAAAGAGGGUUAUGUUCAUUAUAAGUUCUUUUGCAAAACUAUACCCACUUCAAUGGUUAAAGUGAUUUUGCUCGGUUUAAAAAAAUUUGGACAACUUUUUUAAAUUUUGUUGAACCGGUAGUUUAAAUUGUCUAAUCAAACAAGAUUUAUCAUGUCGAUUUGACUAUAAAAACACCAUGAAGUAUGAAACUUUGAUAAAAUAGUAAGGCUCUGUUUGGUAAAAAUAGCGGAUAGCUGAUAGCUGAUUUUAUUUUUUUUUGCUAAGCCAGGAGAUUGGACAGGCAUCAAGGGGAAGCAACAACAUCCCAACUAGGUUGGCACCCCGCAGAACCCUCAUCCUAUGCCGCCAAUCUCAGAUAAAAAAUUUAUUAAAAAAAAGGGAAAAAAGUACAUGAGGAGGGACUAAGCCAAAACCCUAAAAAAACAAAGCAGAAACAGAAAAGGAACAUAAAACAGAAAGAAAACAGGAGACAUAAAAAGAAACAUCUGUCUACAGGAACCUAGGGCGAGGGAACCCUCUCCAGUCCAAGAAGAAGUCAGUCUGAAGAGUCUGAGGCAACACCGAUAACCAAACCUUGCCUUGUAUCAAAUGACCCAAAUUCGCUAGAAAGUCCGCACAGGUUCCCAAAAGAUGGAACCUGUGCAAAUGUUACCAUUGGCUCCGCCAAAAAUAAUAAAAGAAAUAUAAAAUUCAUUUAUCACCUGAAUUUGAUCCUGAAGCUGAAACUGAUGACUGAUAGCUUAUAGCUGAUAGCUUAUAAGCUAAUUAAAGUGUUUGGUAAAAAUAGCGGUUGAACUAGCUGAUAAAUACAAAAUUACAUAAAAGGACAUUAUUAAUUCAUAUAAAAUUUAUACUACUAUAAAUUAAUAUUUAAGAUAUUUGAUAAUUUAAAUAUUUUAAAUAUAAUAAAUGUUUAUAUAAAUUAUUGUUUUUCGGUAAAAAUUUAUUUUCAAUUUAUUCCGAUUCAGUUUCCAGUUAUUAUACAUUAAUAAAAAAACUAAAGUAUACAAAUUUAUUUUAAGAAUAAAAUAAAAAAUAAUCAAUUCAUAAGAUUGAAAAAAAACAUUUGUUAAAAAAUACAAAGGAUAAAACAAAACAAAAAUACGUAUACAUACAUACCCAGUAGUAGUACAAUUGAAAAUAAAAAUUACAUUGCACAAUUAAAAGGACAACAACAAUAGAAAAAAAAAUUGUAUGUAUCUUAUAUUGAACAAUGGUUUCGUGGUAGAGAUUCAACCAUUGUAAGCUUAAUCGUGUGUACAUGUAGAUGUAGCAUCGUUUUUGUUUUGUUUUAAAUUAUAAUAAAAUUAAUUAUUAAGGGUAAACAUGGGUUUUGGUUAAAGUGGUAAGGGUAUAAAUGGAAUAAAACAUGAUAAGCUAUAAGCUAUAAGCUCAAACGCUACUUGUAAUAGCAUCUGAAAAAUAGCUUAUAAGCUCAUAAAAUAAGCUAUAAGCUCGUUGUAAAAAAUUGUUACCAAACAGAGCUUUUUUUGUCAAACGAGCUUAUAAGUUAUAAGCUCAUUAAAUGGGCUUACCAAACAGACCCUAAGUUUUCAAAUUCAUUAGUUUUGUGUUUUUAUGGGACACGAUUUAAAUUCCAACUGAGAUAUUUAUAAAAUAACUAUUGGUGUCACCGUUAAAUAAAAUAAAUAAUUUAAAAACAUAUAAGAAAAGCUGUCCAAAAGGGAAAACAGUUAUAUAUUUUAAAUAGUUUUUAGAUUUUUUUUUUUCAAAUUUUUAUAACAAAUAAAUAAUCUUUUCAAAGAGUUUGAACAUUUUACAAAUGAAAAAGUGUGUUUGUGUGUUUCAAUUGAUUCACACCUCUGUGAUAGUUGACAAAACCAAUUGAGAAAUUGUUUAAAGAGAUAUUGGUACUCAAAAGAGAUCAGUGUAUAACAAUAUUUUUAUUUAAUUAUUCUAAACAUUUGAGAUCUCUCAUGUAAAUGAAGUCGUUGAUCAUUUCUCAUUAGAAAUGAAGACGACAUCAAAUAUAACAAAAUUAUACAAUUCAUUCAAAAUGAAAUACAAAUGAAAAGGAUUUAUUAAGUCAAAUGUGUUUAGUUCAAAUUUUAAACCAAAGACAUUUAAAUUUUUAGAUUGUUUUUAAUAUUUCUUACAUUUGAGAGGAAGUACAUAAUAAUAUUAUUAUUAUUUUUGUUAAAGAAAAUAAUGACUUAAUACUCACAAAGUGAUCAUGAUUAUCUAUUAGUUAUUUCUUCUUUGAUGAGAAAGAAGAAUGGACAAUCAAGAUCAAUUUGUUGAAUAUUAAAUCACUCAACAAACAAAAAAUCUCGUUAUUUUUCUUAAUCCUAAUAAUUCUAUCAUGUAAUUGCUCUUGAAUGAAAUAUUAAAAAGCAAACUAAAAAGUCAAAUGUAUUUGGUUUAAAACUUGAAAUUAAUACAUCAACAUUUAUUUAUCUCCUUCACUUAUAUUUUAUUUCAAAUGAUUGUAUAUUGUUAGGGUUGAGAUCGUUUUCAUUACUAUCGAGAAAAUAAUAACGAUUUCAGAAAUGAGAAGAAAAUAUAAAUUUUAAAUUGUCUGAUCAAACAUGACUGAUCCUGCCGAUUUGGCUAUAAAAACACUAAAAUAUGAACCUUUGAUAAAAUAGUAAUUUUUCAAAUUCAUUAGUUUUGUGUUUUUAAAAGACACAAUUUAAAUUUCAACUGAGAUAUUUAUAAAAUAACUAUUAGUGUCACCGUUAAAUAAAAUAAAUAAUUUUAAAAUAAAAAUAUCUAUUGUUUAUUUGCCAUUACAAGAAUUACUUGUCAGAACAAUUGUACCAAUUUUUAAGAAAAGCUGUCCAAAAGUAAAAACAGCUAUAUAUUUUAAAUAGUUUUUAUAUUUUUUCGAAUUUUGAUAACAAACAAAUAAUCUUUUCAAGAGUUUGAACAUUAUACAAAUGAAAAAGUGUGUGUGUCUCAAUUGAUUCACACCUUUGUGAUAGUUGACAAAAUCAAUUGAAAAAUUGUUUAAAGGGAGAUAUUGAUACUCAAAAGAGAUCGGUGCAUAACAAUUUUUUAUUUUUUUUUAAUUAUUCUAAAUAUUUGAGAUCUCUCAUGUAAAUGAAGUCAUCGAUCAUUUCUCAUUACAAUGAAGACGAUCUCAAAUCUAACAAAAUUAUACAAUCCAUUCAAAAUGAAAUACAAGUGAAAAGGAUUUACUAAGUCAAAUGUAUUUAGUUCAAAUUUUAAACCAAAGACAUUUGAAUUUUUAGAUUGUUGUUAAUAUUUCUUUCAUUUGAGAGAAAGUACAUAAUAAUAUUAUUAUUAUUUUUGUUAAAGAAAAUAAUGAUGUUUUAGAUUUGUCUAUUGACUUAAUACUCACAAAGUGACCAUGAUUAUCUAUUGAUUAUUUCUUCUUUGAUCAGAAAGAAGAAUGGACAAUCAAGAUCAAUUUGUUGAAUAUCAAAUCACUCGACCAACACAAAAUCUCAUUAUUUUUCUUAAUCCAAAUAAUUCUAUCAUGUAAUUGCUCUUGAAUGAAAUAUUAAAAAGCAAAUUAAAAAGUCAAAUGUAUUUGGUUCAAAAUUUAAGUCUAAUACAUUAACUUUUAUUUAUCUCUUUCACUUAUAUUUUAUUCCAAAUGAUUAUAUAUUGUUAGGUUUGAGAUCUUCUUCAUUACUAUCCAGAAAAUAAUAACAAUUUUAUAAAUGAGAAAAAAAUAUAAAUGUUUAAAAAAACAAUUAAUUAAAACAAUAAUUCCCUAUUUUUUUUAAUUAAAACAAUAAUUUAAACAUCAAUCUCUUUCAAAUAUCAAUCGAUCUUGUAACAAAAAAAAUAUCAAUCGAUCUAUGUUAAACAAACUCCUCAUAUUAAAAUAAACAUAAAAAAAUAAAUGGGUAAAUACCUCUUUUCGUCCCUGUAAUAUUAGCGAAUUCCGGUUUUAGUCCCUGUAAACAAAAGAUUUAGAUUUUGUCCCUGUAAUUUCAGAUUCUUCCACUUUUGAUCCCUCAUUCCACCACAUCAGCAGAAUCUGCAUACAUGACACGUAAAAUGAGGGAUCAAAAGUGGAGGAAUAUGAAAUUACAGGGACCAAAAGUGGGAGGAAUCUGAAAUUACAAGGACGUAAUUGAUGCAAAUUUUGCUGACGUGAUGAAAGGAGGGACAAAAAGUGGAAGAAUCUUGAAUUACAGAGACAAAAAGAGGUAUUUACCCAAAAAUAAUAGUCACGUUAUUGAAUGUGUAGCACACAUACAUACAUACCUUUUUUUUUUUUUUUUUUAACUUAAACUCUUUCUUUUUCUUUAAUUCCCUUGUUUGGGAAAAACCAAACAAAGACUUAGCUAAAGCAAUUGUGACGCAAACCUGUUAAAAGAUGGUUACUUGCUGGGGGCAACAGGGAUAUCAUUUGUCACGAACAAGGUUUUCCUCUUGGUUCUGCUACAACUUGGAGAUGUCGAUUUGGAUAGAAUUGACAGGAACAUGUAAAGUUAUGAACUUGUCCUAAAAUAUAAGUGCCACAAAAAAAAAAAAAAACAUGCAUAUGUUUACGAUAAGAGAGAUAAACACAAAUAUUUAAAAUGAUAAUUAAUUAAAACAAAAAUUGAUACAUCAUCUCUUCCAAAUAUCACUUUAUCUAUGCAUGUUAAACAAGUCCUCAAUUGUCAUUGAACAUGCAUAAAAAAUUAUAGUCCCGGUAUUAAAAUUGUAGUUAGAUGAAAAUACUCCGAGUCGUAGAUUGCAUGCAAUGGACGAUAAAGAAUGAACAUAGUUCAAGAAAUAAAAAAAAACAAGAGAUAUUUUUUUUUGAAAUAACAAAAACAAGAGAAUGAAGAGAGAGAAAAAAAUUAAGCCAUGGAUCUACUUCACAUCUAGGCACUAUAUAUAUAUAAAAAAGUACAUUGACAAUUUAAGUAAAAAAAUUAGCAUCAUAAAGAAUUUCUUUAUUUUUUUACAAAAUAUAGAAUCUGUUUUUUUUUUUUUGGUCAAAUAUAGAAUCUGUUUUUAUAUAUCCUGUUUCGCGAAAAAAGAAUUCGUCAGACAAGGAAUAUUUGAUAACAUUUUCAAAAUAAAUGAAUACUCAUUAAAAAAUCCCCAUAAAAAUCAAUAUUACUAAGUAUAUGGAUGUACCAUACGUACUCAAAAGGAUACAAAUUAUUCAAUAAUCACCAUAAAUAAAACAUAGGUAUGUGAAUAUUUUUUAUUUAGAAUUUGUUUCCUUUAGGAAAAAAAAACAAUCAAGAUAUUGCCGAAAAAAUAAAUAACCAAUAAAAAAACUAAAAUAAAUUGUAAGGUAUCAAAUCACUGUCAAGUGGUGAAUUAUAAAUCUUAUAGGAAAAUAAGGCCAAUUGGAUGAAUUAUCUAACUGAUCAAUAUUCUUUCCCUUGAUUUUGUUGUUAGGGUUGGAAUAGGUCAGAUCGUACACAAGCUUUCGAUCUGACUCGUUUAGGUCUAGCUGUUUAUUAAAAAAGUUAAGCUUAUGUUUUUGAAAAUAUAUAUUUAAGUAAAUAGGUCAGAUUUAGACUAUCAAAAAAACCUACAAAUUCUGAUAAGCUGACAUAUUUAUGCAUAUUAAUAUUAAAAUUUAAUUUUUAUUUAUAUUAAAGUAUAAUUUAUAUUAAAUAUAAAAAUCAAGAAUUAACUCAAAUAAUUGACUUUUUAAAUAAGUUUGAAGGCCUUAUUGUGAAAUAUGCUUUUAAGGUCUUAUAGUUCUAGAUAUGCCUUACAAUGAAAUAGACUUUAAGGUCGAUUUAACAUAUUUAAAAGUAGUUAAAAUAGAUUAGUUAAUAACUUUAAUAUGAUUUCCUUCAAAAAAAUAACUUUAAAAUGAAAUAGAUCCGUAAAUAAGCUUUAAGUCAAACAAUGCCAAAAAAAAAAAAAAAGCCUACGAAAGGGCAUGGACCAAACUUGAAUUUUUUUUUCUUAGAUUAGGCUCAACCCUUUUAAAGUUUGACCUGACGUAUUUCCACCCUACUUGCCCUACUUUAGAUUCACACUUUGUUUUGUUUUUGUUCUUUAGUGUUUGCAUUAAAUAUUCUUAUGUAUACUCUUCACGGUACAAACUUUUUUUUGUAUCAAUACAUAAUUUGGAUUUCAUAGAUCUCAGUAAGAGUCACUAUUUCGUGAUUUAAUCUCUACCAAUUUAUUUUAGAAUUUUUUUAUUGUUUUUUAUUUUAUAAUAUCUUGAUUGUUUUUUUCCCCUAAAAGAAACAAUUCCAAAUAAAAAACUAUUAACAUAUUUAUAUUUUAUUUUAUGUCCAUGAUUAAUAUGUAUUCUUUUGAGUGAGUAUGAUUAAGGGUGACAAUAUAAUCUAUGAGAUCCAUAUCCAUCUACUAUAAAAUUCAUUCAUCAAACAAAAUUUUUGUUAAUGGAUUGGUUUAGAUCCAUCCAUUUAAAAUUAUGGAUUGAUUUGAUCCAUCCACCUUAUUGAUAACAAACAAAUAAGCUGACAUAUAUGUCUUAUAGGUCAGAUUUAGACUAUCAAAAAAGCCUACGAAUUCUGAUAAGCCGACAUAUUUAUGCAUAUUACUAUUAAAAUUUAACUUUUAUUUAUAUUAAAGUAUAAUUUAUAUUAAAUAUAAAAAUCAAGAAUUAACUCAAAUAAUUGACUUUUUAAAUAGGUUUGAAGGCCUUAUAGUGAAAUAUGUUUUUAAGGCCUUAUAGUUCUAGAUAUGCCUUACAAUGAAAUAGACUUUAAGGUCGAUUUAACAUAUUUAAAAGUAGUUAAAAUAGAUUAGUUAAUAACUUUAAUAUGAUUUCCUUCAAAAAAACAACUUUAAUAUGAAGUAGAUCCGUAAAUAAACUUUAAGUCAAACAAUGCCAAAAAAAAAAAAGCCUACAAAAGGGCAUAGGCCAAACUUGAAUUUUUUUCUUAGAUUAGGCUCAAACCUUUUAAAGUUCGACCUGACGUAUUUCCACCCUACUUGCACUACUUUAGACUCACACUUUGUUUUGUUUUUGUUCUUUAGUGUGCAUUAAAUGUUCUUAUGUAUACUCUUCACGGUACAAACUUUUUGUGUAUCAAUACAUAAUUUGGAUUCCAUAGAUCCCAGUAAGAGUCACAAUUUCGUGAUUUAAUCUCUACCAAUUUAUUUUAGAAUUUUUUUAUUGUUUUUUAUUUUAUAAUAUCUUGAUUGUUUUUUUCUCCUAAAAGAAACAAUUGCAAAUAAAAAACUAUUAACAUAUUUAUAUUUUAUUUUACGGCCAUGAUUAAUAUGUAUUCUUUUGAGUGAGUCUGAUUAGGGGUGGCAAAAUGAUCUAUGAGAUCCAUAUCCAUCUACUAUAAAAUUCAUUCAUCGAACAAGAAUUUUGUUAAUGGAUUGGUUUAGAUCCAUCUAUUUAAAACUAUGGAUUGAUUUGAUCCAUCCACCUUAUUUCUAAAAUUCAUUGGCUCACCUCCUUAAAAAAAUAAAGUCCAAUGGAUAAUUUAAAAUAAUAUUAAACUAUUUUUAUUUUAAUAAUUAAAUACUUGAUAAAAUAAAAAUAAUUUAAUAAAAAACUGAUAGAAAAAAAGGAAAAAAAUAGUUUUUUAAUAUUUAAAUAUUAUUUUAUUAUAGGUGGUGGUCAAAGCCGGAGUUGGACCGAUCAACGUUGGAGCUCCACCGUCGACCACCGUAAAUCGCCAGAGCACCACCGUGCGUCACCUUGGGUCGUCUGAAGACCACCGUGGUCAACGGCGGCGACAGUCAGUUGAACACCAGCGGCCAUCCCUGACCAUCCUAUUAUUUUAAAUUAUUUAAUUAUUAGUUUUUAAUAUUUCUUUAACUUAUUUGGGCUUAUUCAAAAGUAUUAUUGGGCUAGUUAGAUAGAAUUUAUUUGGAUUGAAUAUGCUACCAAAACCCUUUAAUAAUUAAUACACCUCUAAAAAAAAUAUACACUUAAAAAUAAAAUAAUACACUUUGAUUUAUGGAUUGAAUGGAUUAUCCAUCCAUUAAAAUCUAAUUCUGGAUGGAUUAUAUUUAUCGACGAGUGAUCUUUUGGUCUUUAAAAACCGGUCACUUGUUCUGGUUUUACUCCGUAAUCGCUGGCAUAAUGUUUGCAACCAAGGAAUUCAAAUUAUCUCAUCUCACAUCUUUAGGGAAGGGAACUGUUGUGCAAAUUUUAUGGCUAAUAUGGGACACAUGACCCAAGGCAACGUUUGGUUAUCGGUUUUGCCUCAGACUAUUCAGACUGACUUCUUCUUGGACCAGAGUGGGUUCCUUCGUUCUAGGCUCCCGUAGUCAGUUGUUGCUUUUUCUUUCUGUUUUAUUUAUGUUUCUGUUUCUUUUCCCGUUUUCUUUUCAUGAGGGUUUUGGCCUAGUCCCCCCCCCUCUUGUAACCUUUUUCCAUUUUUUUAAUAAAAUUUUUUAUGAGUUUGGCGGCACAGGAUGGAGGUUCUGCGGGGUGCCAACCUAGUUGGGAUGUCGUUACUUCCCCUUGAUGCCUGUUCAAUCUCCCGGCUUAGAAAAAAAAAAAAUGGACAUAAUAUCCAAUUGAUGGAUUGGAUGGUUUUUUUUUUUUUUUUUUUAUAUAACAAAAAAAUAGUGGAUUUUAAUGGACCAAUGAAUUUUUUUUUUUUUUGGUCAAGUCGCCUAGUGGUUAGAGCUCUCACAAUUAAAUUGUGGAGAAGUGGAGUGUCCGGGGUUCGAACCCCGGCCCCUGCAUAUAAAAUGCAAUAUCCCUACCAACUGAGUUAAGCUCACGGGGUGGACCAAUGAAUUUUUAUUAUCUAUCAAUUGGUAUCCAAAUCCAUAUCCAUCCAUUUUGCCGCCCCUAGGUCCGGUACAUACAUUUACCCAUUGAUAUUGAUUUUGAUGGGGUUUUCUUAAUGAAUUUGUUAAAAUUUUGUAAAUUUCCUUGCUUUUUGAAAAUUAGAUUCUAUAUGUUUGUUCGUUUAUUUCCUUCGGAAAUUAUCACUAUAUUUUUUUAUAUAUGCUGGCUAGCUUUCAUGGAGAUCUAUGUCAUGAUAUAUUCUCUUUAAUUAUCAUUAUCUUGUUUUUGUUUACUUUCUUGAACUCCCUUCAUUCUUCAAUCUCGUGCUUUGCAUGCAACUUGAUUAAAGACAUUUAUUGAGAGGAAAAAAGGUCCUUUCGUCCAAUUUUACAUUGAAUAUUGUGAAUGUAGUUAUUAUUAUUAUUAUUUUUUAAUGUUUCACACCUCGUUAUAGUUGACAAAAUGGCCAAUUGAGAGCUUGUUUAAGAGAGAGAUUGAUAUAUAGAUCAGAGAUCGAUCUAUCAAUUUAUUUUUAUUUAAUUAUUUUAAACGUUAUGUAGUCAUAGAUGGAAAGUCUUUUUUCCAUCUAUCAAUAGAAAUGAAGACAAUCUCAGCUCUAAUAAAAUUAUAUACUCAUUCUAAAAGAAAAGUCUUUUUUCAAUAGAAAUGAAGACAAUCUGAACUCUAGUUAUAUUAUGUACUCAUUCCAAAUUGAAAUGUAAACAAAAAAGAACUAAAGAGUCAAACUUAUUUACUGUAAAAUUUAGACUAAAUACACUUGAAUUUUUUAUAAUUCUAAAUUGGUUUUAGCAGUCUUAUUAUUUGGGUUAAUGAAAAUGAUUUGAUACUUAAGAAAUGACUUUUGAUUAUCUAUUUAUUUUUCUUUGAUCAGAUAUAAAAAAUGGUUAGGAGAAAAUCUACCAAUUGAAAAUAAAGAAAGCAUCAAGCUAAAUAGUUGAUGUUAUUCAAAAUUGACCGGUAAGCCAAACUGUUAUAUUUGAUUGGUUUAAAUGUGUCAUUGGUCCCUGCACUUUCAUCAAAUUUUGACAUUGGUUCCUGCAUUUUAUUUUGUUUGGCAUUGGUCUCUGUACUUUGUAAAAAUAUUGGUAUUGGUCCCUCUGUUGAAAAAAAACACAAAACCAACGGUGUGCCACAUGGCCCAAUCAUUUCACGCCACGUGGCACCAAUAUCAAUAUUUUUACAAAGUGCAGAGACCAAUACCAAUAUUUUUACAAAGUGCAGGGACCAAUACCAAUAGUUUUGUGUUUUUUUUUUUUUAACAGAAAGUUAAUAGAGGGACCAAUACUAAUAUUUUUACAAAGUGCAGGGACCAAUUCCAAACAAAAAAAAGUGUAGGGACCAAUGCCAAAAUCUGAUGAAAGUGCAAGGACUAAAUGCAUAUUUAAACCUAUUUGAUUCAAAAGAGGGUCACCUACUGCCGCACCCCAAGGAUAUAUAUAAAAAGAAAAUAAAGUACAAAAAAGAGGGGGGACAUAAACGAAAACACUCAGAGAAACAAAAAAUUAUAGAAAGAGAAAUUAGAGCUUCAAUUGAAAACCUUUAGAAGUACUUACCCUAAGCUUGGUAGGGUAAGGCCCUUUGCUAGCUUCUGCCUGUUGCUUAUGAUGCUUCUUCUUUUUCUUUGAGACAACCAUUUGAAAUUGUUGAUUGGCAUCAACUUCAGCCAUAUUAUCCCAUGAUUGUCUAAGAAAAUCCACAUCUCUUUGAAAUGCAGCAGGAAUAGGUGGAACACCUAGAGCAAGUUACCUCCUAUCAGAUCCAAAAUCUUGCUCAAGAUCAUCGGUGGUGGAAUCUCGACAGUAAUCUAUAUCAGUCACAACAUCACACCAAGUACCAAUUAUACACAUAUCAAGAAAGUGUUGGUCCCUGUUAUGUUCCUCAGUCAUCUGAUAAACAUGAGCUAAAGAGACAGAGCUGCUCAGUAGGGUGGUGCCGCACAGGUUGUGACUCAUUGAACUCUUAAGUCUUCAUCUCAUCAUCUUAGUUGGAGUCUGCCACAAAUUCAGAGCAAUGUGGACUAUUGUCUUCAGUUUCAUUUCUACUGAUUUGUGCAAUUGCUUCUAAUUCCGAGUUGACUUCAUUUUCAAGUAACUUUUCUGCAUCAACCAUUGUGUUUCUGAUAUCAUCCUGAUGUUCCACCUUAGCACAUAUUGAAGCAUCAAAACUAUUCUUUUGCAUUAGUUCAGGUGCAUGUGCAAUUGUGCUAGUACCUGCUAAGUCUGUUUGUUGAAAUGUAGCUUUCCCUUUAUCAGCAAGAGUAGCAUUUAUAUUUCCUUCAACAUUCUCAUUAACAAUAAUAGGGUUCUCAACAUUACCACCCUGUUUUGUCCUUCUAUCCUUCACUUGUACAUAACCUUUCCUUUCUUCCUUGGUGUUCUUCUUUUGAUUUUCUACUUCAGUAUUGUUGACAGAAUUAUUAGCAAACUUGCAUAUUUCAAUAUAGUGUCCAAUUUUGUUAUAGUGAGUACCAAAAUCAAGUAAGUUUUCGUACUCAAAGUUAACAAAAAAUGCAUAAUUUUUUCUUUCCACUAACACUUUGUAUCUCAAGUUUUGUGACAAAUCCAUGUCCACCAGAACCCUAGCAAAUUGUUCAAAUGUUCUUUCAACCAUUGGUUUGGAUAAUGCAGCAUCAAUGCAUAUUGGUGUACCUACACCAUUAGCUAUGGCAAACAAAAUCUUGGGUCUCCAAUAUUCUUGUGACAGGGCAUGUAUCCGUACCCAAACUUGUGCUGAUGAACUGUUUUGCACACUAGGGCUAAAGUCAUUUGUCCAUGUGAACAAUUUUAACAAACCAAGGUUUAGAUUCCAUGAGGCAAUAGAUCUAACCUUUUUGACAUUUUCCAAACAAGAAAAUGAGAAUUCAUAAAAUCCUUUACUUAAAGACAUGACUCCCCAGACGCUUAAGUUCUUCCACAUCUCUGAGUGUUUGGUGCGCAAAGCCAGAGCAGUGAGAGGAGUGGAACCUUUGGUCCAGAUGACCCUGGCAUGGAGGUUGUGCUUGCAAGUCUUCAUCUCUGCAUCAUACUCUUCUUCAGGUAUAUCAAUAGCAAACUUAUCACUCUUGAGGACCGGUUGGAAAGUUAAGAAGAGGGUAUGUCACAAAGGUCAUUCAGGGCUUGAACAACAAUUUUUGCUUAAUUUUGCAAAGCAGGGGGUUUUUUUUUUUUUAAGUUGAUAUGAGGAUGAAUUUUCAUUUUGGAGACAUUUCCAAGAGAUUAUGUCUGGUUUGUUGGUUGGUUUUGGAAGAUUAGAGAUAUCACCAUGAGGGUUAGGGUUUGUGUUGUCUGAUGAAUCUUUAGUGGAGUUUUUGUUUAGAUCUUGUUGUGGUGGGUCUUCAUAGAGACAAGACCAAGGGAUUAUGACAGUUUUCACGAUGAUCGGAACCGGAAAAGACUAAGAUGACGGUGGUUGAAGGGUUAUCUGGACAAUCGUAUUCAUAUCGCCACCUCAGCUCAUAUCCCUUUUUGGCUAUCUUUUUUAUAGUCAUUACUAGAAGGUUUCUUAUUGUAAUUUAUAUAUUUGUUUGAUUUGCUAGUAUAAUCUUUCUACUAUUAUAUUACACUUUACAUUUAUGAUACAUGAACUAAUAUUUGACUACAAUAAUAACUUUAAUUAAUUUUUAAUAUUUUUCAGCACCCAUUGUUUUUUUUAAAAGGUACUGGUAAACUAAUUUAUUUUCGUGAUAUAUUUGACCAAAUAUAUUUGACAUUUAAUAAAAGAAAUAUUAAUUUAUUGUUAUUCAAAAUUGACCAGUAAACUAAUUGUUUAUAUUUUAAUUUUUUAUUUCAUUCUACUUCAUUAGUCUUAUCUUAAAAAUUGUAUCGGAUUUAUGUAUUUUUAGUCAUUAGUAUGAUGUUUCUUAUUGUAAUUUAUAUAUUUGUUUUAAUUGGCAAUAUAAUUUUUCUACUUUUUUAUUACACUUUACAUUUAUGAUGAUGAUGAUGAAUAUAACUAAUUUUUGACUAGAAUAUAUAACUUUAAUUAAUUGAGAAUAUUUUCCCCCACCCAUUGUUUUAAAAAUACCGGAACUAAAUAUGAGCAAUUGGCCUCACUUAUAAAGCCAAAUGUGAGUUAGAGUUUUUAUAUCCGAUGCAAGCUCAAGCAAAUAAACAAACCAAAGUUAGAGUGUGAUUGAGUGUACAAACCAAUGUAAGAUUCUUUCUCAACUCACCUCUUUUAGUUUUCAUGCUUGUUUAUUUUUUGCUUCUAAAUGAAACAAAUUUCAAAUAAAAAAUGUUUUAUUUUAUGGAUUGAUUUGUAACCUUUGAUCGGUGCGCAUGUAUGAUACCCGCUUGCAUUUACCUAGUAAUGUAUUGAUUUUAUUUUUGUUCUGGUGUAUAUUAAUUAGUUGUGUAUUGGUUUUGAUUACAAUUAUUUAUUAAGAUUUUUGUCAAAUAUUGCUAACUUUUUAUUUAUUUUUGACCGAAGAAUAUAUGUGUCUUGAUUUCUUCUUCUCUAUCUCCAAUUACUUGUUUUUGUGUAUAGCUCUCUUGAACUCCAUUCAUUCUUGUAUAUAUAUCGUCGUUUGCAUGUAAUUUUUGAAUACUACACACUAUUUCAUUGUUGUUGAUAUGUUUCACACCUUAAUUUGCUUUACUUGACAGUUAAAUUCAAUUGAGGAUUUAAUUUGUGAGAGAUUGAUAUUUAUAAGUGGAUCGGUGUAUCCAUUUUUCUAUUUAGUUUAGUUAUUUUAACAUGUAAGACCAUCUCUCAUAAAUGAAGUUGUUAUUUAUUUCUCAAGAGAAAUGAAUAUGAUCUCAACUCUAAUAAAAUUAUGCACUCUCUCGGGCUUUGGCCCUCUUAGUAAUAAAAAAUAAAAUAAAAUUAUGCACUCUCUUUAAAAAUGAAAUAUAAACUAAAAAAGAUCCAAAAUCAAAUUAGGCCUUUAAUUAACAAAAUUGAUCUUGUUCAUCUCUCUUUGUUCAUCUUCUUUGAUUAGAUUUGGAGUUGUAACUUGAAAAUGGCGCCAAAAAAGAGAAAAUCAACGAAAGAAAAAGAAAAGGUUGACGCAACAAGCGAAGAUGAAUUUUAUUAUCAAACAGUUCGAAUUGUGGCUAACGAUCCCGAUGCAACAGAGAGUUCAAGUGAUGAACAAGUUCAAAAACCUAAUCCCUCAAAACCAUUACUACCUAAGAGAAUUUUGUGUGAGUUUGUGCAACCAAAUCCAGAAAUAGUUAAAAAGCUUCCUCAAAAACAAGGAUUGUGGAGAAGGUUUUCCACAAGCAUUUACAAAGGUUUUCGGCGCCUCCGUGGGAACAAGGAAAGAUAUGCAGCUCAGAUUAGAAAUCCAUUUGAAAAGACAACUGAGUACCUUGGUACUCAUGAUACCGAGUAUGAAGCUGCUUUGGCUUAUCGCAGAAAGACUAAGGAGUUCCAUAAAAGAAAGUUAGCUGAUUCGAACAAGGACAAACAAGGUUUGGCUCAUUCAUCUCUUGAAUUAAUCAUUAGUACUUUGCUUAAUUAUUAUCAUUAAUUACUACUAACGUAUCAAAUUUAUGAAGAUGAUGUUGAUUAUGAUUAGUGUAUUGUUAAUUUGUUAAGGAGAGGAGGCAGUUGCACCUGUUCUUAAUCAAUAUUGCAAGGAACAAGGGAAAGGGUAUGAUCCCUCUGACGACGAUGAUGAUGACGAGGACGAUGACAUUGGAGGUAGAAAUGUUAAUGAUGUUGCAGGUAGAAAUUAAUUAACAAUAUUAUGAUCCUUGUACUUAAAAAACAUUCUUUAGAUGUCAUGGAAUUAGCAUGGAUCGAUGAAAAUUAAUUUGAAUAAUGUUGAUUGUACUUUUGCAGUUUGAUGAAACUAGCUAGCUGUUCAGGCAUGCAUGCAGAGAUUGACCAGCCUUUAAUCCACAUGCAGCUGCUUACAAGAUUUUAAUUUGUUUGGCAUGUUAGAUUAGUUAUCUAUGAUAACAAAAUUUUAUGGAAUUAUAACUUUGUUUAACUUUUUCAUGGUCUUCGAGAAAUUUUAGUUUUUUUUUUAAUAUUUUUAAAUAUAAUAAAAAAUAGCUGGACUUGCGUGUGAUGAAAUUCUAUGAAAAUUGUCCGUCUUUGUAUAUGCUUUCAUUUUGUGUGUGUUGCAUAUUAUAUAGUAAAUUCUAGGUGACGGUAACAUUAGUGGCAGUUCAAAUUUGCUUAACAAUUUGCUGAUCGUGGAUUUUAUUUAAUUAUAUAAUCAUAAUUUAAUUAGUUUGACUUGAAUUUUUAGACUAAGAUUAUUAGUUUUAUUCCUUCAAGUUUUUAUAAGAAAAUACAAACAGAAGAGAUCUAAAAUGUUAAAUAAUUUUGGUCUAAAUUUUAGAUCAUAUAUAUACAUUCGACCUUUUUUUUUAUUUUUUAUUUUAUUUUAAAACAAGUAUUAACUUUAUGUGAUUCAAAAUUGACCACUGAACCUGACUGUUACAUCAUUGUUUUAUCUUAAAAAUAAUAAAAUAAUACUUAUGUAUUUUUAAUCAUUGCUUGUAUGUACUACUAUUAUUUUUCUUAUUUUAAUUUAUGUAUUUGUUUUAAUUGCUGGUGUAAAAUAAUAUUACUACUAUAUGUGAGUCACUUGUAAGUCAUUAUUACACUUUUCAUUUAUAAUAAUGUUGAAUAUGAACCUAUACUUUUUGACCAAAUGAACAUAUAUACACUUGAAAACAAUAAGUUGAUAAUACUAUCUUUCCAUUUAUUUUACUUUUAAAUUUGUGUGAAGCAAGCAAAUGUGUAGUUAUUGACUGGAAUUGAGUUGAGUGUCCAAAAAAUACCGAUUCGGUCUGGGUUCGUGGCAGUAUAUAUUUUCUUGUUAUCAUAAAUUAGUGGAAAGAUUUAUAUGUUAAAACACAAUCGAUUUUAGAUAAUAAAAUUAUAAUAAAAUGAAAGCAGAAAGAGAAAGAAACAAUAUUUUCUCAUGAAGGGAACAUUAUUCACUUUCUUAUGAUUGAAAAAUAUUUUCACCACCAAAGAAUACAAAAAAAAAGAAGAAGACAUAGAGACCAAAACAAUUGCAUAUAAGUAUAAAAAACAUUAAAGAAAUCCACAUAAUGGAUUUUGGUAUGUUUUCCUACUCUUUUAUAGAAAUUCAUAUCAUAGUGAGAAUCAUGAUAUCAAAAUCUUAAAUAAAAUUUUGCUUAACACUCUUGCCCUGCAAAAACCCCGAGCCAAAGAGACCCUUAUGUUACACCUCCUCUCCAUUACCGGUAAUCAAUCCAAAACCAUUAAAAUUUUGCACUUCAAUAUUUUUUCACAUAAAUAAGUAUCAUAACAAAUUUGGACAUGGAUCAAUUUUAAAUUCCAAAUGGGAUAAUUGUGGAAAACAUAAAUAAGGAUAGCGUUGAAGAAUCUACGACUUCUAUUUACAUUAACUUGUUGUUUCCUUUUCAAGAAAGGUGUGCAUGGUUUUCAACAAUACAAUAAUUUGACUGUUACAACUUACAAAAAUUUCUAUUGAUGUUUCAAUUUUUGUUAACUAAGCAUUGAGUUUGAGAAGAUAUUUUCUACAAAAUCUAUGUUGGAUAUUUUAGUAUGAUGAACACUUCUAACCUUUAGUGUCUGGGUAAAUUACUAGUAACUUUCUCAACUUUGUUUCUUAGUUGCAGUUGCAAAUGGUCGAAGUGGACCCGUGAGUAUGGGUUCGUCAUUUGUUAUGUGUGGAGAAAAUAUCUCAUAUUGUCUAUUGAAGACUAAUAUUUAAAAAUCUUUGAUUAAAAUUGUUUUCAUAAUUAAGGAUAGAAAUGAUGACUUAAUCGGUGUCGAUUUGACAAAAAAAUAGCAGGUCAGUACCUCAAAAAUAAAUUUAUAAUUAUAUUUAUUUUGUUGUUGUCAAAUCAACAUGAAUGAAGUGAUUGUAUCAAAUGUAAAGAUGUGGAAGACUCUUAACUUAUAAUCAAAGUUGACGAGGUUGGUCUUUUCAAUUUUUUUUUAGCAAUUUUUAGAUAUUGAUCCACAAUUACACUAUGCAUCCAAACCAAAUUCACUCUUGGCCGUUGCUGGUUUCUUGCAAUCUAAAUAUAACCCUUACAAUAUUUUUGGGGUAAAUUCAAGGUGUCAUGGAUCAGGAGGUGGGAAAAUUCUUUGAGGGAUCUCUUUCAACAAUUGCUCUUUCAUAUGCAAAAACAUGAAAUUGAACUCUUCACGACAUCGUUAAGAAACUCAAUUAUCUAUCAACUAUGUGCGCGGCACCAUAUCUAUAAUAACGAGUUUGUAUGUCUAGUCUAGUCCUUUUCUGAGUAUGUUACAUGUUAAGUGGUCUAUGGAGUGUGACCUUGACCUUACCCUAUCCAUAUGCUUUUUUUCAUUUACUAACUUGACCUACAUGCCUAACUUUUUUUGACAUGCCUAACUAGUUAUCCAUGUGUCUGUGUAAAAGUUACUACAUCUUUGCAAACAAAAUUUCAAUUUCAAAUUAAGGAUAGUAGCAACUAGCAAAGACACAUUAUUUAACAAAAAAUUAAGAAAACUGUUACUGGAUUGUUACUCAACAUUUUGAGGACUAGUUGGUGAAAUUAAAGGCACCCAUCGUACGCAAAACUUUUAAAUUUGAUGUUAAAUUUUACAACUUAAAUUUGUGUCUAUUGUAUCCGUUUCUUAUAUAUAUUUUUUUAAAACAAACCAAAUAUUAAAUCUCAAGGUAACUUUGUUUAAUAAUAAGCUGCAGUAUUCUUUUUUGGGUCAAGUACAAAUAAGUACAAAACUUCAAUCUAAGAAGAAAAAUAUCAUUGAUAAAUAUAUAAAAAAUCUGAUAGUAAGCAGAAACUAUAAGCAAACGUUUUAUCUAAGUGAUAGCUAUGGAUCAUAGGAUUAACCAAGAACUGAUUUUGGAAUGAAUAUCUGAUUCUGAUCGAUCAGUUAUAUUCACCAUGAUGUCAUAGAACUCAAAACAGGUGUCAUGAUAUAACUUGAAGUUUUUAAAAUACAAUAAUCAGGUUGAUAUUAACAAUGUACUAUAUAAAAAAAAUAAGAUUCUUCAAAUUUAAGGCUUUUAGCCACAUGGCACGAGUUAUUAAUAAUAUUUGUUCUUUCUAUAUGCAUUUGUCCCCUAUUAUGGAUAAACUGUUGGUGGCAGUAGCAUCAGCGAUAGAGAAUGUAGUGAUACUUGAUAGGAAAGCUGUGGCAUUAUGGUACUGAAGAUGGCUGUCAGUAAUGGGAAGAGGAUGAAGAGAUUUCAUAAGGUCUAACUCAUAUCAUUUAAGAUUCUUAACUAAUGUUUCGAAGUACUGAUUAAUAUUUAUCCAUCAUUAACUUAAUCAGUAUCCCGAAACAUUAGUAAACAACUAGUAGUAUUUUAGGGAUCGAUUUAACAUUUUUUGUAUCUUCAUCCAUCAUUAACUUAAUCACUGUAUCAUGUAAAAAAAAAAAAACUUAAUCACUGUAUAACAUCUUUUUUUAGUUAUAAGCUCUUUUAAAGCCUAAUCUCUUUUUCAAUGGGUGAGAUUUGAUAAUUCUGUAAUAAUUACUAUUUAUGAUUUUGCAAAACCAAUAAAAACAAAAAUAUCACCUCUAGCAAUAUCUAUCAUCUAUAUAUGCAAAAACCAGUGCAAUUUAUGGUUUUGGUAUAUAUGCAAUUUUACCUGGCCCAAAAAAUAUAUAAAAUCCUAUGGUGAACUAUUCUUUGGACUGAUUCCUAGAAUGUCAACACCCGGGGUUGUUUUGCAUAAGCAAUAGCUAUCUACUUUCUCUUACCCAAUGGGAAGCAAUCCAUCCAUUUCCCUCUUGACAAGAUUUUUUUUUUUUUUUUUUGUCAAGUUGACAAGAAUUUAUCUAUAUACACCAAUCUCAAUUAUCACCUUUUGUUUUGUCCACAAAUUAAAUGUGGGAUAUGUUAACAUGUUUCCCGGAACACUGGUUAAGGAAACAAAAAAAAAGUUUUAAAUUAAAAGAAAUAUUUUUUAGACUUUUAAUGGGUUGACUGCACAAGUUCCCAAUGUGAUGUUACUAUAUUUGUUUCCUUAACCAGUACUCCGGGAGUAUCGGUUAACAUUACUCAUUAAAUGUUUACAUAUCAUAUGAAAUCCACAUAAUUUAAUGCAAGCAGUUGAUAUGGAGUGUGUGAAUGUCGUAAAAUCCAAGUACCAAGUUCGAUUCCUCUCAGAAUUUAUUUAUAGUACAUGAUAAAGAUUAAUAACAAACCAAUGAGAAAUUUGGUAAGGUUUGAAUUUGAUGAUAAAAUAAUAUUAGCCACUAGUGUACUCAAGGUCUCAAGUUCGAUUAUGUCUGGUGCUAAUUUGGGUGGACUAAUUUAGUUUCUUAAAAAACAUAGGCUUAAAUAUGUCUUUCGUCCCUGCAAAUAUAGGCCAUUUGAAUUUUCGUCCCUGAAAUUACUAAUUCUUCCAAUAUGCCCCUGCAAAUAUUAAUCAUUUGACUUUUGGUCCUAAUUACAUCUGAUUAGUAACUUCAGGGAUGAAAAUUCAAAUGACCUAUAUUUGCAGGGAUGAAAGACUUAUUUAAGCAAACCACCUCACCCAAUCAUCACUUGCCACAUGGGCACCACGCCGCUAAUGACAGCCCACCUCAGCAAAAAAACCUAAUUAGGACCAAAAGUCAAAUGAUUAAUAUUUGCAGGGGCAGAUUGAAAGGAUUAGUAACUUCAUGGACGAAAAUUCAAAUGGUCUAUAUUUGCAGGGACGAAAAACAUAUUUAAGCCAAAAACAUAUUAGCCACUGGUGUAAUGUAAGAUAAAAGACAGAAAAACAAGGCAAGUACCCAAAUACCAAAUUUAACUAAAUUUGGACACCAUCAAUAUCAAGUAAUGCUUAGCACAAAACAAAGGUAAAAGCUGAGAUACUGUACAAAAAUUAGUUAACCAGAAUGAUAAACAUUAUUGAAACACUACUAUACCCCCCGCAUGUAAUGGUUGAUGAAUUACAAAAAGAAGAGAGGACAACAGAGAGAGAAUAUGGGUAGAAUACCACAGCCGGUGAGAUGAAAGCAACCUAAGGAGAGGGGACCUCAAAUAGCAGACAUUAUUGAAUUAUUAUACAUGUAACACAACAAAUAUGUCUUACUCAAAAAUUUAAUGCACAAACCCUAAUGGGUCCAUAAGAAAUCCUAUAAUUAAAAAGACAACCAAUUAGAAUUCAGAGAAUAAGAUUAACUUCAACUCUCUAGCCAAUCAACACUAAGAUCAUACCAAUUGGUGGGUCCCAUUAACCUCCAUUAAUAUUCCUGUAGCAAAUUACCAAAAGUGCAUGGGCAGAGAGAAAAAAAAAAAAAAAAAGUACCUACUGACACUAGUGUGUCUCCUUCAUCACAUUGUCUAGUUUCAACAAACACAAACCAUUAAUUGAAUCAUUUUUUUGACAUAAAACAAUAUAGUUUAGUUAUAUUCUAUGAUUAUAGACAUGAAAGGUGAUGCAGAUGCAGGUGCCUUGGGAGCCAAGACAGCAAGAGCAUGUGAUAGCUGUUUAAGAAGAAGAGCACGUUGGUUUUGUGCUGCAGAUGAUGCUUUCCUUUGUCAUGGUUGUGACAAUUUGGUUCACUCUGCAAAUCUAUUAGCAAGUAGACACGAAAGGGUUCGCCUUCAAACCGCGUCUGCUAAGGUAACAACAACAGCACAAGCAUGGCACAGUGGAUUCACAAGGAAAGCAAGAACUCCCCGCCACAACAAAAAUUCGUCGAUUCAACAACAACAGCAACGUCUCAAGGAAAAAGUUCUCUUCAAUACUAGUUUUCUUCCACUUGUUCCUGAACUCGGAGGUGAAGAAGAACAAGGACAAGAACUACUUGUUGAUAUUGAUGAGGCUGAUGAGGAGCAGUUGCUGUGUCGUGUGCCAGUUUUCGAUGCCAACCCUUUUGAUUUAGAGACUUGUACUGUGAAAAAUGAUGCUGUUGAUUUUGAGGAAAUGUGUGACUUGGAUAGUUUCUGUGAGUUUGAUGUUGAUCUUGCUGAAUUUGCAGCUAAUGUUGAAAGUUUACUUGGUGUUGGGAGUAGUGAGAUUCAAGAGAAUUCAUCAGGACAAGUGUUUGAUUAUAAACAAGAGAAUGAAAUGGAUGCAUCCAAAAGUGAAAUGUUAAAGGUUAAGGAUGAAGAACUUGAUGAUUUGGAAUCAGUUUUUGACAUGACAAGUGAUGAUGUUUUUCAUUGGAAUAUUGAUAAUAAUGAUGUAUCACUAGCACAACAAGAGAAAGAGUAUAUGCCUUUGAGUAAUAGUAGUGUUGGUUAUAGUGAGAGCGUUAUUACUAAAGAAGAAACAAAGAGAGAGAGAUUUUUGAGACUAAACUAUGAAGAGGUUAUUACUGAAUGGAGCAGGCAAGGUUCUCCUUCUCCAUGGACUACUGCAAACCCUCCUAAGUUCAAUUGUGAUGAUGAUUCAUGGCAAAACUUAUUGGUACUUCAACUUUUCAUUUUUUUUCUCAAUCAUCUCUUUUACACUAUACUAAACAAGACAUUAAAUUAGCAACAAAAAUUUAGUGAUAACAUAAUUUAGAUAUUUUAUUUUUUCCAUAUGUAAUUGAAACGACUAGGGUUGAAUCUCAGUAGAUCGUGGCAGCAAGGUCACUCUACCACUUAGUUGUAAUUUAAUACAUGUAUAUGAUAUUUGACAUGUGAAUAUUGAUUUCAGGGUUCAAGUGGUGUAGAAGGAGAAGUAAGAAGCUUAAGGGGGCAAUUAAUGGGAAGUGGUGGAGAUGGAGGAAGAGAAGCAAGAGUAUCAAGGUACAGAGAGAAAAGAAGAACACGUUUGUUUGCAAAGAAGAUAAGAUAUGAAGUAAGGAAAUUGAAUGCAGAAAAGAGACCAAGAAUGAAAGGUCGUUUUGUUAAGAGGACAGCAUGUUUUGCUGGAGGAGCAACUUCUUUUCCAACUAAUUACCACUGACAUGAAUAUCAUCAACUGGUUAUUAAUUAACUUCCAUGUUUGCUUUUCUGCAAAUUUGGAUUGAUUAAUAUUUGGUGCAUGUGGCUGUGUAUAGUAUGUAUUAUAAUAAUAAUAAUGUUUAUUAAUUACUUUACUAGAGUUAAUGUUGCUUGGGAUGUUUCAAUCUAUCUCUAGCUUCAGGUUUAAUUAGUAAUACUAAUGGUAACCCUUCAAUUAUGAGCUAGUUGAUGAUUUGGCUGUUGGUUUUUGUAAGCCUAUUAUUAUUGUUCCUUACUAGAAGUUCACAUUCAAAUGUUGAUGCUAUGCUAUUUAACAUUAGAUUGAAAUGGUUAUUAAUUGUUGUAAUGUUGAAAUACUUGAUUGCAACGAGUGUAUACUCUUCAACUAGACGUGGUUUUUUUAACUAAGCUACUUAUUAAUAAUAAUUAACUUGUAACCAUUCUUCGUGCAUGUUUUAUAUCAUGGUGGUAUACCAAAAUCACGGUGACCCAAUGUGAUUUUGCAUAAGCUAUGGUGUAAUUUUUAAAAAUCACUGACAUCUUCACUGUGUGUGAUACCAAAGAUAAGGUUAAACGGUAUUCAACUAAUUAUAACAAUGGGUAGAAAAAGCUACCAUUAUAGAAAAUGCUAUUUUUGACAUGUUUUAAAGUUUGAACAUAUUUUAAUUUCCUGGUAAGUUUGUGUUCUACGUACUGAUAAAUUUACUAGCCUUGUAAAAUAAUCACUUUUUUUUAUAAAAUUCAACUGAAUUUUCAAAGAAUGAACCAGGGAUCGAUAUUGUUCAAGUGUCUGUCAAGAAUAUCUAGUGUUAGAAUUCCUAUUGGGCAGUACCUUUUCUGUUUAGACCCUACUUACAGGUGCAAACAAUUCAAUUAAACUGUCGCACUCACACAACUAUUAUGGGCUAUGUCUAACGUUCACAAUUUAGUGGAUUCCUUUUUUUCCAGGAAUUAAUGGAAGUCAAGAAAAUAGAAUUAAUCUUGUCAAUCUAGCUAACAAAUAUUAAGUUGGUCAGAGUGAAACUCAACUUAGGUUUGUUAAGCAAGAUUUUGUGUUCAUGCCUUGUAGAUGGAAAAAAAAUUGUGCUUAAAACGAGAGACCUCAUUAAAGGUGGUUAUAUAGUCGACGAAAAUUAGUCAUCGAUAUAAUAAGAAUAAGUCACUGCUGGUAAAGUUAGAAAAUACUUCACACCGAUAACAAGGUUAAAAAUAUCUGUCAAUUCAGCUCUAUGGUUUCAUAAAACCAUACAAUACAAGGCUAAAAGACAUGCUAGUAUGUUACUACAAUUGUCAAGUCAAAUAUAGUUGGAAUCUCUUCCAAUGAGUGCAUGAAAAUUGAUUCACUGAUAUUUUAAUAAUCUGCAAGAAAUUUUUUAAUUAUAGAAGUAAUAGGUACUUGUAAUGACACGAGAGUCAAAAAUAGAAGGUUUUAUCUACAACCACAUGAUGAUAAUUAAUAUUAAUGAACUCUUCUUAUAAGGAGAAAAAAACCUCAAGAUGAUGUGUAAGUUUAUGUCUUUAUGAUAUCCCAAGAGGUACAGAAGCGACAGAUCCUGAAAUGCAAGUUUUGUUCUCUUUUCUAUAAAAGCAUUGUGGUCCAAAAAUUUGGGGUUAAUGGGCCAGACUUUGUGAAAAUGAAAUAACAGAAAGAAACUUCAAAAAAGUGAUGGCACAGAGCAAAAACUCAACAUGGCUGAUGGGGCCAUCAUACAACAUUUAAUCCUCAUCAUCGUGUCAUCCUUUAUCAGGUCCAGGUCAUCAGACACUACUUGGUUCCUAUACCUAACUUAAUAUUUUAUCUUUAUCUAAAUUUUGAUAUAUUUUUUUUAAAAAAAAGUAGAUGAUAGUCUGAGUCAAAAAAAAGAAGUAUGAUAGUCUCCUGCAAAUAUUUCCCACCAAAGUUGAUGGUAUUUAUGUAAAUAUAUAUAUAUACUUACAAUUUAAAGAUUUAAUACUCGUAUAUAUCUAAGGAAAAUUCAAAUAUCAAAUGAGUUCAAAACUUUUUAUCCACAUAUCUCAUUAUAAGUAUCAUUAACCACUAUUAUUUCAAAUGAAAUCAACUCGACUCAUUUAAUUUGUAAGAUUGCAAGAUCCUUUUGAAUUCACAAGGUGCUAGAUGAUCCAAAUUAACGUCUUACUAAGACAAAAUAGGAUAUCAACUUUUAUGCAAGCAGCUAGCCAUAGAAGAUCAUUACUUGGAAGCCAAGUAAAUUGCAAGAUACAUCAAAUUAGCCCUAGAUCAAGUCCUCAUGUUUCUUCAGCAUCAAAACUAUAUAUAUAUAUAUUUGAAGAAUUUAGUGAUUCUUAUUGGGCUACAUGCCCUACAACCAGAAAAAGCCUUUUUUUAUUUUUUGUUAUGAUCUUACAGAUCAAUCUUUAUGACCUCAACUUCUUGAUGUUCUUUAGAUUGGUCUAGAAUCCAUGUAUUAUCACGUUGCAUACCAAUUUUAAUAUGAUAUUUUUCACUUGUAAUGUUUUGUUUAUACAUAUGGUCACCAGCUGUUUUAUUAAUAUUAAUUAGAAAAUAUCUGCUUAGAUUGUGUGUUUAUUUUACAGGUUCUAGUAUCUAUAAGAAGAGCAUAUAUCCAAUGUAACACAUAAAAUUGAAAAGACCGUAUCUAUUUUAUUCUUUCAUGUAUUCUAAAAUGAUCUCUAAAUUUAUAAUAUGUUAAUUAGGUUUGUCCGGAAUAUCUUAUCAUUCACUUAUGUUUGUUUCAAGUUAUAAUUAUAGAUUCUUGGAAAUAAAAUCAUAAAAACAUACAUGCCUAUGUUUGUUACAAGUUUGUUAAAUUUUAUUCCCGGGUAUAAAAUGUUCCUGGGAAUAUAAAUAUUUUUUCAAAGAAAUUGGUAGGAAUAAAGUUCAUAUGGAGAUGGGAAUAAAAUCACGUAUAAUUACCUAUUAUAAUCCCUAUUUUUGAGGUUCCUUGAAACAUUAUAAUGUUAACCAAACAUCUUUUUUCUAAAUACCUUGGAAUAAAAUUUACAUCUAUAUAUUUCAAGGAAUGUUAUUCCUAGAAAUAAAUUUGGCAAACUUGAAACAAACACACCCUUAAUUUUAAGAGGAAUGUUAUCAACACUCUCUCUAACAUUCACUUGCAUGAAAAUAAUGUAUAUGUUCUACCACUUUAUAUGAGUUUCAUUUUUAAAGUGCAUGUCUCAUAUUCAUGGGUGGCCCUGAGGCGGCAACACAGGGUACUGUAUUUUUAGGGGCAUCCAUAUUAUUAUUUUUACUUAGUAGUCAAUACAAUAUAGAUAUAUUAUUUUAUAUUUUUUUGACAAAGAUAUAUUUCUUCUUAAUUUGCUUUCAUUAAUUCUAUUGUAAAUAUAUUUUUAAAGAACUUUGAUUAUAAAUGAAUCUUGUGCAACAAAAAAUACAAAAAGAAAAAUAUUAGAAUAAUUAAAAGGGUACAAUUUUUUCCUUUUGUAUAGGGCACCAAAAUUUUUAGGACCUACCCUACCCAUAUUGAUUUAGUCCAAUAAAAAAACUGAGUGUUAGAGAGAGCGUUGAAAAGAGAGUUUAUCACCGUUAUUAUUUACUUAAUUUUAAAUGCAUUUUCAUCAUUAUCCACUUAAAAUUCUAACAAUGGGACAGAUAUGAUUAAAUUGUUAGUAAGAAAAUUGAUAGAAUAUAUAUUGUUAUAAUUUUAGGAAUCAUUUUGAAAUAUUAAUUAAUUAUAUUGAGACAACUGAUUCGAUCGAACAAUUUCAAAAUGUUUUAGACUUAUUCUCACUUACCUUUUCAUUUGUGUCAUUGAAUCUUGCUUAUUUUUCAUAUUCAGCAUCAGUUUGCAGCUAUGAUCAUAGUCAUUUCCAAACUUGAUAUGAUUGUCUAGGAUUUGUUGGGAAACUACACAGUCCCAUUAUCGAAUAAAGUAAGAAAAUAUAAGUACACAUAACAAGUCCAAUAUAUUUAAGUACUAAUUUCAAAAGGUUUGUGGAUAUUUGAUUAUUUGAACCGAUAACUGAUUAAAUAUCAAAUUUUUUAAACAAGAAAAGUAAUUAAAAAUCAACGUGAACGUGUGGAACCACACCAGAAAGAAGAGAAAAAUAUAAUAAAAAUGGUUAGAAAUAUAUAAUUUGAAAGCGUAAAUACAUAAUUUUUUUUGGACAGAAAGUUAUAUACAUAUUUAUUUUUGGUGACAAUAUACAUUUGUUAUUCAAAUAGCUUAAUGGUUAUAAAUUCAUCUUUUUAAGAGAUGUUCCAUAGUUCGAACCUCAAUCAUUGCACAAAUUAUACAAUAUACCUACUAACACGAUGGGUUAUACUUCAAAAUGAGUUAAAAAAAACUUCUUUAAAUUCCAAAAGAACACCAUAAAUAAAUAAAAAGAGUAGUGAUAUUUGAACAAUCAUUUUUGACAACUUCUUUUUCCUCUCUUUCUAUUAGUUAAAAAUAAUGGAGAGAGAAAAAGGAGGAAAGAGAAUAAAAACAUAAUGUGAGUAUGAAAGAGAGAGUUGUCAAAAAAUUGUCACAAAAUGGUUGUACAAAUAUCAUUUCUCAUAAAAAAAAAUUACAUGGUUAUUGAAUUAAACCGGUGAUUCAAAAAUUAAUCUUUAUACUUUUAAAAUUUCUUCAAAACACCUCCAAAUUAUUCAUUUAACUAUCGCUAACUACUACUCAGAAGACUUUUUAAUCGGUUAAACAAGUUUAAAAAUGAUUGAUCCAAUCUAAAAAGUAUCAAAUGACACUUAGGCUGUGUUUGGUACCACAAAAAAGCUAGUUUAUAGCUUGUUGAACUAGCUUAUAAGCUUGUUUUGAUAAAAUGAGAUGUGUUUGGUAAAAAACUUUUUUCACUAGCUUUUAGUGUUUUUUAAGAAGCUAAUCCAAGUAGCUUUUUAGCUUAUAGCUGUAGCUUUUUAUACUUUCUUCCCAUUUUAACCUUUUCUUAAUUUUAUUUUAUUUUAUUAUAAUAAAAAAAAUUAUCCCACUAUCUUCUUAAACUAACCAUGUUUACCAUGUAUGGCUUUUUAAAUUUUCUUGUCCACUUUUUUUUUUACUUUGCUCAUAAUUCAUAUAAUAUAUAAUUUUAUAUAGAAUUUAUAAUAGUGAAGCAAGUUUAGUUAAAUAAAAUUCAUAAAAAAAAAAAAAAUGGUUAAAUAAAAAAAUUCGAUUGAAUUCAUAAAUACAUUUAUUAUUUUGGAGAUGAAAAUAAUUUGAAAUAUAUUUAAAUAUUUAAAAAUAAAUGUGUUAAGUAAUAAAAAUUAUAUAUAUGAUAUUAAAAAAAAAUUAAACAAGCAUGUGUUUUUAUGUCAUUUUAUAUUUAUAGUCACUUCAACAGCUAAUUUUACCAAACACUUUUAAUUUUAAUCAGCUAACUUUUCAGUUAUAGGCUAUCAUCUAUCAGCUAGCUUUUCAGCUAUCAGCUAUCAGCUAACUUAUAGCUUUGUUUUUACCAAACACACCCUUAGGCUAUGUUUGGUAAAGCCAAUAGACUACCUUACAACUUAUUAGACUAGUUUAUAAGCUUGUUUUAAAAAAUAAAAUGUGUUUGGUAACAAGCUUAUCUCACUUUUUGAGAUGCUAUUUUAACUAGCUUUUAAGCUUAUAACUUGUAGUUUUUCACAUUUUCUUCCAUUUAUAACCUUUAACAUUAUUUUUAUUUAAAAAAAAAAAAAACUGCCCACUCAAAGAAAUUAACUUUCCACGUUCUGCUAAUUUUUGUUUGACAGUUGCCUUGUAUUUUUUUUUUUUGUCAAGUAGCCUAGUUGUUAGAAUUCACCUUAUAAGGUGAAUAAGUGGGGUGUCUGGUGUUCGAACCUCAGCCCCUACAUAUAAUAAUGCAUUGUCCUAUCAACUGAGUUAUGCUCAUGGAACCCUUGUAUUCCUUUCUAUUUGAAUUUUUUUAUUGCUUAGAUGGUUGAAAUAUUGUUGUUCAGAUGUGACUUUUUUUUAUACGCUCUCUUUCAUUUUUGAAAGAUAUAUGUUUUUUUUUGUUUAAGUAGCAUAGUGGCUAGAGCUCGCACAUUUUAAAUGUGGAGAAGUAUGGUGUUUAGGGUUCGAACCCCAACCCUGUAUAUAUUAUGCGAUAUUCAUACCAAUUGAGUUAAGCUCACCGAAACAUAUAUGGUCUCUUUCUAUUAAAUUCAUAUGUACAUAUUUACGAUUAAUUUUAUCUUUGAACAUAUUUACCAAUUUAAAUAAAAAGAAAUAAUUUUCCAUAAAACAAAUAAGAAUAUAUGAUAAAGAAGUCAAACAAAUUUUGUUAAAGAUAAACUCCAUUAAAUUCAUAUAUCAAAUUUAUUAUUUUAAAAAAAAUACUUUUAAAUUAUUAAAAUAAAUAUAAAUGUCUAUAAAUAUAAUUCAUAACAUAUUAAACAUAGGUGUACUUUAUGUCAUUUUAUAUUUACGAGUCGCUUCAAAUUUCAAUUAGCUAAUUUUUCAUUUACCAAACACACACUUAAUUAUCACCGAAGAUAGUGUCUUUCCAUCGAUGCCAAUUGCAAAAAUGAGAAAUUUUGAAAGUGUAAACAAAAAACACACAGUUGGAUCUCUUCAAGUUAACAACACUUGGCAUUGCACCUCAGACCCUAUUCUAUUCUUUUUUGUCGCUGGCGGGAAAUGAUUCAUUGUGACGCACGGAGUCUUUCUCGGACCACUCUCUUUCCUUCCAAAAUUACCUAACACACUAACUUCUUUUUUAAAAAUUAUUUUAUUAACUAAUUAAUUAAUUAAUUUAAAUAAUUACGUACAAAAUCUUAUGGAUGCCAUGUUUUCUUGAUUCUCCUUAAUCUCCCCAACUACCAUUCUUCAUUCUACGUCAACAUUCCCAGGUUUUAAUGUUUUUAUUUUUUUUUAUUUUUAUCAUUCUUUAGAUUCUUUUCUUUUUAUGUUUUCCUUUAUUUUGUUUGAGGGAUAUUUUAAUUUUAAUAAUGUAACAUUCUUCAAACGUAGACAAGUCAAAUUUCAACAUGAAUGUUUUGUUCCUUCCUGGUAAUUUGAAUAUUCAUUUAGAAUAUUUUAUAAAUAAAUUGCAUGCAAACAAAAUAGUCCUCUUUACCCCGGAAAUUUCUAUGACCCGUUUUUCAAGUUUUAUUCUUUUGGACGUUUCUUUUGUUUUUGUCACAAAACAUUGAUCAAUUACGUUACAAUACAAAAAUUGUACAUUUUCUGUUCUUAAGGGUUCUUUGUUUAAUCUUCUUUAGCUAUCUAGUCCUUCCUUACUUGCUAAUCUGACAUGGAUGGCUUCUUUAACCAAUGAAAGGAAUUGAGAUUAAAAAAAAAGUUUUUGUUGGUGGUAACUGCAUGUUGGUGAUUAUGAGUACUGUCGAAUAGCAGUUAUAGCGUAGCGGAUUUUGACCUAGUCGAUAUUGUUUUAUGAUACGCUAUUUAGUACAGAGUGUUGUCAAAUAGGGCUUCUAACUGUUGCGUAGCAUAGUUUGAACAUACACAAUUGAAGAAACUGAUUCAGAGUACCGUGAAUUGAUAUGAAUUUCAGGCUUUGAAGAGUUCUUUGGGUGAUAUGACACAAAGGGAAUUUCUUUGAAAUGUAUCUUUGUGGAAAUCUUAGGUUGCUUGUCCCACUAGGAACCUAGUAAUGAAUCCCCCAUCUGGUAUAAAGAUUACAGUACCCAGAGAAUUGGGUAGUCCAAAGGACAUUUUCAAUGGAAUUGAUAGAGUUGGGCAUGUAGUAAACACUCAAUGUGAGGUGGAAGGUAUGGAGAUCAUUGGACUUAAACUCUCUUUGUAAUUUGCAUGUUAUUCAUUUAUGUGUUGAAUUUGAAUUAAUCUUCUUUAUGAAUAUUUUCAGCUAAACAUCGAUCGGUUUUGGUUCAAUGGUUAAAUAGUCUUCUUCCUUCAUUGGACUUCUCAACAAAUGUCACAGAUGGUGAAUUAAGAGCAUGCUUGAGCAGUGGUACAGUUUUGUGCCAGAUACUAAACAAACUACGACCUGGUCCCGUAACUAUGGUAAUACUUUCUUAACUUUCAGAGUUUCAGUUAACUUCAGCAAUAAAUUUGACAAUUUUACUUUCAGAAUUCAGGUAUACCUUUCAAUCUGGAUUAUUUUUUGUAGGUCAGUGAAUCUGAUCAUUCUCUGCCAUCACAAUCAGAAAAUGUUAAAACAUUUCUGAAAGCUUUGGAUGGAUUGGGAUUGCCAAGGUUUGAAAUAUCAGACCUAGAGAAGGUAUAAGAUACCUAGCAUCUAUUUUUUUGUACCGUGAUUUUAUGCAUAGCAUUAUUGUAUCUGUUGAUAAUUUAAGAUCUUCACGAGCUUAUUGCACGCUCCUUGUUGGGUUGCCACUGUCUCUUUUGUUGUUUAGGGAUCUAUGAAGCCUGUUGUGGAUUGUCUUUUAAUACUCAGAGCGAAAAGUUUGAUGAAUUCUUUGGGAGAUAAUGCUUCUUUAAGUAAUUCCAAUGCAUCAAGCCCUCGUGGGUAUGGAUCUUCGAGUUUUCAUUCUUCCCCACCAUUUGGUGUGGACAACAGGAAGCUUACAUCUGAGUCAAGGUUUCAACGUGUUAUGAGUUUUAGCCCUUCUAUGGCGGGUCCGGUGAAUUUUAUUAAACUCAUCCCCUUCUUUCUGUAUGUGCUUGUUGUACAUAAGGAGAUAAUAAAAUCCAAUUUCAUAAACACUGUGACAUGUUAAUGAGAAAACUUAUCUAGGAUGUAUGUAAUUUGAAUUCCCUAAGCAAUGUUAUUUGGGAAGUUCUAACUUGUACUAUAAAAACUAAACAUUUAUUUUUGUAAGACACUUUUUCUUUGAACUUUAAAUUCUUAAUUAUAUAUACGUGUGUGACUAUCUUUUUUCAUUUAAAUCCUUCUUUAGAAGAAGAGAGGAACAGAGGUGGUUAUUUUCCCUUUGUGAAGGACAUUUGUAGUGCUUGAAAGUUAAACAUCUAUGUUGAUAUUCAUUAGACCAAUUAUAUUGCGUUCUUGUAUUUAUAAGUGAUUGGUUCUGUUCAUUUGAAUCUUGUGCAGAACCAUCAGCUUCAUUAAUAUACCAGGUUGGUCAUAAGUUCCACGAGGUUUUUCAAAUUAAACCUGGAAGCUAUUCAGAUCUUCCUGCCGCAAAAAUAUCAGAAAUGAUGAAAUCAAACAGUUUAGAUGUAAGUUCCUGAAUUCAACCUUCAGAUACAUGUAUUCAGAUUAAAAAAAAAUUGUGUACAUGUGUAUAUAGAUAUGCGUGUAUUCUUUGUUUGAUUCAUGACUGAUUUAUUUUAUUGCCUGUUGUUGCAGAAUGCUCCCACUCAAUCGCUAUUAAGUGUUGUCAAUGGUAUUCUUGAAGAAAGCGUCGAGAGAAGAAACGGAGAAAUACCUCAUGUAUGGCUUGCAAAUGAAAAUACAAGUAUAUAUCCAUAUGAGUGACUUGCACCUCAAGCUCAAGUAAUCCAUACAGUUUCAUAAAUAUUGUUUGUUAUUUUUGUUUGUUUAGCGGGUGGCAUGCUUGUUGAGAAAGGUUUCACAGGAGAUCGAACGCCGCAUAUCGACACAAGCAGAACACAUACGAACUGUAUGUCCGUUACAUUGUUCUUAACAUCUAUGUAAUUUUGCUUUUCUCAGUCAGUUUCCUCAUGUCACUUUCUUACACUGUAUUCAGCAAAGUAAUCUUUUUAAGGCCCGGGAAGAAAAAUAUCAGUCGAGAAUAAGAGUACUCGAGGCACUUGCAUCUGGAACUAGAGAAGAGAGUGAGGUAUCUCAAAAUAUCAUUGUCUAGUCAUAUUUUUAAAAGUGGAUCCUUAUAUAUUCCUUCAAAUUUUGAAAAUUGGUACAAGUUCUCUACUUAUCAGAGCGAACUUUUGCAACAGAUGAUUUCUAGCCAGCUUCAACAGUUGAAGGUAAUGAUUUCAUACUUUGCAUCAUAAGAAAUAUAUUGAUAUACUAUAGACACGGGAUAAUACAAGAGGCUUUAAUUAGAUUAUUUUCAUGUUCCGACUCUUCAAUAUAGGAUGAGAAGGUCACAGAGGAAGAAAAGAAGGAAAAUGAAAAAGAAAUAAUUAGGUUGACGAAAAUGCUAGAGGACAAAAAUUUGGAAAUUUCAGAAUUGAAACAAAAACUGGAAGCAACCAAAAAAACAUAUGAAGCGAAAUGCUCACAGUUGGAAGAAGAAACCAGGGAUGCUAAAGCAGAAUUGAGACAGAAGUCUCAAGAAUAUGAGUAUCGACUCGAAGAACUGAGGAACGCAGUUAAGGAGAUUGAGGAUUCUUCGGAUUCAAAAUAUCAGGAGUGGAGAGUGAAAGAGAACCAAUUGCAGACUGUUAUAAAUUGUCAAUUUAGUUCCCUGCAGGUACACUUAAAAAUGUGUCAAUGUCAAUGUUAUAAUUGUGGUGCCAAACAUUACAAUUUUGUGCUUGAUUUGCAAACAUCCAGAAACUGAAAUCAUCGUGGGAGUCCAUUAAGCAAGAUGCUAUGAAAGGGAAAACCGUUUAUGUAGAGGAGUGUAAUCGAUUACGUAAGCCUUUGUCGUUAGAAUGUCAUUUUAGUGCUCCCUUUCAUAUUCUUCUACCGGGAUUUAACCUUUAAUCAUUUGAAUGUAAUUUGUUCAGGUGUAAAUCUCAAACCACUCAUACAUGCAUCUCAGAACUAUCAAGCCGUCCUUGCUGAAAAUAAAAAAAUGUUUAAUGAAGUUCAAGAAUUAAAAGGUAGCAUUAUCCAUGUCUUUUUUCUCGCUUUUGUAUAUUAUGUAAGUGUAAUAUGAAUUCACACAUUGUUUUAUGAUACAGGAAAUAUCAGAGUAUUUUGUCGAAUUAGACCAUUCCUUAUAGACAAAAAGGAAAAACAGUCUAUUGUAGAAGACAUAGGUGAAAGUGAUUUGGUUGUGGUAAAUCCCUCCAAAGAAGGGAAAGAUGUACAUCGAUCAUUUAAGUUCAACAAGAUUUUCGGCCCUGCCGCAACUCAAGGUUUAUUUAUAUAUUCUAUUCCAUUUUUGAGAUUAGGCUAUGGAGAAGUAUUCCUUAUAUCCAGAGAUGAAAAUUUUGCAUCAUUAUUCAUGUGUAUCGAUAUUACAGUUUUUACUUAGUUUUAGUUGUAAUGUUUAUAUUCUGACGUUGUCCCGUGAUUCUACUUUGAAUGAUGCACAGGAGAUGUAUACGCUGACAUUCAACCUUUUGUAAGAUCGGUACUCGAUGGAUAUAAUGUAUGUAUAUUCGCUUAUGGCCAAACCGGGUCCGGAAAAACUUACACAAUGGUAUAAACCCUCUUGACAUAUUGAUUUUAUAUUUUUCUUAAUGCUAUUAAAGAAAGGCCUUAUUGUACUGUACAAAUUACCUUCUUUUCUCAGACUGGUCCAAAUGGAGCAACAAGUGAGAAACUCGGUGUUAAUUAUCGAGCUCUAAAUGACCUCUUCAGAAUUUCCACAAGCAGAGGAAGCCUCAUAGACUAUGAGAUUUGGGUUCAAAUGGUUGAGAUAUAUAACGAGCAAGUUCGUGACUUGUUAUCAACUGAGGAAUCUCCAAAGAGAUAUCCUUUUUUAAAAAUAUCUUUAGACAAUUUUUUUGCAUUAACUUUCCCUUAUUAGUUUUUUCUUCUCUGGUUUCCUUGAUUUGCACACACUUGGGAUUUUGACUCAAUCUCAAUCAUACGGUAUAGCAGUACCAGAUGCUAGCAUGUUCCCCGUAAAAUCACCUUCAGAUGUCAUUAAGUUGAUGGACAUUGGACUUAAAAAUAGAGCAAUCGGUUCGACUGCUAUGAAUGAAAGAAGUAGCCGUUCUCACAGGUUAAAUCAUUUUUUUCUUUCCCUGAAAUGAAAGCUUUUUAUUAUGAUGACAUGUAUAAACUUUACGUGCACAGUGUGGUCUCAAUUCAUGUUCGUGGAAAGGAUUUCAAGUCUGGUUCUACUAUGCAUGGUAAUCUUCAUUUGGUAGAUUUGGCCGGAAGUGAAAGAGUAGAUCGAUCUGAUGUAACCGGGGAUAGACUUAAGGAAGCACAACAUAUAAACAAAUCACUUUCUGCCCUCGGAGAUGUAAUCUUUGCCCUUUCUCAAAAGAGUCCCCAUGUACCAUAUAGAAACAGCAAGCUUACUCAACUUCUGCAAACGUCUCUUGGUAAAUCAAUGUUCAUCUGCUUAACUUUCGGUUUAGAAUCUCUUUCAAGCUUCUACUAGAUUUUGAUUGGAAUAUUGUCUUUGAUUUUACUGCACAGGCGGUCAAGCAAAGACUCUCAUGUUUGUCCAGAUUAACUCGGACGUCAGUUCGUAUUCUGAAACUUUGAGUACUUUAAAGUUUGCUGAGAGAGUUUCCUCAGUUGAACUAGGAGCUGCACGAAAUAACAAGGAGACGAGAGAAUUAUCUGAACAGGUAAUUUACCUUGUUCAUGUAAAUUGAAUACGUCGGUGUGGUUAUGCGGUGUGCUUUUCUUUUGUUUCAUGUACUCUGACAAGUAUUUUCUACUUUGUCUUACUUUGAAGGUGACUUCUAUGAAGAACACUAUUUUGAAAAAAGAUGAGGAGAUUGAAAGGCUUAAAUCACUGAACGCAUCCAUUGGUGGUAUUUCUAAGCAAAUUCAAAAAGUAUCAAGUGGAAGUUUUAAGCACCUUGUUGAAGGUGAUAUCAAACAACAAAUGGAUGACCAUAAAACUGAGUAUCUCCGUUCGCCUGAAAAGGCUAGGCGAGUAACUCAAGGAGUCUCAGCUACAGAUUUUCAACAAAAAUCAAGUGAUUUUUCUGACAACAAGGAGUCUCGGCUUAAAUCACUGAACAAGUCCGUCAGUGGUAUUUCUAAGCAAAUUCAAAAAGUAUCAAGUGGAAGUUUUAAGCACCUUGUUGAAGGUGAUAUCAAACAACAAAUGGAUGACCAUAAAACUGAGUAUUUCCGUUCGCCUGAAAAGGCUAGGCGAGUAACUCAAGGAGUCUCAGCUACAGAUUUUCAACAAAAAUCAAGUGAUUUUUCUGACAACAAGGAGUCUCGGCUUAAAUCACUGAACAAGUCCGUUAGUGGUAUUUCUAAGCACAUUCAAAAAGUAUCAAGUGGAAGUUUUAAGCACCUUGUUGAAGGUGAUAUCAAACAACGAAUGGAUGACCAUAAAACUGAGUUUCUCCGUUCGCCUGAAAAAGCUAGGCAAGUAACUCGAGGAGUCUCGGCUACAGAUUUUCAACAAAAAUCAAGUGAUUUUUCUGACAACAAGGAGUCUCGGCUUAAAUCAUUGAACAAGUCCGUCAGUGGUAUUUCUAAGCAAAUUCAAAAAGUAUCAAGUGGAAGUUUUAAGCACCUUGUUGAAGGUGAUACCAAACAACGAAUGGAUGACCAUAAAACUGAGUUUCUCCAUUCGCCUGAAAAGGCUAGGCGAGUAACUCAAGGAGUCUCAGCUACAUAUUUUCAACAAAGAUCAAGUGAUUUUUCUGACAACAAUAGUCUUGCUCUCGGCACAGAAACUGAUGGUUCUUCUGAUAGUUCCAGUAUGAGUGAAGCCAAAAAGACUUCAGAUAAGUCGAAGACGUGAGUAGUGCUUAUGCUAUUACAGCAUAUUUGCAGAGGAACAACAUAUGCAUCGCUUAGAAGUCAAGUCUAAAAUUAAUGUAUAUGUGAUAUUUAUGGUUAAAAUUUUGAUCUGUGUUUUGCAGGUCCAAAGUAAUAUCCAGAACUGUUCAAGCGGUAAGGAAAUUUGGCCGAAUCUCAUCUACCACAGCUGUAGCAAAGGACCCCUCAAAGAAAUCAUCAGGUAUAUGCAAGUUAAAAUGAAAUUCUCUCGAUUUAUGCUGUAUCUGUUAUCCUUGCUCAGAGGUCAUGCUAUUCUUCACUUUGCUUUUAGUAGAGCAUAUGAAUAUUAUACUAACCAUGAAUUUAACUCCUCUAAAGGAACAGAUAUUAUACUAACAAUGAAUUUAACUCCUCUAAAGGAAAAUAUAUCUGUAGUUAAUGAAUCAUCGGUUAGUAUUUAAUUCGCAUACAUAACAAAUUAUAAAUAGAUUCAAAUAUCAACUGAUGGUUCUCAUCAAUGAUUCAAAUAUCUUAAAGUGAUAAUUUACUAUAUAGGUGUCAAACUAAGUAAUCAUUAACUUCUUAAAAUGUUUAGAUUUUUCAACUUUCUUCACAAAUUUAAUUUCAGGUACCAUAAAAAGCCCCAGUAUUGGCACACCUAAAGCUCCAAAACGGUGGCAGUAAAAUAGGAGGCAGUACUUGUAGCUACAAUUAAAUUGCAUAGUCUUCAAAAUUUGGCACGUGCUAUGUAAAUAGGGAUUCAGAUUCCAUGCAGCAACUGCGAGAGGGAGUUACUAAUCUUGAUUGUUCGAACUCAAAUCAAUGAUGAAGAUUAUUUGAAGAUAUGUUGGUGAAGGUGUGUAAUGUAUGUCAGCCGAUCUCAAAUCGAUUGUCGAGAUCAAUUAAUGUGUAUAACUGUGUCUUUUUUACUGCACUGAAUCCAGAUUCAUGUAAAUAUAAUAAAGUCAUUGGUAUGUUGGAACUUCUAAUACUUGAAUUCUUAGUCACAUUGGUGACAUUUUGUGGAUAAUAUUGUAACAUAUUUUGUAUUCAUAAUCAUAUGAAAAGAAAAACAAAUUUUAUAACAGAAGUUCAACAAAUCGAUGUGCUCAAGGUAGUGCUGAACUGUAAGAGCUUGGGCCAAAAGCUUAAGAGAAUCUGUACUUAGCUUAAUGUUUAUCAAUAAUAUCAAUGAGGUCAAUGACAUUUUUUAAAAUAAUAAUCAUACACAGAGACUUAUUUAUCUAUUUGUGACUCAUUUUAUUAAAGUUGUAGGAUCAUUUUUUUUAAUUCAAUUGGGCUAAUAUCACAAUUUAUAAUUAAAUUUUAUAAAACUUCAAAAGAAAAUGAUGGUGUGUGCAAGAGUUCUUAAACUAGUAUUGUACCAACAUGUUAAAAGUUAAUUUUUAAUUGAUACUUUGAUGUGAACCAAGAGAUAUGACUGCCACACUUAUUACCUCAGAAAAAGUUAGAAGACAUCUUUACCAUGAAUAACAGUUAUUUUGUACAAUCACAUUCAUUUUCUAAUUCACAGGAAAGUUCAUAUCUCCAACAGUACAAAUGAUUUUAAGCUAGUAAAUAAGUGUAUUGAACAUCAAGAUUCAGCUGCAACGAUUAAUUUACAACUUGUGAACUCCAAUUUUGGUUUCAGAUGAAGAAAUAAACCAUCAUUGAAGCAACCACAAUAGUAGUGUCUUUAUCAAAGUCUGUUUACAUGUGACUUUGAAAGAUAACAAUCAAUUUGUACUCUAGAUUAGUACUCAAUUUAGUCUCUAAACCUAUAUAAAUAUAAUAAUAAGUAGUCAUUAAACUAUCUAAAAUCCAUCAAUUUAGUUUCUACUGCUAAGAUAUUGGAGAUUAAAUUUACGAAUUUCCGUAUACUUUAACAAAUGAGUUAGUGUUGUAUUGUUGGUCACAACAAUCAAAACAAUGUCAUGGGAAUUUGCAUCUUAUACAUAAUGCAAACUCGCAAGUUGUGAUUCACGUCAUUAGAUUUAACAGAAGAAACAUGUUUGACGAUUUACAAUUUAAUCGAUGUAUUUAUCUUUUCUCAUAUUUUAAAGCCCCAAUUUUAUUAUUUUUUAUUUUAACAUAAUAUACUACAUGUUGUUUCCUGUUAUUUCCGCCAAAGUGAGUCAGCAACCGCCGCUUUGAUCCACCAGCCAGCCAGUAUGUAAAGAGUAUGAUGUUAUCAGUGAGAUUCUUUCCUUUUUCAAAAUGAAAUGCGUCUGUAAAUCGUGGAAUUCUAUUAUUUCUGAUCCUAAAUUUGUUAAACUUCACCUUAACCUUUUUAGUAUUGACAUUGACACUAUAAGUAGUUGAGGAGGGGUAAUUGGUAAAUGGUGAUAUGGAAAACCUGUUCUUAGUUGAUGUUGUCCUGAUGGACUUAUCAAAUGCUAAUAAAAGUCUUAGAUGAUAUAGUGGUUUAGUUGGUUUGUGUAAUGCCUGUUAGCUAAAUUCAUUAGCGGAUUAUUAGCUAUUUAUGCCUCUUCUUUUGUUAACGAGUGAGUGUUCGAGACAUUCUCCAAGAAUUUCAAAAAAAUACUUCAAAUUUCAAUGCAUAUGAUAUACAAAUUUUCAUAAAAAAUUACCAUUUAAGUUCUUAAAGAGUGCUCUAAAACACUCAUUAUCAAUUCCCUUGUGUGAAUAAUGAAUUAGCUUUCAUAUUUGAGUUGCUCUGAUAUAAGGAAAAGACAGACAUAUGUUGUCCCAUGAAACAUGAGAAGCUGUGUCACUAGAUAUUGAUACAUUUUACUCAAAACUUGGUAAUAAUAAUAAUAGAAGAAUGAGAAAUGGGAAAACUAAAACAAACAAAAUUAACACAAUGUAAGAACGAACGUGCUGUAACUAAAACUGGAAUUAACCGUUUCUUGUACUUUUUUAUUUGAGGGGCUGUCUUGUACUUGAUGCAAUUUAGUCCUUAAGUUAAGUCCUUUUCCUAAUUAUAGCUUUUCACGUUGCAACCGGCAAGUGCAAGUGGCUGCUAUUUAUGUCACAAUUUGGCAUUGCAGGCCAACUUGUCUGCUACUGAGUGUUAUAUGCUGUGAAUGAAAAAGCCUUACGCAACUUCGCAUCUCAACUUCACAUGGUCCCAUUAAUCAAUAAUAAUAAUAAUAAUAAUAUAUCAUGUUACAAGAUCAACCACCAACACAUUUUGUGUUCUCCUCCACACUCUCUCCUUCACAUGCAUUUCAGACAUUGCUGACUCAUCAUCUCAUCUUCAACUCACUUUAUUUUAUACCCUUUCACAUCACCAAAAAUACUCUAAUCCUCUUUUUCAAACAAUUCAAUCAACCACAUAAAAUUAAAAUUAAAGUAAAAUACAAACAAAGACCAAGCCCCCCUCAAAUCUUACCACAAAAUACGCUUUGAUGCUUCCUAAGAUCCACCUAAACCAAUAGAAUUUAUUUUUAUUUAUUUUUUAUUUCCUUAUGUCUUUCUCUUUAGAACACAAUCAUGGAACACUAAUAAACAAUCAAACAUCAUAGAUUUUUUUUGAGUGGUGGAAUACAUUUUAUACAGAAACUUGUCUUUGAGAUUAUCAAAUCAAAUAGGCAACACCACCUUCAAAAAGGGCAUCCACAAAAACAGAUGAUGGUAAUAAUACUAAUAUAAUGUACAAAAUUCCAAACAUUUAUCCUCAAUUUCCUCCAGAUUACAAUUACAUGGGAAGAAUAUGAGUGACAAACACAUAACAACUUUAAACUCUCCACAAAACCUAAUAACAAGACAGAAGAAAGUGGCUAUUUUUUGCCUUGUUCUUUACCCUGCCUUGUCCUAUUUUAUUGAUGACUGACGCCAAACUCAUUCAUGAGCAACAACUUGAACAUCGCAGCUAUUUACAUCAUACAGUAACUCUAACAACAGUGAAUUAUUAAGAUUAGAUCCUCUUUCCAAAGGAAACAAAAAAACUCCUCUGCUGAUUCUUGGUAUUGAGUUCUCUCUAUUAUCUAUUAUCUGUUCUUCAAAAUUGCAUUAGGCAACAGCAGAGAUACUACAGUUGCUCCUCCUAUCUCUUCUAAGACAGUCAAAACCUUCAAUCCUAACAGCAGCUGGGGUGUUGCCGAAUUUCAUCGGAACUCCACAUCCUCGAGCCGAUGGCGAAGGCGACGCCACCAUGGUAAAUGGACUACUAAAAUUCCCAUUACCAAAUUGCUCAUCUUGGAUUACAGGGUUAGAGGCCCUGCUUGGUGGAGAUCCAAUGAAAUAUGGAGGCGACGAUGCCAACAAAUUAGCCGCUGCCGAUCUCUCUGGAUAGCAACUUGCCUGUAAACAAAUCAAAUAAAAUACGAACUAUUAGGAUAGACUCUUUAAAAAAGAUAAAAUUCAUAGACUUUGAUAAUAUAAAUUAUCACCAAAAUUUGAGUAUCAAAAGAUAUCAACAUGAACUAUUAGGCAAAAUUUGAGUUAUCACAAGAAAUCAACAUAAUUUAUGUAUACUAAUUUGUUUCAUAGGAAAAUAUUAGCAGUAAGAUAAAUAUGAAGAUUGCAUAAAAAGUAAAACACACACACAUGUAUAUAAAGGAUGUGAAAAUUGAUAUAGGAAUUAACCUUGGGAUGGAUGAUUUCAAGAAGUUCUGCCCCAACUCCUGAAUCUUCAAUUUCAGAUUGGUAGCUGAUUUUCAAGAAACAAAAUAGUAAGAAAGACAUGAUUUUUAUUUAAAAAAAUAAAAAUAAAAAAAAAAUAAGAAAAGUACCUAAUGGGGCACCUCAAGGGUCUGAUAUGGUUGUUGAUGGAAGAUUGAUGAUGGUUUGAUAGACCCAACCUACGUGGCUUAGGACAAACCACUGGUUCCAUCCUCACCUCCUCAUAGCUACUUGUCAUUGUGUUCAUCUGUGGAUAUCCAUAGUAGCAAUUCAUCUUCACUUCAGAUCUUAACAAACACACAAUUCUUUGGUUUGGUAAUUGAAAUCAGACCAAUAAAAUCAUAAUUAAUUUUUUUGAUUUUGACCCACCUUGUUAAACCCUUUUCAACAGUUGAAAAAAUAUGAAUUAACGCUUCAAAAUUUAAAACUUUUUUCAACUACACAUACACAAGUAGUUAAAUUAAAAAUUUAUGAGACUCAUGCUAUGUUAUAAAGUGUGUGCAAAGUACAAACACAUAGAUAAUAAAAAAAAAAAAAAACAGAGAGAUAGAGUUUACCUAAGAAAGAAGAAAGGAGAGGUUGAAAGAGAAAGAGGAUAGUUGGGUGCUUGGUGGGUAUUCAUAGUCAUAGAUAGAGGAAGAAGAAUAUGCUACAGUGAGUACAUAGUAAGUGAUGUAAGACCGCACUUGUUGUGUUGAGAUCUGAUGAGAUUCUUAUGAGUCAACGUCUGAUCAACACGUUGAAGUGAAUUGUGAUUGGUCCUUUCCUUUGUCUGUUUAUAUGAUUUCUCCCUUUUACCCUUUUCAGAGUCAGAGUGACACUCUGUCAAAAACCAUCGUGUUCGUGUCGUUGCAUGCUUCAUAACGUGAAGCUAUUUAUUGUGCCUCAAACUGCGACACUAUUCAAUUUUUGAAAUGUUAACAUUAAUCUCUCUUUUCCUCCGUUGUUUAAUUUUUAAAAUGUUAACUAAUGUUCAUGUUCAUGGGACACUUAUUAAUGAAUUAUAAAAGAAAAAAAAAAGUUUUUUAAUAUAAAAUUGGACUUUUCUUUUUACUUUUAGUUUGUUAACUAGUAUUUUGGGUGCAUCAAAUAACAGACCCUUUAAUUUUAAGCAUUAUUAUUUUUCUUUUUACAUAAAUUAAAAUAACUUACUAAUAUAUAUUAAAAAGAGGUUUAUAUUUGGAGACAAAUUUUUAGUCAAAAGUGUGUUUAAAUAUAUCGACGGAGGGAGGGAGUAGGAACAUAAACUAUCUAAUAAUAAUAGACAAUGGUUAACUAACUAAACCAUAUAGACUUAACUAAAUUAGGGGUUAAAAACAGUAAUAGACUCAGUUGUACUCUCUGCAACAAAAACAAAAAUUGAGACAAAAAAAACAUAAACAUAAAUAUGAAAAAGAUUAAUGAAUCUUCAAGUUCAAACGAGAUCACUAAAAUUGGCUGAAAUUAUUUGGAAAACUAAAAGUUGCUGAAUUUUUUUUGAGAAACUUAAAACGAAAUUUGAGAUUUUUAAUGGAAGCAAAAAAUUAUUUCACCCUAAUUAGAAUAUAUGCGGUAAUGACCAUCAUCGAGUGAAGGUGGAAUUGUCGAUAUAAGGUAGGGGUUUGAUUUUGGAUAAGACAUGGUAAAGAAAUAUGUGUGCGCGCGCGAAAAGUUGUUGCUUUUUGUCUAUAAUCAAGUAAUAGAAUAAUUAAUCACAUCUUAUUAAAAUAUUUUACUUUAUAUGAUCAAGACAAUAGGAUAGAUAAAAUCCUUAAGGGUUAAUGGUGCUUUACUCCUGUAAUAUAGGUCAUUUUUUAUUUUUCUCUGUAAAAUAUUUUUUUUGAUUCUGCAAAAAAAAAAAAAUCGUUUUUUUAUGACCUAUAUUACAGGGGUAAAGCACCAUUAACCCAAACCUUAACUGGUAACGUAGAAAAUGCAUGCUUUUAAGAACUAUAUGCAUGUUUGGGUAAUGCCUAUUCCAUACUCAUACUGUAAGAAUUGCCUAUUCCAUACUCAUACUGUAAGAAUUAAAGGAUGAAUUAUCCCAAAUAGGCAGUGAACAAUUAAGGGUAAUUAAUGCCUAUUACAUACUAGAAAAUGUAUUCUUUUAAGAAUCAUAGGCAGUGAAGAACAACAGAAGAAGAAGAAGCAUUGGUUUAACAGAGGAAGAAGAAGAAUAGGACUAAGAAUCAAAGGAGAAGAAGAAGAAGCUCCAGCCUCCAGGUAUGUUUUGUCAGACAAUUCCAAAAUGUGAUUUAUAUAACUUCAUUCUUCUACUGCUUUUGCAAAUUAUGUUCUUCAAUUUAGAGGUAGACUUUGUUUUAUAGGAGUCAUGUAAUUUUUUGUGAGGAGGGUUGAAAGGGUCAAAUUUAUGUCAUUGUAAAAGUUAAAUAGUUUUGAUGCUCCUUGUGUUAUUAUGGUCUGAGAAAAAAAAAACAAAUUUGGAACUGAUUCUAUCGUUAAAAUGUGAAUUGAUAGUCCUGAUUAAAAUUCUAGAAAUUAUGUCAUGUGUAACUCUUGCUAAUUAAAUCAAGAGUAUUUAGAUGAAAACAUAGUAUGAGAUGAUCCUUUAAAUCUAAUAUUUUAUGUUUCAUGGUGAUGAUGUCUUGAUAAUUUUUUAUGAUUUUUCUGUAUUUGAUUGCUAAUGAAUUUACAUAACUAGGAGAAGUGUGUUUGAGGGUGCAAUACCUAUUCAUCGACUGAAUUAUUAAUUAUUUUUUUACAAAAACAAAAUGAUAUUCAUUCAUUUAAAUUGAGAGAUUACAUUAUUCAACAAUGCUAAAAACGUAAAGGAUGAAUCUGCAAACAAAAUCACAGCAUCCAAGUUAAUAGCAUAUAACGGCAUAAUGCCUACAAAAAUAUAUGAUGAAAUUAAAGUGACCGGAAUAUCCAUUGCCUCCGGAUCUGCAACGUUGACGCCCAAAUCUUUGAUUGAACAAUCGAUCUUUCAAAAUGAAUCAAAUGAACACCGUACGAAGACGGGAAAUCAAAUAACGUCGCACAAGACGACGAACAACAAAUCACCAUACUUAGAUGAUGAAAUUACAAAGAAAAAAAAUCUAGAUCUAUGUCAAAAUCACUUAUUUAGAUUGAAUUAAAGAGAAAAAGAUGAAGAGGGGUGAUUUCAGGUCAAAAAAUGAUCCAAAACCACCCCUCAAUGAAGAAAUUGUAAGAGAAAACCUAGAGAGAGAAAACUAGGGCCGACUUAUUGGAUUUUGGUCAAUAUAAUUGCCAAAAUUAAGAAAAUGUCAAAAUGAUUCAUGAAAUAAAAAAAAAUCAAUUACAUUAAUCAGUUCUUUUAGUUUGGUCAAUUUAAUGCAUUUUUUUUUCUUCAGAGUGUACGUAAUGUGGCUGAUACUUUCAAUUUUAGGGAUAAAAAAAUGAUGUACAAGUCGUCUGUUGAUGAUGACGACGAUGGUGCUCCAUCAGGUUGGUAGCUAUUGUAAGUUUGUUAGUUUUACUUUAGGUUGCAUUCCAAAUAUAUAAUAUAAUUGUAUUAGAAGGUAUAGAGUUCGUCGAGCUCAAUAUAUAGCUCGUCGAACUCUAUAUAUGGAUCGUCUUACGAGGGUGAGAGAGUCAACAUAUGAUUCAUCUCACCCCACUCGAUUUGGAGAAACUAGUUGUGUGGUGUGUUUGCAUGAUUUUACAAACACACAAACACUUCUUAGUUUACCAUGUGAACAUAUAUUCAGUAAAGAAUGUAUCUCCACAUACAUAUUUAGAUAUAAAUUGUUUGUUGGAAAAAUAUUUUGAAUUAGUUUUUUUAAAUUUUUAAAUUAGAUAGUUUGUUGGACAAAUGUGACACUAGCUGUGUCAUGUUUGUAUGGAAGAUAUACAUGCCCUGUUUAUGCCAUUAUGUAAUACAAAAAUCAGAAAUGAUAUUUGGACACAUAAUUUUAGCCACAAUACCGACACUGUAUACCAUAUUUUCCUUCUUUUUUUCUUCUUCUCUUUUUCCCCUUCUUCCUCUCCAUCUUCUGCAACUCUCUCUCUCCAUCUUCAAUUCUCCGCUCUCCUUCUUCUUCUCUUACUCAACUCUGCAACUCACCAGAAAGAAUGAAUUUUUACUGAGAACCAUGAUUUCGCUCACGAUGUGCCGUCACUACGAGAUCAGAGUCGGGUUGUGCGACGGAGGAGGUCGCCGACGUGAACGAAUCAGUGACGGCGUGAAGGAGAAAAAGAGGUCGUCGGUGGCGACGACGGUGGUGUGGAUCUUAGUGGUGAAGAAGAAGAACGUCGUUGUGAGGCAGAAGAAGAGGCCUCCUCGACACCGUGAGUUCCAGAUCUUAACAGAUCUGAAGGGGGAAAGACGAUGGUGGAGAAUGGAGGGUGCAGUGGGGAGGACGGUGGUUGGUGGUGAGGACAUGGAGGAUGGCAGGAGAGUUAGAGAGAAGACGCAGAGAAGAGAGGAAGAAGGAAGAGGAAAGACUGUGGUAUUUUUACAGAAUUGCCCUUAUUUUUAAGUUUGAAAUGUCCAAUUUACCCAUGAUGUCUGUAUUGUGUCCAAAAUUAUGUGUUCAGUUAUCAUUGCUGUACAAAAAUAUUAUGCAAGGCAUCUAUAAAAAUGGUAUUAAGUAAAAAUUAGAUAGUCAUAUCUAAUCUUCAGUUUGUCACUCCCAUUAAGAAGCAUUUUCUUAACUAACAUGGUAUUAAGGUAUUAUGAUGCAAAUUAUUGAAGAAUAUUAGUUUUUCUUAAAAACAAAAGGGUUAAGGAUGGUAUGGUGUGAAUAGUAGUAAUUUAUUUUAUAUAGUACAGCGCGUUAAAUGACGAUUAAGUAAUUUAGGUUCCCUAAAAAAAAUGUAAUUUAGGUGAUUACUGCAACUAACAAAAAAAAAGUAAUUUAAGUAAUAUAAAGACUAGAACACAUAGCGCAGGCACGCUCACGCGUGUGCACUUUCUAUUUAUACCAAUGCUUAAUCAUCAAAACAAUCAAGAUUCAAGAAACCUUCGAAAUACAUUUUAGCCUACAUUUUAUGUGAAUAGUUUUUACAAUCUAGCCUAUCAAUUUUUUUAUUAGAAAGGCUCGUUAUAACUAUGAAAUCGCUAAGAACGUGGCUCUGUAGGCUUUGUAUAUAUGUGGUUUUCUUCAGUAUUAAGAAAAAUAAUUGACAGUCAGAGCAUUUUAAGCAGUAAUAAUUUUGGUCAAGAAAAGAUUUCUGUUGAUGUACUCUUUAUUUUAUGAGGCACUACUUGUCCUUUUUCAUAAUCUAACCAUUUAAACCGGGUGCCUCUUUGAAUUGUGCUUUUUGUGGUGGUGAUGUGACGACGAAAUUAGUAUUAAGAAAUUAUGUGAUUUUGUUUUUUAGGACAAGCUUUCCAUUUGAGUUUUACAUUAGUAUCAUCAAAUUUUUUUGCAUUGGAUCUAUAAUAUGGUGGAGAAUUCUUGACAUCCACUCUUCAAAACUUGUUUAUUUGACUGCUUAAGGUAGGCUUGUAAGAAUUUAAAAAAAUUAGCUUGUUUUUUUUAUAUAAGACGGAUAAUGAUUUUAUUAACUUGAUCUCAUAGUGAGUUUAUGUGUUUUAUAUUGUAACUUUUUAACUUGUAAACAAAUACAUCCGUUUGAUGCGUGUGCUUCUAAUGUGUUGGGGUAAUUUUUUGUGCAUGAAAGCAAGUAUUUGUUAACGCAAGUUGUUAGAGCAAUUCAUAUGUAAAGAACUAAAGAUAAAAAACACCACCAGUUCAAUAAUAAGGAAAACCUUCAUGGCCAAUUUUUUUAGAGUAAAAGAAUUUUAUUAAAAAAAUAAUAAAAGAAUGUCCGACUUGUUCAAAAAAAAAUAAAAGCAUGUCCGACACAACAUCAAUGUAGACACACUAUUCUCAACUUUUAUGAACGAUUUACACUAGAACAAGGAGCAUGUUUCCCGUGAAUUUUCUUGGUUAAAAGUUGAUGCUUCAACCUUGAGGUUCUCCGUUCGAAUUUUUUGCCAAUCACAAAAAACAUGGAUUAAUGUGUUUAGACAACCGAAACAAUUACAAGGACACAAGUUCUCAAGACCCUAUACUAGAAGAGGCUCUCUACAAAAUAAACUGAGCCAAAAGACUACUACUAAAACACCCUAAAAGCACACAUGAACACCACAAAAUGGUGGAGUAGGUUAUCCUAUCUACCAUCCUGCCAUCACCCUACCUCUAAAUAAUCCACACCUUUUACCAAAAAUACACACCUACACUAGACACACACAAGAGCACAACACCACCACCAUAUAAUAAGUAACUAGAAGAGAUACAUCUGCAACAAACCAGUAGCCACUAAUUAGGAUAUGUGUUCCUUAGGUCCUUCUUUUGAUCCUUAUUGCACUUUUUCAAAGGUAGGAGAAUAAGCAAUUAAAAAGUUCCAACCCAUUAGUACCAAAACACCAAAAUAGCUCAUCAUGCAGAACCACUUGAGACCGAGGCCACAUCCACAACAACACAAUAUCAGUGAGCAUACUACUUGAGAUUCUUCAGGCUAGUGCACAAUGUGUUGCAACUAACACCAUCUGUCCAUCUGCCAUUUCCAAUACAAAUAGUUCAUCAUCCUGCAACAAGGAAAUCUCACAUACAUAGAAAUUAAGGUAAAAACUAGAAUACUCCUCACCAUCCACCCCCUUUAAUUCAAAUAUUCAGUACAUCAAAUCAAAAUUAUGAACAACUCAUACUCUCAUGAAGACUUCGUAAAGUGCACAUAUGCAGUUUCUUUACACUCUAGUCAUGGCAAUACCUGAUUUUUCAUUCUUCACUAUAUUAACACCUAAACAACAGAGGGAGCAGCAUCACGAAGGCAUUACCAGCACAUAGCUGCAUAAACUAAGGCCAUAAAGCUUGUGUCAAUCACACACCAACACCUUAUAAUGAAAGCAACACUAUUGAAGCAUCUAUGCAGUCUAAUUUGGAGCAAAUUAACAACACUAGAGCAUGGUAAAUAAUAGAUUAGAAGCUAAAAAAAUCAAUGCUAAAUAAACUUAAGCAUAAUCAAUUUCAUACACCACCAGAUGCUAAUCUACCUGCAGAAUAUUAACACAGAAUCAUAUUAAUUCAAGACCAAAUACUUAGAUACACCUGAACCUCCACUCCCAUAAUUUCAUCAAACACCGAGGAAUGACCCAUUGCAGCACAAUCACAAAAUAGGAAACAAAAUAUAAUGCAUUGAAAUCGUUAUUGAAUGAGAGGUGAAAUAUUUUAUUAGAGUUUGAUUUAACAAUUUCAUAUAAAAAGGUGUAUUUAGAUUUCACACAAUUGGAUUUUCAAACAUUGGUCUCAAUUAUCAAAGGCAGAUCCUCUAAUCAAAAUCAAAUGACUCGCAUUUAACCGCGUGUAUUAUAUGUUAAAAUACAAUGUUCGAAUGUGAGUCAUCUAAUUUGAACAAAGAGUAUGUGAUCAAUAAAAGCGGCAAAUCCAUGAAAAUUUCAAGGUCCACAUGGUGGUGCACUUCGCCAACUUCCUUUCAAUGAUAUUUAGUUUGCAAAAUCUUAAGAACGCAAAAACUAUAAAAUGGAAGGAAAAAAAUUAAAAUAUAGACUGCAUAAUAAGUAGCAAAAAUUAUGUGUUUUAAUGAGAAUUAUUCGUGUUUUAAAUUAAAAAAAAAAUACUAAAAUUUAAAAUUCGCUGCAACAUUGCCCGUGUUCUAUUUAGGUGCACCAGUAUCAACUCCCUAAACAGUUGCAAAAUCACAAAUAUUUGAUAUUUCCCUCUAAGAUUACCUUCAUUCACCAAAUAAUGAUAAAAGCCCAGAUCAUGCAUAUAUUUUCAGAUUAAAACAAAAACUAUCCGAUAUUGAAAACAAUGAGUGGUUACCAAGCAAGUAGUUUUGUCAAUUGCAGAUCACUGAAAAUAACGGUUUGUUUGAAUUCCGUUAAGCAACAGUGCUAUAGCCUAUAGCGACGCUAUUUCACAAUAUUUUGUACUAACAGCGUAUCUUGGGAAAAUAACAAUUUUUUUCAAAUUCCGUUCUAAAAUGGAGCUAUAGCGCUGCUAUUUAAAAACAUUGCAAGCAAGCUGAGACAGAUAAAAGCAAUCAUCAGAAUUAGUAUUAACAACAAAUAACAAAAAUAAAAAGAACAAAUCUUCAUUUGCCUCUAAAUUAUCUUAAUCCCAUUUUGCUUUAGUAUGGGGACAUAAUAACCUGGCAUUUACACUGACCGUCAAACUUUGAAUCGCAUAGAUAUUCUUGACAGCAGAGAUAGUAUCAAUUGUUAAAUGCAGACAGAACAUGAUAAAAAGUACUAGUAACUAAUCAUCCGUGAUCAAAUAAUUAAGAAAAAAAUAAGUUAUGAACCAAAUCCAAAAUAAUACAAGUAACAAACCAAAGGCUUAUCAGAAAAGGAAAACAAAAGUAACAAUCCAAAGAAAGCUAAUAAGCCAAACCAACUGGGAAAGUAGGAUCCUUUCUUUGAAAACCAUUCAAAGCAGUUGAAAAUUGCCCUCCAGAAUCUUUUGAGACCGAACAAGUAAGAAUAUUGACAGAGGUCAUUGAAUAUCUAACAGACCCAUCAGCAAAAGUAUCUCCAGAUUCACACUCAGCACCAAACACAGCAACAAUUUGUCCAGAGUUAUUAACAACAAACAAAUAAGAAAAGAUAAAUAUGUUAUUUUGCCUCUGUAAGUUGUUUUCCGUUUUUUUAUUAGUGUGGGGAUCAAGUCUUAACAUGACAUUUGCACUAAAUGUUAAACUUAUGAAUCACAUAGACAAUCUUGACGGCAGAGAUAGGAUCAGGUGUUAAAUGCAGAACACAAUAAAAAAUUUAGUAACUACUAAAUAAUCAGAGAUCAAUAAUUAAGCAACAAAUUCCCCAGAAAAAGUAAAUUAUAUAUCCAAUCCAAUGGUUAUGCAUAAUAUUAAUAUUAAUAUAUAAAUAAGCAACAAACCAUAGCAAAGCUAACAAGCCAAAGCAACUGGGUAAGUAGGAUCACUUCCCUAGAAUGAAUCCAUCCACACCAUUUGAAAAUUUCUCUCCAGAAUCUUAUGAGAUAGAAUAAUCAGGAACAUCGGCAGAAGUCAUUGUAUAUCUAACAGACCCAUCAGUGAAAGUAUCUCCAGAUUUAAGAAUAGCAUCUAACACAAUAAUAAUCUCUCCAGCAUGAGCUUCAUCAACUUCCUCAAUCUUAUCAUCAUGUCUCUUAAACAAACGAGGAAUCUGAAUCUUCUUACCAGUGUUAACAUUUGUAAUAAAAUCACCCUUCUUAAUAACACCCUGAUAGAUUCUUAGAUAAGUUACUAAUCCAUCAUUCCUAAUCACAUUUGUGAAAACCUUUGCAACAAAUGGCGCAUCAAUGCUUCCAGACAAUUCAACUUUCUCACCAUUCCUAUUUUGAUCAAGAGCAUAAUUACUAACAUCGAUUGGACCCGGCAAAUACCUAAUUACACCCUCCAUAAGUAGUUCUAACCCAUCAUGUCUCUCAUCACAGAUAACACCCAUGAAAAUUGGUACAAAUUUCAUUGAUAUAGUUGCCCUACGAAUUGCAUCAUCGAGAACAGAUUCUGAAAUUUGGCUGCCACCGUGAAAAGCUUCAGAAAGUUUAUCAUCAACCUCUGAGACGAUUUCAAUGAGUUCGCUUCUUUUCUUCAACACAAAGGCUUGCAUAUCUUCAGGUACUUCACUUACUUCUACAUGCUUAUAAUAAGGUGUUUCAGAGCGAAAAAAGUAGGCCUUUAACUUGUUGACAAGAUCAAAAAGUCUAACAAACAUUUUAAGGCGAAAAUAGUAGGCCUUCAUCUUGACAAGAACAACAAAUCCAAAACACCAAUUGUCAAAGUAUAUUGGAACUUGAAUUGCAGCACAACGAUGAUUAAGCUUAGAUAUUACUUGAUCAAGAUUAGAUUUUACUUGAUCUACUAUUUCCCGUUCCCAAUUAAUGUCUUCGAUAAAUAUAAGCCUUGGAAAUUGAAAUCUUGUCAUUUGUUGAUCAUUUUCAACACCAUCAAAAAAGAGAAAGAACAAGAAUUGAACUGUCGAAAAUAUGUGAAGCUAUUUCAGCAUCAACAAUGGAAUCAACUUCGAUUAGGGUUAUGUUUUUAUUGUCUAUUUCGCAUACAACACGUGGGUCGACGUAGCGCAGUUGGCCUCGACUUUGUUUGGAUCGUAGUAUUUCCCAGUCCGCCCACAUCGUAAGGUCAGGGUCACCGUAUCUAGAAAGACAGACGUUGCGCAGAUGCUCCACUGAAUUGUUGGAGAAGUGACGGAGGUGGAGAGGGAAGGCUGAGAAAGAGAGGAGGCAGAGGAGAGAAGGCGUGGUAUGGAGGACCUUGAAAAGAAACGAUUCAUGGCGGCGGCAAGAAGGGGUUUGAUGGAAGGAAGCUGCAGAGUAGUAAGAAUGGUGAACGGAGCUUAAACCCUAAAAGUAACAUCCAUCAACGCCUUCAUCGCAAUUUCAACAAAAAAGAAGACAAACUACCAUUCAAUGCAACCGACCGAAUCGUUCUCCGAAUUCGCAAUUUAAAGGGGAAAUGAUUGAAUCAUUAGUUUUAUAGUGUCCCAAAAGAGGUAUAAUAACAUUUCAUUAUCAUGCCAAAUUAUAAGUACGAUGUGGUUGGUAUAUAAUUAAAAUUGGGUUAAUAGUGUUUUUCACCCUUGUAAUAUAGGCCAUUUCCGGUUUUCGCCCUUAUAAAAUUUUCGGUUUGAUUUCUGUCCUUGUAAAAUUUUUUUUUUCCCGGAAUACCCCCCUCCUCCCUCCAACUCAGCAAAUCAGCCUAUGUGGCGCUGACAUGGAAUUUAUUUAUUUUUUUUUUUUUUUUUCACCUGCCCCCGGGAAAAAAUUUUUUUUUUUUUUAAAUUGUGAAAUUUUAAUUUUAAAAAAAUCAAUUUUUGUUUCAAUCGUCCUAUUUUUUAAAAAAUUUGAAAAUUAAUUUUUCAAAAAUAAAAAAAAAAUAUUCAGAUUUUUUUCCGAAUAUUAAUUUCAAAAAUGAUUUUAUAAAAAAAAAUUCAAAUAUUAAAAAUAUGAUUUUUUAGAAUUUUUAAAAUUUUAGAAAAUGAUUUUUUUUUUAAAUUUUAAUUUCAAAAAUGAUUUUAUAAAAAUCUAGAAUAAAAUUUUCGAAAAUAAAAUCUGAAUUUUUAAAAAAAUCUGUAUCCAGAUUAUUAAAAAUAAAAUAUUUUCCAUAAAAAAAAAUAUGACUUUUUUUAAAAAAUUUCGAAUUUGUUUCUUCUAAUUUAAUUUUUUUUUAAUUUUGAAAAUUAAACUCCAGAAUCUUUAAAAAAAAUUAAUUUCGAAAAAAAACCGAAUAUUUUUUCUGAUUUUUUUAAUAUUCGAAUUUAAUAUAAAAUCGAAAAAUUCAAAAAAAAUCUUAUCGUUUUUUCUGAUUUUUUUAAUAUUUGAAUUUUUUCUUUUUCGAUUUUUAAAUUUUUUGGAAAAAAAUCUGAAUAUUUUUUUUUAUUUUUGAAAAUUAAUUUUCAAAUAUUUUAAAAAAUAAAAUCUGAUGUAGAUAAUUAAAAAAAAUUGAGUUUUUUAAAAUUAAAAUUUCACAAUUUUUUAAAAAAAAAAACGAAUUAUACACGUGGCAAGUGAAAAAAAAAAUCAAAAAUAAAAAAAAAUUCCAUGUCAGCGCCACAUAGGCUGAUUUGCUGAGUUGGAGGGAGGAGGGGGGUAUUCCGGAAAAAAAAAAAUUUGCAAGGACAGAAAUCAAACCGAAAAUUUUAUAAGGGCGAAAACCGAAAAUGGCCUAUAUUACAAGGGUGAAAAACACUAUUAACCCAUUAAAAUUUGAUUUCCAAUGUUAAAGUGGCAUGGGAAGAAUAACUUGACCACACGGUUGUGCCUCUAGUGAGGUAAAUUAUUGACAAGAGAAUAAGAACGAUGAUUGUGAAAAAGAGGAAUGAUAUAUCAACAUUAUUUGUGUUCAAUGUUAUAAAGAAAAAGAGGAAUGAUAUAUGAAUAUUAUUUGUGUACAACCAACAACUUCUUUGCUAUUUUUUAAUAUUUUUUUUAUUGAUUUUGAUUUGCGUGCUCCUUACAGUAUUAAAGGGUGUUGCAUUAGUUGUUCAAUUUUGGUUGUACAAAUAACAUAGCUCAAAGAAAAAAGGUUCUUUAUCCAAAGAUAAAUAAAAAUCGAACAGGUUUUAAACUAGUUGAACCAAUUACGGUGAAAACCUGGUUGAGAAACAUCUAAUUUAGUCUGAUUUUAAAAACAUUGGUCGUAAGUCUUUAGAUAUUUACUUAUACGUGGUGUAUUGAUAUGUUUACUUCAUGUGCAAGUUUUAUAAGCUUUAGAUAUUUACUUAUACGUAGUGUAUUGAUAUGUUUACUUCAUGUGCAAGUUAGCAUAGAUACUUGUCCAUUUAUAAGCUUUAGAUAUUUACUUAUACGUAGUGUAUUGAUAUGUUUACUUCAUGUGCAAGUUAGCAUAGAUACUUGUCCAUUUAUAAGCUUUUCAGAAAAGAACUACCGUGCUUAUGAAUAAAUGUGCACACAUUCUAAAAUUUGGGGAAGGAGGAGGAAAGAGAAAAAGAGCAACUUGCAUAAUCAGUAAUCCAAAUCACUAGAUAGAGAAUGAAAUUUGGCAUUUGCUCAAAACAUAGGCUCCUCAAACAUUUUGAUGGGAAAAAUUCGGGAGAUAGUUACUGCACUUGAGAUAUACAUAAUCUUAAAAUACUUUUUCUAGGAUAUCAUUCUAGAAUCUUAAAAUAUUUUGAUUAUGGAUAUCCUAGAAAUUCGGAAGAUAGUUACUGCACUUUGGAUAUCCUAAAAAAAAGAUAUUUUAAGAUCAUGAAUAUCCAUAAUCUUAAAAAGCCAGUAAGGAUAACCACCCUAAAAUUUGCUUGCUUUUUUUUCAGAAAGGUUAUCAAAUACCAACUCUCAACCAGCUUCGUUUCAAAAGCACUCUACAAGAGCUUCAUUUGAACUCUUAAUGAAAAACUAUUUUUGUACUAGUCUCUUUCAUCAAUCUUUCUCAUCCUUAUCCUCUUCGGAUGAUAAUCAAAAUUUGAUGUUAGAAACAAUCCGAUACUCUUAAGAUACUGAAGGGUAUUUGACCAAAUGGAUAGAUACAUACGGUUAAUCGAAUUCAUCAUUUGUGGUCUUUUGGCUAAUCUUAUGCAUCAAAAUGGACGGGGAGCUUUGAGCAUAAUAUAUAAAUCUUCAAUGAGAUUGGUGUUUAACCCUUGACCUUUGUAUGAGGAAGUCCCCUCUAAUCUAAAUUUUUGUUCAUAAAAAUUACAACCUGUGAUUUAAUUGCAGUCAACAUCUAGAAAGACUAGUAUAGUUACAAUUUAUUACACAAUUUUUGUAUCACCUUCUACAAAACUUCAUCACAUACAACCACUUUGGGCAUCAAUAAUAGAAGAAUCUACACCAAAUUGAAAGGAUUAGGAGAUUCAGUGUCUUUACAUGCUGCAUCAUUUACGCAACAUCAGCUGCAGUUGCAGCACUUGAUUUCUUUGUUCCGGAGGUAGGAGAUUUAUCUGCUCCGGUGUGAGACUCAUGACCUGCUGAAGCAAUGCCUUCUCCAUAUCUGGUGUCAACUGCAUGCAAGCAAGAAGUGAAUAUCAAUAGGCUGCAGGACAAUUUCAAGGGACUAUUGCUAAUUCACAAUAAUUACCGCAGGAGGCCGAGGAGGCUGAUUAGCAGCACCGAUCUGACCAGAAACCAUAGAUGAUGGUCCCUGAGGACCAGAAUGCUGUGCUAGAUUCUCCGAGGGACCAGGCAUCCAAGAAGACCCUCUUUCAAUUUGCAUUGCAUUUCCAGCUUGACUGCUGAAAUCAGACCCAAAUGGUAUAUUUCCAACCUGACACAAAAAGCAUGACUUAGCACCUAAAUAAUCAAUUACUAUCAAAACAAAGUGUUGCUACUCAUCAUGACAGAUGCUGCUUUUCAAGCCAUUUUACUUAGAUUUACUUGUUUACUUCUUACAGUUAAAAUUAAUGAAAUUGGAGGCCUAACUCAUCCUUAAAAACCGGUUCAUAAGGUGAGGAUUGUCUCCUCUAUAUAAACUCUUAUCAAGAGUCUUAUCUAUCCGAUGUGGGACAUGGGUUUUUCCCAAUACAAUGACUAGUGGAGUUAAAACUAAAUAGUCACAACUUUUCAAUAUCUCCACUAAGUACUUAUUAAAUAUUCUAACAAAAAUCACCAAAAUCAACUUGGACUGAGGUCAAAAUCCAGCAUGCUAGUUAAUUAAACAAAACUGACUAACUCAAUUGUGAAAUAGAAAUGCAGCAAUGACAAAUUUGUCAGGAAUAAUAGUGUAUAUUUUUCUCCUCCUUCCGUUGUUAAUUGGUUUCAACCUUCAGACUCAUCAAUACAAUAUGACAGCGGAAGAGCCCAUAAUCUUCACAUUGACAAAAACCCAUCAAUACCCCAUUUCUGAUCUAUGCAACUCAUCAUUUUCUUCUUAUCCUUGUGAUUUACCUUCUUUUUGUUUGACAGAAAUCACAUAGAAUUUCUGUUACCUGUGAUAGCUUUAUUUCUGAUGGCAGACUCUACCACCUGCAUAUUUCGCUGACAACUACGGCAAUUCACAACCCACUCCUUUGCAUCAUCACAACAAACCUUGGUCUCAAUUCUUUGGUCCAUUUUUUUUUCCACUGUCUACUUCACAGUUUAUGUUGUGAAAAAUAUAUUUCUCUGUUCACAUAUUUUUAAUUUCAGCUGUUUGUAGUCUUUAAUUUGGGGUAAUUCUGUAUUUUUGAAUAUAUUUAAAUAUAAGUUUAGUAUAAAUAAUUUAUCUUCAAUAUAUAUUUUUGACAUGGCAGACAUCCCAUUAUGGAUCCAUGUAGCCGACAUAAGGCUUGGUUGUUGUUUGUUGUUUGUUGCAGACAUCCAAUUAUCUGUCAUUCCACUAUAGCAUUUUUGGAAUGAGCCACCAGGAGCAGCAACUCAAGAUAAAAAAAUAUGGUUUCAACAUUUCACCGUGCAUCUAAAAGGUACUUUCCAUGUAAACCAAAGAUAAUUUUGUUUGUAUAAGCGCUACAAUAUAAGAUGCUCCUAACAAGUGUCGCAACUAUUGGGCAUUAACAGAUAGACAAAAGGAUUCUGCUGCAGAAAAGCUAGGAUUGAACAAGUCAUUGAAUUUAUGAAUCCAAAACUCAUGAUGGUAUAAAGCCAAUAAUAUAUUUUGAUGCCACAGAGCAUGACAAACACCCAUGGUACCAACAUAGUUUUCAAGUCUAAACCAACAGUUGUAGCACAACAUACCUGAUAAGAUGACUGAGAUGAUUGUUGACUUGGUAGUAGUGCCUGCCCUGGUGGGAACGUAGAUCCAACACUAGGAGGUUUUGCACCAGCCUGAAAAUUUCAUCAAUAAAUACUGUUACAGUUCAACAUGUCAUUAGAUCAUAAAUUGUAAACUGAAAUAUUUGGCUUACAUGAAACAUGGGCGGAGGAAGGUUGUGAGAAGCACCACCAGCAUGUUGAAAACCUAAAUUGGCACCAAUCGGUGGGGGAUAUUGGGGAUGGAAGGUUUGCACUGAAGGUGGUCUGGGCUGUGGUGGCAAUGGUGGUUGCAGAGGCAUAUGUGAAAAUCCAGGAGUCUGCAAUGGUUGAUGCGCCUGACUCGAGGCAGUUGGCAUUUGAGUUGGAUGAAGUGGCUGUGAAGAUGAAUGAACAGAGGGUGGAGGUAUAUGUGGAAGUUGUGAUGAUUGUGGAACAGAUGCUGGAGCUACUUGGGGAGUCAGAUGCCCUUUAGGCUGUUGUGGCAUUUGCAACGAAUGUGCAGCUGUGGGUUGAGAUUGAUGACUCGUUGCAGGAACAGCAGCAUAUGAAACUGGCACUGAAGGCUGAUUUUGGUGUUUCCUGGGAGGAAUUUGAGUUUGAGAUACACCUGCUUGAUCUUGUAUGCCACCUUGUGCAGGCAAUAUUGGAGCAGGCUGAACACUUGGUCUUUGUGUCGGCUGUACUGAUUGCUGAUUGUUUUGAGGAGCUAUUGGUUGAACUUUUGGUACCUAGAAGUAACCGUUUAUUAGCAUGCAAAUCUCUACCAAAGGUUGUGAAAAUGACAGCAAAAUAAAGAGAGGAAAAUACCGCUUGUUGCGACUGCACCAUUCCAAGCAUGAUUUGCGCCUGAUUAGACAAAACAAAAUGGACAAAAAUCUCAAAGUUAAACAAAUAACUCAUGAAACUGAAAUAUUUAAAUGAGAAUAAAUUUAAAAUAAAAACAAUUAAAAUACACACACUACUCUGUUCAUCAAAACAGUCUAAAAAAGUGAACAACUUUAUUCGCAUACAGUUGCAUAUAUCAAUAAGACAGACUAUAAUAUAAAAAACAAGACAGCAUACAGAUUUGAAAUCUGAUUUAUCCCUUAUACAACUCAAAUGACUCCUACUCUUCCAAAGUGUGCAAUUCAAUUGAGGGGGUCAAAUAAGGAAUCUUAAUCAUUGAUAAAAAAUCAACUGUUGAUAUGCAUAAAUAAGACAAACUAUAGUAUAAAAACAAGACAGCAUACAGACUUGAAAUCAGAUUUAUCCCUAUAUAACUCAAAUGACUCCUACUAUUCCAAAGUGUGCAAUUCACUUUAGGGGGUCAAGUAAGGAAUCUUAAUCAUUGAUAAAAAAUCAACUUUUGAUAUGCAUACACAUGUAUAAAGAAUUGCAGAUGAGUUAAAAUUUCAUCAAUAGUUGAUAUGUCUUACUUUACCGUCUAAAGUAAAAUUCAGAGGGGCUAAAUCCGACUGAAAGAGCGUCCGUGAAAUAGAUCGAAACAUUAGGAAAUGGGGCAGCCUAAAUAAAUCUUCAUGUGUACAACAAAUAUUUUUGUUUUUGCAGAGGCAAAGAGAAUAGCUCAUUAUAGCUCAUUGAAGAUAAAUCCACAGCACAAGAUGUGCACAAAUGGAGACAAAGUACAACAACCAAGCCUUAUCCCACUAAGUGAGGUCGGCACAAAUGGAGACAAAGUAUAUAAGAGAUUUUAACAUUACAAUACGACCCACCGAAAACAUAACACAAUCAACCGAAUCCACCCAAUCAAACUUCCAUCAAUAUAUUACCUCGUUACUGCAUAAUAUUGCAGGAAAAUUCAUAGUCACAGCCCCUCAACCUAAAUGUUAUACAUAGACUACCACAGCCCCUUUCUAGCAACACCUUUUUGCAACCAUACCUUGCAGUCCAUGGUAGAAAAUAGCGGCCAAUAGCGGCGCUAUAGCGGCCGCGCGGUGCGGUGCCGGAGCGCUACGCAACAAGCCAUAGCGUUGCGGUGUGAGAUAGCGGCACAACACUUUGUAGCGGUUUUGCGGUUUAGAACCGCUAUUUCAUUUUAAGAGAAAAUACAAAAUUGUCCUUGGUUUUAAAAAAAAAGAGAGGGUAUUUUUGACAUUUUCAUCAAACCCUAAAAAGUUCAGCUUCUCUCUUCCUUCUUUCAUUCUUACGCAAAACGGCGUUUAUCUGCAAAAUGCAAAACGCAUCUUCUCUCUGCUGUUCUGUGAAACUUCUUCACCUCUGCUGUAAAUCUUCCUCUACUUUGUCGUGUUCGCUCAGUUAUCCUGUUAUUUUUUUGUUUAACAAUCUCAAACUCCUGUUACUUUUUUGUUCUAGUUUUCUUUGUUAUUAUUGAUUCCAAACUCCAUUCUGCUUUCUCUGUUUCUGUUUGUAGUUUGUACAAACAAUCCUGAUAGUAUUUCUAGGUCGGCUACAUGGAUCAAAUUACGCCAUAAUGUUCUAUCAUAAACCAUAUUUAGAUCCAACUCAUUAAUCUCUAAAUCUCUCAUAACCGUUUCUCUUAUAGUAUUUCUAGGUCUUCCUGUACCUCUUGUAAUUUGACUAUCCUCCAUCUGAUCUAUUCUUCUUACUACAACAUCUAUAGGUCUUCUCUCUACAUGUCCAAACCACCUAAGCUUAUUAUUUUCCUCCAUCUUUUCUACUAUAGAUGCUACGCCAAUACCUCUCUAAUGUUGUCAUUUUUUAUCCUAUUUCAUCUAGUCUUACCGCAACAUCCUCAUCUCCACUACGGUUAAUUUCUAGAUACAAAGUUGGGAAAAUGAGCAAAGUAUCACAGACAUAUAGAUACAAAACAGCAAAACAACAACAAAGCUAAUCCAAACUAUAACAAUAAUACAACUAAACUACAUCAUCAAUGAAUAACAAAAACACAGCCUAAGCUUAAUUGCUACUAACAAACAAACACAGGAAAAUAAUUAAGUCCUGCAAUCCACGCAAAAGUUGCAUAAUUGUUAUGAUUUAUGAGCACCUUUACACGUAAGGUGGAAAUAAUAAUGAUUCUACAAUAGCAAUCCUUGUGUUAUGAAUUCUUUCACAAAAUUAAAUUUAGGGUUUUAUGAUCUCAACAUCUAUGAAAUAAAAUUGGGAAUGCAGUGCAAUGAAUUAAGUUAGAAGUAGGAAACCCUGGAAAGAAACCUGGAAAAGUGCUUUGGUUAACAUAGGGUUUUGGAUGAGGAUCUGUUUGGCUUGUUGCUGGUUCUGUUCGAUCAAAUUCUGAAUAGAGAAAAACGAAAGGGUUAGCAAUAGCAAUAAGGGGGGUGAGAAAGAGAGAAAGAGGAUAAUUGAUUAAAUGUUACCUUCAUCUGAGACAUUAUAUCGUAAAGUUGAUUCUUCGACAUUCCAGCCAGGUUCGCUGAUAAACCCUCGCCGCUAACUUGUUUUCCGGCCAUUGCAACGUUGUCGUUGUCGCCGCCGCCUCUGCCGUCGUAAACCUGAUUUGCCGAUUCACGGUCCCUCCCGCUUCGUGCGUGCGAUUCUUAUGUUAUUUUAAUCUGUAGUUUUUUUAACUAAUUUUUAAUCUGUAAAGCUCUACAGCCACUGGAUUAAUCCAAGGGCUUAAAAUAGUUAAGUAGAAAUUGCAGUAGGUAUUACAUAUGCUCACUUCAAAAUUUUCAAGACUAUAUAUUUUCAAAUUCUACAAUCAGUAUGUGUAAAAUAAAAAAAAUAAAAAAAAAUUGUUUAUACCUCUGGAUUUUAUAAUUCAGAUGUGUAGAAUGAUAUCUUUAAAAUAAUCUAGAUUUUAAUAUUACACGUUAUUCAUAAAUAUGGGCUUUCAUAAUAUUGUUAUAACUUGGUCUUAAUAGGUAUGCUUGAGAGUUUGGAGGGGAAGAGAUGACUUUAGAGGGAGGGGUUCAGAGAAAAUUAUUAAAAAAUCUUACAUCUUUUUUAUGGUGUAUUUUUGUAUAGAAAGAUAAUUAAUAUAAUUUUUUUAUAGAAUAUAUUUUUAAUGUUAAGAAUAUUAUAACGAUAUAAAUUUCAUCCAAUAUCUUGCAAAGUUUUUCUAAAAUACAUUUUUUACUUGGUUUGAUUUAGGAGAAUUCCUACAAAUCUCUCAUCUUCAAAACACUCUCUUUCUUCCAUGACUUCAUUACUUUUUAUGAAAAUCCUCCCCUCCAAAUCCAUCAAAUUAGAAGAUAAACAUAUAAGCGGUGCAGACCAACUUGCAAAUAAUAAUAAAUUAUAAAAAUAUGACUUAAUUAUUGCUUCUGGACAACACUUGUCUGUAAUCUGCAAUCUUAGUAACCACGUUAAAGACAAGGAUCAAUAAAAGACCCAAAACUAUCUCUUUUUUCAGGUGGACUCUUUAUUCCAUCAGCAGGAAAGGAAUACAUUCAAGCUUCUAAAUAGAGGGAUUUUGAGUCAUAAGAUUCAUGUUUCAAAAACAAAACCUUGUCAUGUUUCAACUUGUUCUACAAGAAUGUCAUGCAAUUCCUUUAUAGAAAGUGAAGUUUGUGUUUGUCUACCUAUGCGUGUGGCUUGGUUUUGGUCUAUUUCUUUUUUGCUUUUAGCUCAAAUAGGAAAAAAUCACACUGUUAACAAUGUUAGACAACAAAAUUAUAGCGUCCCAUUGUUAACCUUAAUAAUAAUACAUACAAUAUAGAUAUAGAUAAGCACAUAGAUGCUAUAGUAAGAAAGAAGCCAAGAUUCAUUAAAAAAAAUAAAACCAAGAUUGUCUAAUCUUGGUGCUUAAUUAAAGUACUUAACAAUGGUGCAAACCAUUUAGGGAUAUUAGAGAUUUUGACAUUUUAAACAAUGUGGACUAACAUCGAUAAAUAUCAUGAAAGCAACUUAAGCUAACUUUUUUUUUCUUUGUUUAGUGGUGGAGUCCUCUAAUGUUCACUUUGUAACAACCACAAACAAAAUGCCAUGUCCUAAAGAACAAGCUCUUCUUAAACUCUUCAACAAUGUCUCAACUUCUUUGCAGCUUCUUUUCUUAGUCCUAUUUUCCAUUGCCAUUUUUCUUGUCACAUUCUUAACCUUCACUGGUAGAUUCCCCUUAAUCCAAAGGUCUUGCUAAUGCUCUUCUUUUUCUAUCUACACCUCCCAUUCAACUAGCACAUUCAUUUUUCCCAUAACAUGUAUUUAAAUUACAACAUUCUAUUUGUAUCUAUUGCAGAGAUCAACAGUAUGAAUAUGUGUAUUCUGAUGAUGAAGAAGAUGAAGAAGACGAAGAAGCCCCAGAAGAGUAUUCUUGUGUCCAUUCUUCUGAUAAGGAAGAGCGUCAAAGGACUCAUUCUGAAGAAUUCAUUAGCCCACGAGAGAGCUUUGUGGAAGGAUCAGAAGAAAAUGAUUGUUCCGAAACAUUGUCUAUGCAUCAAUCGCCGCAAGUUUCUGACUUCGAAAAUAAAGAGGUGGGAGCGUUUCAAGAAAACUUUCAAUCAAGAAAUGUUGUUGAUUCUGUUCCAAAUUAUGUUGAAUUUGAAAGCAGCCCCACCUCUUCCAUGAUCAACCUGAACCUAUAUAAAAGUAACAGACACCAUAACGGUAUUUCACACCGUAUCUCAUUUUAUAAUCUAUACUAUAGGCCUAUUUUGAUUAACUCAUUUGAGUUUAUCUAUUGACAUAAACACUUGACAUAGCUUAUGAAAACAAUUUGACUUUAUUUUAUCUUUUACGCUAGAAAUAACUUGUAUGUAACCACUUAUAUGAUAAACAUUUAUGAUAUAAGGGUUUAAUUAAGAUGUUUAUCCAAAUGAUCUCUAUAUGGUACUAUAGUGAAACACUGAUUUAGUCAUGAAAUUGUAAUGAUUAGAGAGUUUAGUCUUGAAAUUAACGAAAUUCUAAAAUGAUCCUCAAUCACAUUUGUACUUUAGGACUUCAAGACUAAAUUGAUUGAUCCAAAAAUACUAAUUGAAGAUUUUUAAUUUCACUCAUUAUGGUAAUUGAUAUUAUUCAAAUGCAGAUCAACACUUCUAGUUCAACUAUGUGACACUACUUUAUUAUGCAGAUGAUCAAGUUGGUCAUGGAAUUAUUAAAAAUAAAAAGGUGCAAGAAACAAGCCACUCAAGGGAUGAGAGAUUCUUUGUUUUUGCUUCUAAACAAUUGAACAGUAAAAAGUUGAUUGUUGAUGAAGAGAAAGAUGAUGUUGAUGACUUUGUCUACUCCUCUUCUGAAUGUAGAAGUUCCACUCAUUGCAGGGAAUCAGAAACUGAAGAUGAAUUUUCUACCUCAUCUAGAAGAAGUUGUCCCAAGUGGGAAUCAUAUACUUUGUUCCAAAGAUAUGAUGAAGAUAAUGCAUUCUUAGAAAGAAUUAGUGCACGAAACAAACGUCAUGAAACUGGUAACUAACCCUUUUAUAAUACUUAGUGAAUUAUAUUAGCCUGUUUAGCUUGACUUAUUUGAAUUUGUCUACUGAGUGACAUAAGCACUUGUGAAACUGUUUGAGAGAGUUUAAGAAAACAGCUUAUGCCGUGUCAAUAAGAUGUUUUAACCCUACUUCCAUAACCUCUACAAGAUAGCUUAUUGAAACAACUUUAUUUUAUCUUUUGUUAUAGAAAUACUAACAAAUACAUAAGCACUUAUAUGAUAAAACACUUAUUUUGUAACCACAUUUUCAGAGUCUUUAAGAUCAAUUCAAAUGUCACCAAGAUCAAUAUCAGAGCGAAUUGCGAACAAGCUUUCAAGUAUAAACAAAAAGCCAACUGAUGUAGGUCACAAUCCAUAUAGUGAACUAGAGGCUGCAUAUGUUGCACAAAUUUGCUUAACAUGGGAAGCACUUAGCUGGAACUACACAAAUUUCCGUUAUAAACAUGCGUCACAAUCGCGCCACGAUUUUGAUAUCGGUUGUCCGGCCACCAUUGCACAACAAUUCCAGCAGUUUCAGGUUUUGUUGCAGAGAUAUGUAGAGAAUGAGCCCUAUGAGCAUGGCAGGAGACCUGAAAUUUAUGCAAGAAUGAGGCUUCUAGCACCAAAGUUGCUCCUAGUACCGGAAUAUCACGGUAAGAUAAUGAUAAUUACAUUUUCUCCCUCUCUUUUAGAAGAAGAUUUCACAUCAAAACUUAUAAGUUCAAAUUAAAAUCCAUGUAGUAACCAGCUACAAAUCAUGGACUUGUAGUUAGGUUAAAACUACAAUCACAAUCGCAAUAUUUAGGUUAAAACUAGAUAUAAACCUAUUUUAAAAUAUAUCAAUAAUGAUGAAGAGAUACUCCAAGAUGGAUUAAAACUUAUUUAUACCAUAGUGUACAUAUCCUCUAUCCUUGUUUUCAAUUAGUAUUAUUGACAAAACAAGACAUUGUGCAAAAGGAAUUCUAAAGGUAAUAAAAUAUGUUGGAUAAUAAUGUAGCAUAGUUGUGCUUUAGAAGGAGAAAAAGGGUACAAAAUUCAUUACUCUAAAAAUGAAUACACAACAUUGUUUUAAUUAAUAAUUUUCUUGUUUUUGUUACAAAGAUUCAGAGGAAGAUCAGAUGGAUAGUGAUUUUCACAGUAAGAUAUCCUCAGCUUCAUUCCUUAAGAUAAUGGAAGGUGGGAUCAGAACAUUCAUGAAUUUUCUAAAGACUGAUAAAGAAAAAUCAUGUCAGAUCCUAACAUAUUACUUUAGGAGAAACAAAAGAGGCAUGGUUGAUCCAACACUACUCAAGCUAAUGAAGAAAGUUAAUCAAAAGGUAUGUUGCAAAUUUUAAAUUAACUUUUCUGGAAUAUUUUUCAGAUCAUUUAAAUUUAAUUCAUUCUCCUAACACAAAUACAAUGUAUAUAUAUGCAGAAGAGAGUGAAGGUUAAGGAUCUUAGCCAUUUAGGAAAAGGCUUGAGAAAGAGAAAGUUAAAGGUAGAAGAAGAGAUUGAAAUAUUAAUGGGCCUAAUAGACCUAAAAGUGGUGUCAAGGGUUUUAAGAAUGAAAGAGUUAAGUGAACAACAAUUGCAUUGGUGUGAAAAAAAAAUGAGCAAAGUGAGAGUUGUGGAAGGGAAACUUUGUAGAGAUUAUUCAACUCCACUUUUCUUCCCCUCAAGUUGAUUGAACAAUCACUUUGUAUUAUUUGAUGACUGGAUUAUGUGCAUGACAGCACACAAAAAAAGAAUAUGAUUAUAUGAAUAUAUAACACUCAUCAAAUAACAAACAUGUGGAAGCAUAGACCUUUGGAUCCUUAAUUACAAUGAAAAGGAGGGAUAAAGAUGAAUAUUUAUGUUACUGUGAAGCAUUUUGGAAGUGAAAGAGCAAGAGUCCAGAGCCAGAAAAUAUGACAUGAAGAUACUAGACUAGUGAACUAGCUUGUUUUACCUAGGAGAUUAUGUCAAAUUUGAGCUGAAUAAAGACAAGCAUGGACAAGAUGAAGCUGAAUAAUAUUGGGGAAUAAAAUACACUCCAAGAAUAACAAGCUGAUUAUUUAUUAUUUUACUUAUUUUGUUUGGUAUAGAAACACAAUUUUUGCAUAUUUUCUGUUUUAGAACUUAAUCUAAGAAGAGUUGAAUUUUAAUGGAAUAUGUUGUAAACUACUUUCAUGUUCCUAAAGUAUGGUGCAUAGUACAUUUUUAUCAUCUAUAUUAUUUUGGUUUAAGUUUCAAGCAUCAAUAGAUAUUACACGAUUACACAAUUAUUUUUACAAAGAGAGUGAUUAGUAGAUAUUUAGACGAUUACACAAUUAGUUUCAAGCAUUAAUAGAUCACAUAUUGGUCAUCGUGAGCUUAACUCAGUUGGUAGCGACAAUGCAUAAUAUAAGCAAAUUAUAGAGUUCAAAUCGUGGCCACCACAAAAAAAAAAAAAUAGAUCACACAUUGAACUUGUUCUUAUUUUGCAAAAUUAUUUAAAUAGUUAUUAUUUUAAAUAAUAAAUAUAUAAGUGUUAAAUUUAUAUAAUUUAAAAAUAUUUCAUAAAAGAUUAUCUACCUUACAAAUUUCUUCUAUUCUUCUAUUAUUUAUAUAGAGGUAUUGCCCCACGAUCAUCGUUGAGCCCAUCCAAUCAAAUAAUUUCAAUUAAUUAGUUUAAUAUCAAAACAGAAAGAAAAAAUUAUAUUGGCACCCGUGAUCAAUUGUCCGAGUGGAGUUACUCUCUCUCUCUCUGCAUUUUUUGGAACGACUCACCCUUCUUUUCCGUUACCUUGUCCAUCUCUUUUAUUAUACCAAUAACUCAAGUUUCAUAAUUGUGUGGAGAAUUCAGUAUUUUUUCUAAUUUCAGUCUCAACAGUUUUGGGACUUUGAGGAUGAAGUUUAUGUUAAGAGAGAGAGAGAGACUACUAUUACAACAUUAUUAAUUUUACAUGCCACAAAAGGAAAGAACAACGAGAAAAUAGCAAACUAAAGAAUGGUAGAAAAAGUCAAAAUACUGCUUUUUUUCCCUUCAGCUUUAUAAAGUUCCAUACCAAAAUCAUAAGAUUAAAUUGGUAGAAACUUAGUUAGUGUCCACAUCAAUGGCCAUCGCCUUCUCCUCUGAAGCAGAGGUAGUUACUGGAGCUGAAGGCUCAGCAGUGGACUUUGAUUCUGUGCUGGCAAAUGGACUCCUUGUUUGAACAGCAACACUGGAGUCUACCUCCAUAGCAGAAGCUCUGGGAGGUGAUGCUGGCUGCACCUCCACAUCUGGAUAAGCUGCCUUAAACCUUGCCCGCAGCCCUUCAUCCACUAACCUUACACCACUCAAUUGAUUACCCAGAGACAUCCACCUGAUGGAACAAUGGAGAAUAUUAUAACAGCUUAAGAUUACUUUGGAUGAAUUCAAAUAUCAAAUAAUGAAGAACACCAUAAAAAUCAGUUUAUGAUUUCUAUGGGUGAAUUUUUUUGCCCUAUACCUACAACUACAACCAGAUUAGGUUUUUAGUCCAAGAAAUCAUUUAAUUGAUAUAGAACAUUAUCAAGAAAUAAUCCACCCCAAUCAAACAAUUUUAAGAAUAGCGUUAAAAAUUCCCAAUAAAAAAAGUCAUGAAAAUUGAAAACCAACCCCGCAUGAGUAUUGUGCAUGCGAGCAAACAACUCCAGCUUUCUUGUUCUUGGACUUAUUCUCUCCAACAAAGGAUACAUCUGUAGGAAUAAAUUGACAAUUUUGAAAUUGUUAAGCAUAUGAAAGACUAAAAUUCGAACACUCAUAUGAUAGAAUAACUUUAGUACCGUACUAGGCAUAGUUAAACUAUUUAAAAGAUGGAACAUUCAAGCUUAACAAUCACGAAUGUGGGGAGGAAAAGUGAAAAUAUAUAUCAUGCAAAUGGCUGUUAGCAAGUUCUUUUUGUUUUAGCUAGGCUUAUUAUAAUGUAAAACCACCUUUUUGGAUAAAGAUGAAAAUUGAUGAUAGAGAACAUGACAUAACCUCGAAAACAGAAAAUUAUAGAUACAAAUCGAUGACUACUAUUGACCCCCGUUUUUAAAGUCGGCCAAAGCAUUGAGGGGCACAAUUAACUAUCAAAACUUUGUUGAAUAUGAUACAAACCUCAUCGGGCUUUCGGCUUGUUUCCCGGACUUCAGCAACAAUAACAUCGGUGUCAAUGUUUCUGUUUACUUCAGGACUACCCUUUAUCCCAACGAGACAAUGUUCCUUGCUGUGAUUGAGCCAAUGGCCCGUACGUCCAGUUCUAAUUAUUCGCUGAAGUUGAUUUGUUUUCACCCAAAUGAUCUCCUCAACACGUUUAUAUCCCCAAAGUUCUAAGCUGCAGAGCACAAUACGGAAUAUGUGCAAGCCAAAUGCAGAUUAUUAGUAAAAAGAAGCCUCAAUGUUUUUUUUUGGUUAUGCUAAUCAGAAUAUCAGAUGAAUAUUUUUUUCUUAACGAAAACAAAAAAUUAGCAUAUGACCAAAUACAAGUGCAAAUACCAUUCUCGUCCAAGUUCCAUCGCACGCCCAGUGACCCAUAGAAAAAUAAGCCCGUGAGUUUGCAGAGCAGGGACAUUAAGAGUGCGCAUUUCAUCAUCCGCCAUUGUUCCAUAAGGAAGCUCCAUGUGAAUGUCCCACGGUGGAUCAGCCAUUAUUACUCCAAACUUACCUAAUAUGUCCAUUCUAAAGUUACGUAUAUCACAGUUGAUCCAUUGUGGUUCACCAAGUUCCACUUCAGAACAAUACUCAGCACGCUGCUGUUUUAGUGGUUUGGGAGGAGGAGUAAGAGCACCCGUCAUUGUUGGAGGCAAAUCAGGUGUAGGGUCAUACUCAUAGUGAACAUAUUUACAUGUCUAUCAAAGGACAAAAAAGAGAGCAGAACUCAAACUUAGGACAAAUUAACUAAAAUGAAGAGAAAAAUCCAACAUAAGAACUCCGAGGUAAAAACCGUACCUUCAUGUGCCGGCAAGUAUCUAGAAAAGAACAGUCUCCCAGAUUAAUGUCAGUGUGAAGAGCAAUGAUUCGUCUAAAAUGAACCUGCCAAGAAAAGGAUUACAAAUGCACUUCAACAAAAGGCUAAAUAAAAAUGUCCAUACCAAUUUUUAAAGUUUGAUUAGUUGAAAACCACAUGUAUUAGUAUACCAGCUAAAACCAAAAUAGAUAGUGAAUAAGUUGAAAUGAAACCAGAGAAACAAAAUAACUAGUAAUAAAAUAUUGUUCUUGUCAUUAACCUUAUUACAUGCUACAAAGGAACCGGUCUGGCGCCGACAAUCUUCUUUUGUCAGUAAGUCACAAUAUUGUUUCACCUGAGAACCACCUUUAGUUUUGAACUGAAAAAUAAUACAUUUAAACAAGCAGAAUUAGAUUAAACUGUACGAAAUGCCAGAGUAUAGUAAAAGCUGUGAAUAAUCACAAUUCAAAACAGAAAUUUGAGUGUAUAGCCUAUCAAAGUAAGCAGUGAAUUUGAACCUUAGCAGCUACAGCAGCCUCCCUUGCAGUCGGUUUCUGAAUUAAAUCCAAAAGCUCCUUACCAGUUUUGGAUUUUUGCAUCUCCCUAAACGAUUUCUUAUUAAUUAUAGCCUCAAAUUCCUUCAAAUCCUCCUUCAAAUCCUCAUCAUAUGUUUUUGGUUUCUGUGGCAUUGCAUUAAUAUUACUCCCUGAUGCAUUUGGCCCCAUUGGGAGUCUAUGCAUCGACGGAAUAACUAUACCUCUCUGUGCAGACACCAUUCCCAUUAGUCCUGGUGCUACCCUUGGUCCACCACCAGAAAAUAUUUGUUGUAACCCUGGCAUGUGAGGGUCACCAUGUGACAUCCACAUAUUAUCAGAUAUUGGCCUCAAAACUGGCCUUCCCAUCGGACCCAUAACGCCAUUCACAUUGGUACUACCGGUAACAAUUUGUUGCUGAUUUUGAUUCAUAUUACCAUCUCCAAGACUCGAUUCAUUUUGUUGCUGAUGAUGAUGUGCAGUUUCAGGAAAUUCUCUCAAGAGACGGGCCCUUUCUAUAUUCAAAACCAUAAUUCUUGAUUUCCCACUUACAACAAACUCUUCCAAUUCAACAGCACCGUUAUCAUCUGCCAUUGACCUCAAAGCUAUCUCGACUGCAAGCGUUGGCCCUCCUGAAUCUCCACCAAGCUCUUGAAGUGCGGCUUUGUCUUGUGGCAUAACCGUUUGAUCGUUCUCCAAUUUCCACAAUAAAGUGGAAGAAUCAAUAGGUGAAAAAGGUACUCGACUUAAAAGACAAACAGCAACCAUUGAUCGAACAAUGGACAAAGAACUAACUUUCUCAGAUUCUGGAUUUUUAGUAACAAGAGAGAUUUUAGGGUUUUGAAGAUUAUUAUUAUUGUUAUUAAAAGGGUUUUGAGGUAGUUGUUGGAGAGAUGAUUUGGAAGGGUUGAAAUUGGUUAGAGGAGGAGGGAGAGGGGGUGUAGGAGCAAAAGGACGGUGGUUGAAAGAAGAGAGAACUUUCAGAGAAAGGUCAAGAGAAGAAACAAGAUUAGGUAUAACGGAUUGUACAGAAGAAAGCAUGUCCAUGUGUGACUUGUGUUGGGUUUCUAUGCGAGCUUCAAGUUGUUGCCUUAUAUCUUUAAUACUGUUUAAACCUUCAUCUGUCUCCAUGUUCAUGGAUGAUGAAUGAUGGAUUUCAAGUUGUUGCAAUGCGCAAUCUUCAGGUUGCUGGUACGGAAGCGGAUACGACGAAGUUUCUGGCAGGUUGUACGGCGGCGAGGAGGAACUCCGGUUGGGUUUUCUGGCGAGUUGAGUUAUCUUCGUUUUUCUGAUGCAAUUUGUUGAUUUAGGGUUUUGACUUUAUUUUUUCAAAUCAAUUUUGUAUUUCUUUUUUUUAGUGAAUGGUGAUGGUCCGGUUCUUAAGGUAGUGCAUUGGGCUUGUAGGUCCACCAAAAGUUCCGCACAUUUUCUUUUUGAAUUCAAGUCUAAUUUUACCGAUAAAUAUUUCGUCAACAGUCCUUUAAAAAAACGUUUAUAAAUCAAGUACCCCUAAAAAAAUUAUUGUAAAUUAAAUAAUCGAUCAAUUUCGUUUUUUUUCUUAAAAAAAUGGUUUAAAUUUCAAGACUAAAUAAUACACAAAUGAACUCUAGUUUUAAGAGGAGUGAAUUUGGGCAUGCUAACUUAACAUUAAUCGUACACAUACACACUAUUUAACAUAAUUUGAUGAAAAUAGAAUAAUGGUGUAGAUAUUUUAUGACUUAAAGAACCAAUUUAUAACAAAAAAACGUAAAAAAAAAUAAAAAAAUAAUAAUAAUAAUUUGUUACAAUCAUCUAACUUUAAAGAUCGUGUAUGAUAUUUGGCCUAAGCAGUGGCUGAACUGGGGUGGCAAGGAGGAGCCACCGCCACCCAUUAUUUACAGGAAAUUACUAUUAUACCCUUCAGUAAUAUGAGUAUUUCCAAUUCUACUUCAUUUUCCUUUUUCCCUUUCUCUUUCAUCAGAAACGCGAUUUUCUUUUUCUUCUCCCAGACCACCGUACCGCUCUCCAUUCACCACACCACCACCGCCGCGACCACUCUCAUUUCCUUCUCCAUCCAUCACCGUCGCAUCCUCCUCUAUUUUCUGUGUUGAUUCUUCAGUUUAGAGAGCUAUCUCCAUCUCUCUCCAUAAACCCUGAUUGUUGUAAAUUGUAAGGAAAUGUGAAUUUUAAUGUAAUUUCCUUCAAAUCUGAUUCUUCUUUAACGAUUGCAUGUUAUUUAGUUGAUUGCCAUGAGUUUUCCAUCUGUUGUUGUUAAACCUAGUUGAUUAGUGAUUACAUGUCUUGUUUGCUGUAUGAAAUGUUCUGUGAAAUGGGUCAUAAAUUUUUUUAUGAAAGUUUGUGUCUUUAUGCUAAAAUGGUGGUUGGAAAGUGAUUUAGUGUACAAUUUGUUUCAUGAGUUUUGCAUUUGAUUUAACUAUGUUAUGUUUUUGUUUUAGUACUAUGUUGUGUUUUUCAAUGUUCUUGGUUUAGGAACAAUAACAAAUGCUGUUUAUUCAAAGCAGUUUGAUGAAAAACCUCUUUUUUCCUUUGCAUUGAAUCAAAGCAUGUUGUUUUGGGUAACAAAAGAGGGUUUUCUAAUGCAUGAAUGUUUAUUCAGAGGUAAAUUGUUAGUGAAAGCAAACCAAGUCUCAUUGUUUCUGCAAAUAAUGAAAAUAGCACCGCUCCUGCUAGCAAGUAAGUAGGGUGGUGUGAAUUGGCAUUAGAGUUUACCGCAAGGUUUUAAAUUUAGGACAUGUUACAAUUUUUGAUACUGCUAAACAAAUGUUGUUGAUGUAGCCUGAAUCGUAGUUACUUACAAAUGCGGCGAUAUCAAAAGCCAUGAUGUCGUAGCUCAUAUUGCGGUUAAAUAAUGGCUGCGUUUCAAUUUUUUUAUUUUGAUGGCAGGAUGGCGGCCACCCCAAAUAUUUUUGUCUGACUCUGCCACUGGGCCUAAGAGACAACUAAACUUACAAUACAUAAUCAAACUUCAUUAUAUCAUCAUCCCCCUUAUUAAAAUAGUCAGUAACUUUUUUGAAUCGAGUACAAAAUCAUAGUUGUCAAGAUGUAAGUCAUAGAUCUAAUGGAGAGCAUAAAAUAGCCCAAUAGUUUCCCCUAAAUCCACAUUUCAAACAUGUGAUAGAUACAUGGUCUUGGCAAGAACAAACACACAUUCAUCACCUUUGAUACACGGACUGAUUCGAACAUGAUAAGAUAUGGAAAAGUUGCAUCAAUAUUGCAUUUCUAUCUACCUCUUUGUGGUUUCUGCCAUCACAAAAUGUUUAAAUUUGUUUAUUUAACCUCUAAUACUCGUCGAUGCAACAUAUGUUUGCAUUGUGGAAUUAAUUAUGUGUUUGUGAUGGAUCACAUAUUGCCAUAGACCAAUCCUCGAGUAAACAAACGAUUCGAUCUAAAAUAUGUGCGCUCAUUUUUUAACCACAUCUUUUUGUGUUUUUUUAUCUCAAGUAUAAUUAAUAACAAAAAUAUGAAAAUAAAUAAAAACAUUAAUCAAAUCAAGUAUUAUAGUUUUCGAGCUGGUAGGGAGGAUCGUAGUUUGACAUAACAUAACAAAUUAUUGCUAGGAGAAUGCUAACCAGUGCAUUAAGGAUAUUGGUUAAGCAUCCAAAACAAGUAAAUUUUUAUAAAAAAAUUGUGUAAUUAUUAUUUGAUUAAAAGUAACGCCUUAUAUUUUCAAGACAAAAAUUUUAUUUGUAGAUUCUUUAAUCAUUAUCCGAAGACACCGAUUAACAAAACAUUUAUCAUUAUUCUGUCUCCAAAGCUUUUGGUCUUUUGGCCUUUUUAUUUGCUUAAUGAUUUCCACUUCUUUUAAUCUCUCCUUAAAUUAUACAAUACAUAAUAAACUUCAUCAAAUGUCAUGCUAGUUAACCUCUAUUACUCCUCUCCAAAGAAAAAACCUCUAUUACUUCUCCCUUUCUAGUUUUUGACCAGUCUAAACAAAAAUGAUUAUGAUAAAUUAGGAUUAACCAUUGUCCAUUAACAUUGAUAAUAAUUCAAAAAAGUAAAAUAAAAUAAAAAAUGUAACUACACAUGUUUGAUGUCCAGCACGACACGUCUUCAAUAUAAAAUGUUGGUACUACAUAUAUUUUUUUGUGGAAUUGGUACUAUUGAAAACAUUGAUAUCAUUUUUGAAAUAAUCAAUUACUAUUCUUCUUAGCCUUCCCAACACGCAAAAAUGAACCGAACCCAAAUAAACUUAAACUUCCUUUCGAAAAACAAGGAGUUGGUACAUUCAAAACAGGACUAAACCUUAGGCCAUUACCAUAACUCUUACCUGAACAAGACUUCUGCACAGGAUACAAAUUAUUUAAGGUAGAACAUGAUGAAGAUAGUGAUGACUGUUGUCUAUUCGAACUCGUUCUCUUUAGAUUUGGCGCUGAACCGGUUGAGUUGCUUCGUGACAAAGGAGGAGAAAAACAUACAAAAUUUUUAUUUGUAUCACAAUUGAGACUUUUGCUUUUUUUGAAUCCUAUAAAAGAACUAGAUCGAGUAUUUGUUUCUUGAACUUCUUUGUUGAUCUCUUUCUUUGUUUUAGUCGAAAAUGGUCGAGGCGGAAGAUUCAUAUAUCUAGGUUGUUCCUUAUAAGACGCAGUGUUGUUUUUCUUGUCAUGUAUCUGCAAUGGAAGUAUAACUCCAUUAGAGAAAAGUUCAUCAGCUGAAGAUGUUCCAAAUUCAAUGUUUUUGCUAGUGAUGAAUUCAAAAUCAGUAUUUGAUUCAAGAAGCAGUGUGUCUCUACAAGAAACAACAUCAUGUUUCAUUGGUGAAACAUCAUUGGAGAAAGAAAAACGAGGUGAAGAUGUUUGAGAACACAUAACUGAAAACAGGUUCACUUUCAAAAUCAGAAAAGGUUGAAACAAAAGAAGGUGCAAAGGAAUUUUUGUAUAUUGUUGGAAAAUAGUAGAAACGAAAAAAGGAAGAUGAAUUAAAUAGAGAAAAGGGUAUCUCUGAAAGUUUGGAAAUUAUUGUGUAAUAUUAGAUUUGGAGGUACGUAAAUGUAACCAUUUUCUAGUUCUGCUGAACUGAAGGAAGAAUCUGACCGGUUCGGUUCUAUAAGAUAUAUAUGGACUUUGAGGGGUUUCUAUCCUAACCACUUGCGAUGAUUAUUCUCCUUUUCCACCAUCACAUAUUUAUGUAUAUUUUUAUGGUUAGACCAAGAACAUUGUCCUAUUUUUUAUUUUCCCUUGUAAAUACCAUUAUGAUAACUACCGAAGAUAAUAACAUUGUCUUAUUUAUCUCUAAUAUUAUGAAGUAUCACUAGUAAAAUGUUAUUUAGAUGACAAAGUCACGUCAAAUACCACAUUUAUAAUGAAUUAUAGGUAAAAUUACCCUUGAGUUUUUUUUAGCAUAUUAACCGCUUGAGUCAAAUUAAUUGGUUUAAAAAUAACUAUUUUUAUAUGCUAUAAAUAAAUAUGUAUAUAUCGGGUAAGCUUAGCUAAUCUUUCAUCAUUUUCUAUUUAAUAACAAAAAUAAUUUUUUAACCAAUAAACUACUUAAAAAAAGAAAAAGGACAUAGAUUAAAGAAGUCGCCUUUCUUUCAUAAUAUUUUGUUUCCUAUUAAUAUCACAGGAUAAUAAUUUCUUAAUGGCAUCGUUAGUAGAAUAGUAUGGUUGUCCUCGUGAGCUUAAUUCAGUUGGUUGGACAAUACAUGAUAUAUGUAAGGUCCGUGGUUCAAACCCCGCCACCACAAAAAAAAAAAAAAAAAAAAAAAAAAAAAAGUAGAAUAAUAUGGUUGGAUAAUCCUAUAACACUUGGAUAGACAAGGCUGCAAACACAUUUGGGUUUAUCACCAUAUUACUAAAAAUUUAAUCGCUAUGUACAUCUUUUUAAGAAGGAAAUCACAAUACAGUAUUAUUUACCAUUAUUUCACCAAAAUAACGCAAUAAAUAAAAAAAGUCUGCAUGUAUUUUAAGCAUUGUAUAAAAAAUGAAAUUGAUGAAAUGAAAGAACAUUUUACCCACCAACGAGAUAUUAACUUUUAUAGUGUAAUAUUUUAACAAUACAUUUAAUCAAAAAAAAAGAAAAGAAAUCAAAUCAAAUCAAGUCACCACACAAUGUUGGGCUACGGCUGGUUGAUUUCUCUUCCGAUUUUCCUAGUUUGUAAGUAUAUUUCAGGUUUUGUUGUUUUUCCUUAGCACACCUUAUGUUAGAAAGGACAUUUUGUGUUAGUAAUAUAAUUUCAUUUUAGCUUCUUUAAAAAAAAAAUCACCACACAAAAAAAAAAAGUCACCACACGAAAAAAUCAAAUCACUUCUUAUAAAUUUUGUAGAGAUAUUUUAGAAACUAAUAUCUAUACUAUAUAUAAAGAAAACAAAUUCUUUCAGCUCUUUUGAAUUGAAUUUUUCUUUCCAAAAAUGCCCUCAAUUUUAAAUCUAUAAUCUACGGUCUAUGAUAUAUAUAAAGAAAACAACCCCUUUCAAUUUUAAAUAAAAAUAACACAUAUAACAAAUAGAUAAGAAUAAUUUAUACUAUAUAUAAAAAUAAAAUAAAAUAAAAUAAAAAACCCUUUGAGCUCUUUUGAGUUGGAUUUUUCUUUCCAAAAAUGCCCUCAAUUUUAAAUCUAUACUAUAUAGGUUUAAAUGAGUGAUUAGUCUCUGCACUUUGACCAUUUUUUAGUAUUGGUCCCUGCACUUGUUUUUUUGUUUGGUUUAGGUCCCUACACUUUGUAAAAAAAUUGUUAUGGAUCCUUCUGUUAAUUGACCGUUAGAAAAAAAACUCACGAAACUAACGGAAUGUCACGUGCCACAUUACAAGACAAAAUAAUUCAAAUAAAAUAAUUGUUUUUAAUUAGUAUUAAUAUUAAUAUUUACUCAGAGCAUUCAAUCCAUUCAUGCCAUGGAAUCUUACAGCGUGCACAAAACAUCAUAUUACUAUGACGACAUUCUGAAUUUGUAAUUGCCACAUUUCCGUAUCAAAAGAGAAGAACAAUCUGUAAAGGGACAAUAGAAUUUCUCCCGAAACAAACAAAGCCUCGCACAACGCUUACACCAUCGUUCAAAAAGCUCUGCACAAAUGAUAGAACACCGUUUCCUCAAAACAAAACAAAAAUAGAACACCGAACGUUGAUGAUGUUAUCUGAAGCUUGGAAUCGAUGUUAUCUGGUGUUCUUCAAAUAAAAGAAUUAAUAAUAAUAAGACAAAUUUUAUGGUAUACCUAAAGAUUUGAGUGUAUUGGUACACCAAAUCAUUGAACUAAUAGUUAAAUAUAUUAUUUUUUAAAGAAAAAAAUUAUUUUCUAUCACCUAUAAUUAUAAUAAUUAAAUCUUAUUUAUAAAAAACGUCAACGAAGUAAAAUUUAAUUUUUCUGAAUUUUUAGUACUCAUGAUAGAGAAUUUUGAUUAUUUUUUACAAUAAAAUGUAAAAAAAAUAUAGUAUGAUUUUUAUCAACAAUGAAAUGAUGUUUUUUAAUUUCUUAUGAAAUGAUAUUUUCUAAAAUACAAAUAUCAACAAAUAGCUCUUUAUUUCAUAAAAAUGAUAGUUAAUGUAUAGAUUUUUGAAGUAAGAGUAUCAGUAUAUCUUAAUUUUGCAGGUGUACCGUAGAAAUUUCCAAAUAAUAAUACUUAUUCAAAACAAUUAUUUUAUUUGAAUUUUUUUAAUUUUAAAAUUUUGUCUUGUAGUGUGCCACGUGGCACUCCGUUAGUUUUGGGAUUUUUUUUAACGGUCAACUAACGGAGGGACCAAUAACAAUUUUUUUACAAAGUGCAGGGACUUAAACCAAACAAAAAAAAGAUGCAGGGACCAAUAUCAAAAAAUUGUCAAAGUGCAGGGACUAAUCACACAUUUAAGCCUACUAUAUAUAAAGUAAACAAUUUCUUUCAAUUUUAAAUACAUAUAACAAAUAGAUAAGAAUAAUUUUAAAUAUUAAAAAAAUGUAACAAACACGAUAUGUCUCAAUUUUUUCCUUUAUCAUUUAAAAAGUGUAACAAACUAGAUGAAUAUAUUUAUUUAUAUCUAUACUAUAUAUAAAGAAAACAACCCCUUUCACCUCUUUUGGGUUGGAUUUUUCUUUUUGAAAAUGCCGUCAAUUUUAAAACUAUACUAUAUAUAAAGAAAACAACCCUUUCAAUUUUAAAUACAAAUAACACAUAUAACAAAUAGACAAGAAUAAAUUUAAAUAUUAAAAAAAAUGUAACAAACAUGAUAUGUCUCGAUGUUUUUCCUUUAUCAUUUAAAAAAUGUAACAAAUUAUAUGAAUAUAUUUAUACUUACUUUUUCAUUAUCUCAAUUAUACUCUUAAACAACUUUUUCUAUAAUAAAGAUCGUUAUUGAUGUCUCUAAAAAAAGAAUUUGGAUUAUAUUCUUUUUGUUAUAUUGUUUGUUGAUGUCGUUGAAAUAAAUAAUCAUGAUUAGUUUGCUUUGUUAUAACUUGAAAGCGACAAACAUUUAUAUUUUUAGUUUUAAUCCAAAUCAAAAUUUUAUAAAAAAAAAAAAACACCUUUAAUAAUUUUUAAACGUAGACGUAAUAAAAAGAGCGGAAAGACGGACACGUGAUUUGAUUUAUUUAUUUUUUUAUAAUAAUUAUUGAAAAUUCACACACACAAGUGGAAUAGUUGGAGUUUAAACUUUUGUCACAACAUGCAACUUAGCAAUUUUAGCAUUUUUCUUUGUUGAAUAAAAACUUUUUUUUUUGCUUGAAAUAUUUGUUGAACAGGAACUUGUAGUUGAUUUAGUCCACGUCUAAAAAUGUUUACCAGGUGAAUACAAAUUAAAUUCAUAACCUAAUAGUGGUGCUAAAAACGUUAAUGAUAUCAGACCAUUUCUCUAUCUUCAUAUAAUAUUUUCAUUGCUGUUUCACCACCCAAAAAAAAAAAAUUAAAAUAUUUUUGUUGCUGUUUACAAGUCAAAUAAAAAAAAUGAAAACUUUAACAAGUCAAUGAAAAGCAAUUUUCCGAUAGUAGUUUAUGAACCAAAUGGUUAGGUGGAGGCUAAUUCAAUUCAAUACCAUGAUGUCAAUGACCAACUCUCUCAAAGACGCAAGUUGUUACAGUUCAUGCCCAAGAAUAAUUUAUUUCUCUAAUAUAUACAUACAGCCUAUCCUAUUUUCUAAAAUUUAAAACUCAUGAUUCAUCUCUUCUCUUCCAAUAUUCCAAAAAUGACUCACUUAUUUUACUUUGACACGAAAAUUGUGUUAUCCAUCAUCCAUAUGAUUGUUGAAUAUAUAUAUGGUGGCAAGGGUUCUUUUGCAACUAAAAAAGACUCUCGAGAUUGAGUCUUGCAUCCAGCAUUAUGUGAACAAGAUUCAAAUCACGUAUAUUAUGUUAAAAAUAUCAGGAUCUUACCUAAAAUGACUAAAAAGUCAAUUUUCCCUUUAAAAUUGUAAGUUUCAUCAAUUAUCUCCCUGAAAUUAACAAAACUUCAAUUAUCCCCCUGAAAUUUCACAACGUUAGUCAAUUUAUCUCCUCCGUCAAAUUUUUCUGUUAGUGAACAUGACGUUUUGCAAAUAUCCCCCUGAAGUUUUACACUUAUGUGCAAAAUGCCCCCCAAACUUAAAAAUUUAUAUUAUUUUUUCCUUGAAAACAAACAAUUUAUAGUUAAAUAUCAAAGCUAACUAUUAGUUUUGGAGUUUGGAAAAACUACAUGCAUAUAUACAUCAAAAUAGGGAAAAAUGUGUAUUUUUAAAGUGACAAUAAUGGUUAUUUCUAAUAGACAAAUUAUUAUUUUUAGAGGUUUAUAAACAAAUUAAUAAUCAGAUUUAAAUUUAUAUUUUCUCAUUCACCGUCUUAGUCUUGUAACUCCUCCAACUCCUUCAACAAUUUGCUCAAACCAUUUAAAUUACACAACCCCCAAUAUUUUCAUAUGACUUGUUCUUGUUUACACAUUUUAUAGAAAACUUCAUUCUGACUUCUUGUUUGUGCUUCAGACAGGGACAAUCAUCCAUCGUAUACAAUCUAGCUCACACCACAAUACUAUCAGACCGACAUGUCAUAUAUAGCAUAUUAAGUAAUAUUCAUGUAAAAAAGACACAAAUCAUCAGCAAAUGAAAUAUGUGAUCGGUAUGUAUAGAGGAACACUUAUUGAGAAAUGUCAUACACUUGGACAUAUAUUUAUUUACCUUUGAAAUUAAUCCACAAAUCAUCCCAUUAUUGUCGCUUUAAAAAAUACAUAUUUUUCUCCAUUUUGGAGCCUAUUUUGAUGUAUAUAUGCAUGUAGUUUUCCCAAAUUCCAAAAUUAAUAGUUAGUUUUAAUAUUUAAUUAUUAAUUGUUUGUUUUUAAGAAAAAAAUAAUAUAAAUUUUUAAGUUUGGGGGGCAUUUUGCACAUAAGUGCAAAACUUCAGGGGGUAUUUGCAAAACGUCAUAUUCACUAACAGAAAAAUUUGACGGAGGGGGUAAAUUGACUAACGUUGUGAAAUUUCAGAGGGGUAAUUGAAGUUUUGUUAAUUUCAGGAGGGUAAUUGAUGAAACUUACAAUUUCAGAGGGGAAAUUGACUAUUUACUCUACCUAAAAUGUUGGCGAGUUUAUUUAUAGUAUAUAUGUUGACAUUUUAUAAACAGUUGAAAACGGUGGCAUUUAAUUUGGGAAAGGGAAGUUGUUUCCCACCAUGGGAAAGCUAAUUUUGACCGUUAGAUUAAAUAGAGAACAUAUUUUUAUCAUAAACACUCAACACCAAAUUUUUUUUUCCACACUCAACAACAACAUGAACUGCUACUUCAACUCUCUUUCUUCCUCUCAUUCUGACCAUCACCGCACACCACUAGGCUGCUGCCGGAAAACUCAACAGAUGUUCAACAAUUUAUGAGAAAAAAUAUGAUAAAAGAAGAACAUAGUUUAAUCAACAGACACUCAAUUACCAUCUUCAUUUAUAUCUGGUGUUGAGUAUAAGAGGAACAGAGUGAUGGCACUCGAUUACCAUGCUUCAACAAUUCCGGCAGCAGCCUAGUGGUGUGCGGUGGUGGUCAGAAUGAGAGGAAAAAAGAGAGUUGAAGUAGCGGUGCAUGUUGUUGUUGAGUGGUGAGUGUGGAAAAAAAAAUCUGGUGUUGAGUGUCUAUGAUAAAAAUAUGUUCUCUAUUUAAUCUAACGGUCAAAAUUAACUUUCUCAUGGUGGGAAACAACUUCCCUUUCCCAAAUUAAACGCCACCGUUGAAAACCUAAUACAUGUGUGAGGUGAAAUUGUAAUAAUUACGAUCAACUAUAUAUAAUGAUUUUGAUAAAACUACAAUAUAGAUUUUAACAAAAUUACAAUGUCACUAUAAAACUACAACCGUGCAGCCAUACACUUCUCCAAAAGUAUAGCUUCUCAAAGAACGUGAUUCAGACAGUAAAUUUUAAGAAUCGUAAGAAAUAUGUAUGUGUAUUGAUGAUGAUUAGUAUUAGUGACUUCAUCCUUCUUUUUUUUCACUUUAGAGUUCCAACGUAUCAUUUUGGACUAUAAAAUUUAAGUCUUCCUAUAACGUAGAGGCAAAUUGAGAAUAACAAAAGUAUUAAUAUAGAUCUAUGAAGUAUGAGUACAUACACGAAUAUCAAAUACUAUACUGACAUACCGACACGGAUAAAAUUUUAAAAAAAUAACAUAAUUUAAUUUAAUCACAACUAUUAGUGUCAUGUUGCUAUCAGACACUAUAAGUGUUGAAUACCGGAAUACGUCUUCAAUUAAAAAGAAGUGUCACUGUCAGUGCAAAAAGAGGUAUAGAUUAUGUAUAGCAUGGUAAGCGGGGUGUCCUUUGAGGACGGACCCCCUUACACACAACAAUCUAUUUCCUCCUUUAUUGAAGACAAAUAACCUAUUUCACAACUUUCCAUGUGUAUAUCUUGAUGCAGAAGAAUGACUGAACACAGAGCCAUGUAAAUAAUAAAUUGUCCUUAUUUCAGAUGCUCAAUACUUGUCACAGCAUGAAGCCCCACAUACCUACCAUUUAAAGGGCCCCACAAAGCAGAUUUGGCAGAAAACAUUUUUGAGGUACGAAAAUAUGUAACCAAAUCCAUAAUCUGCCCAAAAGCCAUGCACGUUGGGUGUGAGACCUAUCUUCGUUAAAUGGUGUAGAAACUUGGUUGUGAUUGAUCUUAUGGACCCAU
rnacentral:lncRNA from 1 species